rnacentral:lncRNA from 1 species
ACGAUACCAGAUUCGAAGAUCUGGAGACCUCGAUUUCCAUGCCUGAAAUUAGAGAAUCGAGUCUGAUUAUGAUAUUCUCUUUUUUUUUUUUUUCUCUCUUUUAGGUUUUUCUUUUUUGGUUGUAAGAACCCUAAAAGUUAAAUUGCUGGUCCAUAGGUUUUGGUUUGUUUGGGGAUCCUAGAAAUCGUUUGGUAGCAGAGGAAGAAUUAUUGGAAUUCGACAUUCAGUUUCCUUGUUGUAUUCGUUGUCUGCAGCAGAAAGACGACUUUUUUCUUUUUCUUUUUUCUUUUUCUUUUUUUCUUCAGCUAUGUUUUUAGGUUAUUACUUAUUGUUUAGGUAUAAGUAAGUUAGGCCCCUUAGUUCCGUGAAUUGGCGUUUGCACGGAAAUGGCCCUUCUGAUUGGUUUAUCUUCUGCUUUUGGUUCUUCAUUAUUUAUUACUUAUACUUCAUGGUCAGGAAUUGUGUGAGUUCAUUCUGCAUUUCCGCUCUUGGUGCGCUGAUAUUUAUAUAAUUUGAAUAAUUAUUAUUGUUAUUUUAAAAAGCUUUUGAUUUAUAAUUUUAAAAUUAAUAAUAAAAAUAAUAAAACUAAUUUUAUAAUAAUAAUUUUUAAAGGUCGAAAAAAAUUACGUUAAACACUUUAAUAUUUUGAUUAAUAUUUAGUGUUUCGCAAAUAUUAAUUUUUUUUUUUUAUAAUCAUAUUCAUUAUCUUUUCUUAUUGAAUUUAAUUAAUUAAACAAAUGCUUUUAUCAAAUAUUUUUAAUAGCUAACAUUUAACCGUUACUAUAAUAGUAACAGUUAAUAUUGUCAAAUACGCUCUUUAUCUUUUAUUUUUUAUAUAUUUAUUUUUAUUGAAUCAAAAUCUAAAAGUUUUACUAUGAGUAAUUUUUUUUCGUAAACUCAAAAACUAUAAUUGGAAAAAAAAAAUCAAACAUUAGAACACUUAGCUUGAAUAUCAACAAACCCAUCUAUAGUGAAAUAUUAUAUAUUUUGUAGCAAAUUUGAUUUACUCAUUGCUUUUACGAAUUACGGCCUCCUUUUCUGAAAAUCCAUUGAACAUAAAAGAUCCCUCUCAAAAAUUUAUUAUAAAUAUAUGCACAUAAAUAAAUAAAUUUUAUGAAAAUUUUCACUAAACUAUGAAAAACUAAUGAAAACAACAAAUCCAAUAUUACAAUUCAAUCAAAAAGAAACUAAAAGAAGCAAUCAAAAAAUAAACAAAAAUGAAAAUUGACAUCCGUACUCAAUGGAUUAGCGUUGACCGAGACAAGUUUGUUUAGAAAUUGUCGAUAAAUAUAAUAAAUUCUUUAACGUUUAAUUUUUAAAGUAUCAAAAUGAUUCACAUGAGAGGCGUUCGCUAAAAUAGUUAGAUCUAAUUCCUCUGAAAUUAAUGCACUUCAACGCCAAAAGUGUAGUGAGUAAAAAAAUAAAAAUCUAAUACAAUUAAAUCGGUUAUAAUGAUGUAUUUAAACAAAUAGAGAUUCUCAAAAACUUCUUCAGUAUUUUUUAUCUAUUAAAAAAUAAAUAAAAUCUUAUAUUGAGUAAAUAAAUAUAAACUAAUAUGAAAUCAUAUUACCAAUCAGAAUCAAAAGCAAACAAUGAAAUAAUUGCCAUGUAUCAAUUGAAAACAUCAAACAAUUGUAAAAGAUAUACUUAAAAAAAAAAAAGAGAUUCACUUAUAGGUCAAGAGUCCAUUUUUAGAUUAACAUUUGGUUGUUUGUCCAUGGACCCUUCCAUCUUUAAUUCUUCAAUUCUUAAAAGUGGCUAAUGUUGGAUUUUGAAAGUUAUAUAUAUAUAUAUAUAUAUAUGAUCAUCACAUAUUAUUAGAAUGAAAAGAUAAUGAUUCAUACGACAAAGAAUGAUAGCAUACUCCCCAUUGAAUUGAUCAAAAGGAGAGUUAGGUUCUAAGGAUUACAAACAAAGUCUAGGGUGCGUAAUAUCAUAUAAAUCAUGGUUUAGCCACCAUAUCAAAUUUGACGGAGAUUGAGAUAAGAAAUGAGCUCCUAUGAUAAAAUUCCUAACAUACUUAGAAAGGUAGUCAACACUAUAAUUAGCCUUCCUAUAGACAUGACUAAUAAUACAAUUUCAAUUAUCUCUGAUAAUAUUAUUUAUAGCCAGAAAAAGCUGUUGGACACCUCCACUUGAAGCCAUCUUGCCUUGUAUAACUUGAACUACUGCUUCACUAUCACAUUCCACCUUGAUAUGGGAGAUUCCCAUUAGUUUGGCGAUCUUAAGUCCUUCGAGGAUAGCCCAUAACUCUGCAUUGGGUACAGAGUAUAUCCCAAUGGAAAUUACGAAGCCGUUAAUCCAUUGUCUUGAGCUGUCCCUAAUACGGCUCCUUCCAUACGCCAUUUGCUUUCCCAAUGAACCAUCUGUGUUCAAUUUGAAGAAGGGAUCAAUAGGGGGUGACCCUGAAAUCUAUUUCAAACUUUUACUUGAGUACUUAUCAUCCCUCCAUGUAACAGAUCAGCUGCAUUAUAGUUUUCUUUAGCAAAGAAAAUGAUCUCUUUCACUAAAGUGUUCAGGCGAAUAUGUUGUUGCUGAAAAAGCCAUACAUUCCUCCUAUUCCAAAUUUUCCAGCAUGAAAUGCCGAAAAUGAUUGGCCAUGGAACCCCCAACUCACGCAUCUUUUGGCUUUUAAGGUUCAUGAUAAAUCAUGCUUUUUUUAUAUAUAUAUUUACACAAAGCAUCAUCCAUGUUCGUGUCUGUUUUAAUUGUUUACAAGUCUGAUUAAUCAUCGCUUGUCUUUAAAGGCAAAAGAGGGACAUCGAAAUAUACUUUAUUUUUAUACUUGCACAAGUUACUCAGACCUGUGUCUGUUUUAAUGGUCGACAAACCUGACUAAUGUCCGCUCGCCCUCAGAGGCAAAAGGAUUGUGUUAACAUAUAAUACUAAAAUAUAUUACAAUAAUAAAACUAGACUCCUAAAUAAAUUUUAACUAACAUAUAACAUAGGAUUUGUAAUCCUUAUCUUAAUACAAUUAUCCUUACUGUAUAAGCUAGUUUGGAAGAAAUUUAUGUUGAAGAGGAUCGAAUUCAUAACUUAAAUUUUGAUGAUUAAACCUGUAAAUGCUCUUUGUCACUAAACUAUUCCAUCUGAGUUUCAUUCAAUAAAACUUUACAAACAAUAACACUAAAUCAAAAUAUGAUAAAUCAUGCAUGAUUGCUCGAGUGUAGAGCUUUAAUUAAAAGAAGACAAUCAAAUUAUAGGAUAACUGAUGAGAGUUGCAAUGACUUUACGCAAUGCAUUGACCAAAAUGAUCUUGCAAGAUUUUGAAAAAAUAUGAUUAAAUUUAUUUAUUUAAUUUUUCUAAUAAAAUUAUAAUAUACAAUACAACUCUUUAGAAAUAAAUAUGAUUAAUUCAAACAACUCAAAUAUUUAUUUUAUUAUACAAAAUAAAGCGAAAAUUUCAAAAAAAAUUUAAACAAAAAGAAUAUAAAAUGUAGGGAGUGCAAAGUCAAUGUUCCUUUAUAUAAUUAUAUAGAUUUAUAGAAUAUAAUUAUAUAGAUAUAGAAAGAUAUAUAGAUAGAUCGUUACGUAUCAAUUAUAAAAUUGUUUGUAUGUACCUUUAAAAUAUUAAUUAUAGAAAAAACAUAUUGAUUAUACCCAGGGGCGGAAUCAGUUGAAAAAUUAAUAUUAAGUCCAAAAAAAAAUUGAAAAAAAAAAAAUUGACUCCAUUAUUACAUUAAAAUUAUAUUUUGGCCCCCUAAAUCUUUGGACCGGGUCCACCACUGAUUAUAACAUUAUUUUGCUUUCACAGGCAUUACCGACUAAACAUGUAAAAUUCAGAUUUAAUUUUAUACGUUAGCCUUUUGUAUGGGACACUAGAAUAUUUAUCCCGUCUUGAAUUUACGUAAAAAGACAAUCCAAUAAGUGCUCAAAACACAUGUUCCAUGUCCAACACACGACAAAACAUUUCUGGUUGUACAUUAAUUGUACCCUAUAGUUAUUAUUUAUUAAUUUUCAGUGUGCAGAAAUCUUUAAUUUUCAAUUUUGUUAUUGUGAGCGAUUAUAUGUAAAAAAAAAAAAAAAAAAAAUUUGUAUUCUACUUAAUUUUCAAAUGGUCAAAUUUGAUUUUGUUUUUCUUUUUACCAUUGAGGAUGAAAGACUCAAUUGAUAUGUACCCAUUAGGUAAAAUCUUCAAGUACUGAUACAGUGUUAUUAAUUAUUAGGUAAAAUAUUAUUACUAUUUUAUUAUUAUUUUUUUAGAAAUAUCAUCCUUACACUUAAAAAUUUAUUAUUAAUUUAAAUGGUGCAUGAAUGGUUCCAUAAACGGUUGUAAUAAAGUGUUUCUUAAUUAACAAACCGCUAGUUAAGGUAAAAAGAUCGUUUGUUCCUCAAUUAGGGCAAAACUAUUUUGCAUUUACAAAUUGUGGCAUUAUUGAUGUUGGCGUCUUGUUCUCUACGUGGCUUUGUCAAAGUCCAGUCGCGGCCAUCACUAAUGACCAUUAACAGUUGUUUGUGAGUGCAGCAAAUCAACGCCACCAAUUAUUCAUUUUCUUUGACAUCCUGGAUGAGAAAGAGACCCGCAAUUCAGAAAUGUUUAUAACAAUCAAUAAAGGUUUGUUUGUAUCACCUCAUAUUCUAAUCAUCUCAGUAGCAUUUCAGUUUUUAUCAAUUUGAUGAAUUUAUAAAAAAACUAUAUAUAUUAUGGAGCAAUCCGUUUAAAAUAUUUUGAACUUUGCAUGUUAUAACGAUUGCAUUCUAAAAUCAAUUUCAUCGCAUAUAUUUCAGUUUCAAACUCACGUUAUAAUUGCAUCUUAAUAAAUGAAUAAAAAAAUAAAUUGAUGGGAUACAAGAAUUAAAUAAAUGAUAUUUAAAUAUUAAAUAUGGUAAAUAUCAUUUAUACUGUAUAUAUUUAAAAAGUGUAAUAAAAAAAUUUUGGGUUAAAUAUCAUUUAUUCCAUUUUUUUUUAUCUACCAAUAAAUAAAAGAAAAAAAUAAAUGAUUUUUUUAAUUAGCAUUUGAAAUAUUUGAUGAAAAUAUUUAUGCAAAAACUAACAGUCUUAUUUGUUAAAAUAAUCUCAUGAAAAUAAAAUUAAAAUUAAACCAUUUUCAUAAUUGCAAAUUAAAAUUUUAAAACAAAUUUAUUUGUCAAUGCAUUGUUGUCUAAUUGGUCUUCUCGAUUUAAUACGAAAAACGAAAGAUUUACUAAUCCAGAAAAAUUUUUAUAAAAUAGAUUUACUAUUUGGCUCCAUUUUUUUUUACAAAGAAAGUCACUGAGUGAAAUUGAGUUGAUCUAUUUUUCAUAUGGUAUUUUACUGAAUAUUUAUAGUGAGACAUUAGAGCACUAAUGUCUCUGCACAUGUGGCCAUAUGAAUGGUAUUAUUAUUUUUAUUGAUUCAAAAAGGCAAUUGGAAGAAAGAAAAAAGAAAAAAGAAAAAUCUGAUAAAUGAGUGUAUGUACAGACAUUAGAGCACUGAAUUAUUAGUCCAUUGGUGAUGAUGAUGAUGAUGCUAUUUGCAACAAAAAAGCAAAUGAAUUUUUCCAUUUCAUGCCAUACUUCUUUACUCUCUAUUCUCUAUUAUGGUCUUGCAGUUGCAGUCUUUUUAUGCUUGCAAAUAUCUCCUUCAGUUAUGUCCUUACUUUUCAAAUUUUGCCCCACCUUCAAUAGAUAAACAGACUUUCUUUUUCUUUUUUGAAGAAACAAUUCUCACUACAAUAGUGGGCAAAUUACUUCACAUUUAUCAUGUUUAAAAAAAAAAAAAAAUUUAUCUUUCUUAUUUCAAUACUAGAUUUAAUUUAGGUCUUUGCGUUAUUCAUAAAUAAUGUUAUUUUACUCGAUUUACUCUAAAAAUAAUAUUUGCAGAUACAUUAGUCUGGUAUUAGAGUGCAUGCAUUAAAAAUUAGCUAGCAAAAACUUAUUUUCAUGUUAGAAUGAGAAUAUUUAAUUUUUAAUUUUAAAUACUAAAAUUUCUUUAAAUAUAUAUAUUUAAAAAAAAAAUUAUCCCUUCCAAAAUAAUUAAUUAUAAACUGUUCUAUUACAAAAAGACAAGACAAUUAAUCAAUGAAUUUUUACUUAUAGUAAGGACGGUUUUAUAAAUUUAAAUAUGUAAUAAGAAAAAAAAAUAUGAAAUGAAUUUUUUGAAAAUACGUUUUUUUUUAGAAGGCACAACUUUGCUUGACCCCAUAUCUGUACUGUCCAUUCAAAAAGACGUGUUAACGCAUAACAUAAUAAGCUGCCAUUGGCAUGGCAAUUGGCGAAGAACAGAAAGGACCUGCUCCACCACACUCCAAACAAACAUAAAUCUUUUAUUUCGCAUUAAACUAGACAGUGACAUGAGUGGAAAUUACAUAGAGUACCCUUCUCAUGCAUAUUAUUUUCCCUCCAACACGUUCGGCGAGAGAGAAUACUAAGAAUACGGAUGACGUGUACAGGUGCCGCAUGUUAGGAGGACCCGCUCUCUAUGGGGAGGUUUUUUGCUUGACCACCGGGUUUCCGUUGGAAAGAAAAAUCAGUUCUGGAGAGAAAGAGAAAGAAGCCAGCUCCACCAGAGACAAGAACAAAAAGAAGGAAAAAUAUGAAAAAAAUUCUCUAAAGUCUCUCUUCUGUUUCUAUCUUUACGCUUCCUUCUCCUUUCUCCUUUUCCUUUUUGUUUCGUUUUUCUCCAUCUAAUCAAGGUACAUUCUCAAUUAAAAUAUUUAAUUCUGCAAAUUAACUGUUUCUAUGGAAUUUUAUUGUCAUUAGCUUCAUCAUUGCGGUCAUGGCGGUGUGGUUGCAGAGUGUGUUCGGUUUCUGAUCGUCAACUGAGAUGUGAUUUUGUGAUUUGUGGAUCAAGCCAUGACUACGAGCAAGAACACGAUCACGAAUGCACACACAGAGUCGCCUCAGGUUUUGUUAUUACAAUUAGGUUUUUGUUUUCGUGAUUACAAUGUGAUUCAACACAAUGCCGCUCAAAUCGUAGAAUCUGCUUGUUCAUGGCGCUAUCUUUUUUUGAACUAAAAUUAAAAUUAGAAUUCGUUUUGUACAGUGAUCGCAUGUCAAGUAGGGAAAAUUUUGGCUACAGAAUUGAUGUUUGUGUUUCGUUUUGUGUAGGGAGAUGGUGUUGCUCCUCAACCUCCUCCAGGUCCCCCGCCACAGGGACAGCCCGAUGUUCGUGCUCGGGCUGGAAAUGCGGUGGUUUAACUCUUUCCAUUGUUGUUAUUUUAUUAUUUUUAUCUUUGUAUAUUUUCUCAUGAGAUUCGCUGAUCACCAUUAGUUAUUGUCACCAUCAUUGUUGGUCAUCAUAACAUUUUUUUGUCUUCCCAUUUUUCUAACCUCAUAAUUUAUAUGGAUUACGUGUGGAUAUUUAACUAAUCCUUCAUAAUAUAUUAUAUGAAAUAAAUCUUGAUAGUAGUUGCCUCAUUUAUGUGGACCAGUGUAGGAUUUUAUCCGCUAGUUCAUAUUAGAUUUUUUGCCAUCUAGUUUAUUGCUCAUUUUGAUUUAUAAUCCCUUGUUUUUAAGAUCCUAGGCAUUUUGCUACCUGAUGUAUAUAAUUUGUGUUGCAGAUAUUCAAGAGUGGGCCUCUUUUUAUAUCAUCUAAAGGUGAGUUGAAUAUGCACAUCUAUAGUCCAGUCACAAUAUUUAAAUUUUGCUAACUCCAUUCUUAAUUUCUUAUAUGUAACAUAAAUAUUUUAGGUACAUCUGUCAUUACUUUUGUGAGGAUCAUUGGCCUAUUCUGAAGUUAAAUUCUCUAUUUUUUUCAAUUUUUUUAUUAUGUAGGAAUUGGGUGGACAUCCUGGAAGAAGCGGUGGUUUAUUCUAACACGAACUUCAUUGGUUUUCUUCAGAAGUGAUCCAGUAAGUAGUUUCACAUAUAGUAAUAAAUAAGGAAUGUUUUUAAUUUUCACCCAGCACCUCAUCCAGGAUUCUAACUAAUGGAAAUUUAGUCUCAUUCCUCUCUCCUGCUUGCUGGUUGCGGUGUGGCAUUUUUAUAGUUGAAUAAAUUUCACCUACUAUAUUUAAACUUUCCAGAGUACUGCUCCUCAAAAAGGGGGUGAAGUGAACCUGACUCUUGGUGGUAUUGACCUCAACAAUUCAGGCAGGUCAGCUUGCUUUUUCAAAUUAGACAUCGUUCAUUUCUGUUCAUCCAUUGUAAUUGUUUCCACAAUAGAAUGAAGUCUAGUUUUCUAACUUCAUAGUACUUUAUUUGGAUGAUUUCUAGUGUGGUUGUCAAAGCAGACAAAAAGCUCUUGACUGUUCUCUUUCCUGAUGGCCGUGACGGGCGAACUUUCACUCUUAAGGUGGUUCUAUAUUUCUUUAUCACGUUUUCUCUUGAGAUUUCGUGGUAUUAUUGCACAGAUGAAUAAAUUCUUCCAGGGCUUAAAAAGAACUGGAGCUUAAGGAUAUUCGACUUAUCUUGCUUGCAAAAAUCUCAUAUAAUAGUUUUUAGUUAUUCAGUUCAGUUACUGGAAGUUAGUUCUAUUUGUGAUUGCUUGAAGAGUUGCUUUUUAGAAAGGAUAUUAAAACGGGUAUAGAAUAGGUAACAUGAUUUGUAAUAACUUAACCAGUUAAUGAAUCAAGCUGUUCCUGAGCCAUUCAAAUCUAGCUCAAGGAUUAUCAUUCUUAGCUCAUUUAAUAAACAAGGUUCAAAGUGAAGCUUGAGCAUGAUCCAAUCACCCAAUAAACAAGUUGAAUUUUAUUUUGCAAGCUGGCAUUUUUAUGCAUUUUUAUUCUAAUUCUAUAUCAUUCUUUUGCCAUGAACAAAUUUGCAACAUCCUUUUUUACUUGUAUUAGCAUAAAACAUGAAGUGGAUUUUCUCAUAAAUGUUUGCAACAAUUUGAAUGGUUUAGAUAGUUGCAUUAUGAUAUUAGAAAUGGACCCAGAAGACUGUUUUCUUUGUAGGAAAUUUUAUGUACUCAAUUAGUUUAUAUAUAUUAAGAUACUGAACCACGGAAGUAGUUUGACUCUUCACACCCAAAUUGACAGAUAUCUAUAUAUUUUACGGGCCUUAACUAAUUGCAAAUAUGAAAAGGUUAUUACUUUCACUAAUGCGGUUACUCCAUUGAGUGUUUUUUAUGAUAAUUGCAGAAAACUCUCAACAAUAAAUUGUGAUUCCAUUUUGGCUUCGUAUGGAAAUUUUGUUUAUUGCUGCUAAUGAAUGGAGUUGCAGAUCAGUUUAGAUCACCUCUUCAAGGCCUUAUUGAAAUUUUGUUUACCAUUUACAUAUGUUUGGAUACAGGCUGAAACAUCGGAAGAUUUAUAUGAGUGGAAGACUGCGCUCGAAAAUGCUCUGGCACAAGCACCAAGUGCUUGUCUUGCGAUGGGGCAAAAUGGUAUCUUCAAGAAUGAUCAGCUUGAAGGAGCUAAUGAUUCUCCGGAACAGUGUAAGCAACAUAUAUUGUUCGUUUUGCAUUAACAUUUUGUGCUUGCUGCUAUAAUUUUUUGUAUUUGACAGUCUUGUAUAGCCUAAACUUUUGCUUGAUGUACCAAGACCCUUGAGUUUAACACUGCAAAUACAUGAGAAGCGAACAUUUUGGACAAUUAGUCAAUUAUUUCAAAACACUGAUGUUUAAGUAAAUCUAUUCUUUAUGCAAACAAGUAGCAACCCAACUCUCUAUCAAUUUUGUUCGUAAUUUCAAGUAACAAGAAUGUCAAUAUCACAUGGUGUUCUCUCAUGACCUUUAUAUAUCAUUCUUCCAAUUUUUACUUUCCAUUGGAUCUUCAUAUUGGGCCUCCACUGUGGCUAAAUUACUGGGCAUGGAAAUUCUUCAAAGUUUCUUUAGAGGCAUUUGCAGCAUUGGUUAUUCUGUGAUGUUCAGAACUUGGAAUCCUAUUCUCCAUCCCGUACCCCUGAAAUUUUUCACUCAGUUAAGAUACUGACUCUUUGUUUUUGCCCCCUGCAGCAAAGGAUAAAGUGCCUUUACAAGCUUUGGUCAUUGGCAGACCAGUUUUACUAGCUUUAGAAGAUGUUGAUGGAUCUCCUUCUUUUCUAGAAAAGGCUCUUAGGUAUAUAGAAGAGCAUGGUAGGUUUUUCUUUCCCAUGGUUGUUUAUGAUACCAUUCAAUUAUAUUUUGACAUGUAUUUUCUAAGACUGUAUAUUUCAUAUCCUCUCUACUCAGCGUGGAACAUGCUUUUCCAUUUUGUUGGAUCGAUAUGUUUUCUUCGUGUGCCUCGACUAUGCAUGUAUUGAGAUGACAUAAUUGCUGAGUGGUCUCCAGCUGUGCCCAAAGGUUAUAAUAAUCUCUUAGAAUUUUAUUGUGCACAUGGCUGUAAAUUAGUUUUACUUGAAAUUUACCAAAAUCUACUUGUCUCUGGGUAGUCUAUGGGCUAGGGUUCUAAAUAAUGGUUGUUUCAUAACAUAUCAACCAUUUCGUAGUGGAAUUUUUACCAUGCCACUAUUUUCCGCUUCUCUGCAAGUGAUUUGCCAAUCACCUCGAAAAUAUUAGGCAAAACAUGAGGAACGAUGCAAACACUUUAAAGCUAUUAUUUUUUGUUUACAUCUCUGUGACACUCCAAGUCUCCCCUUUUUUUUGCUCACAUGCAAAUGGAGAGUGGGUCUCCAUUUCUUAGUCUUGGAAACAUCUAUAUUAUAUACUGUCUAUACUAGUUCUGGUUUUUGAAAAUCAUUCAUUUAUGCAAUGAUGAGUGAUCAGCAAACUCUUUCAUCAAAACUUUCUAUUACUUUAUAAAUUGUUCCUUUAGGUUACUCCUCACUUAAUAUCAUAGAUGUUUUAUUAUUUUUUAACUAAUAUUUCUUGUUUAUUGAUGAUCGGAGUGAUCUUGCUAAUUGCUUGAAAAAUUCGCAGCAAUAGCCAAUAUGCAAUGAUUCCAUGAUACCAAUUUCCUGUUAUUGUUUCCAAUUCUGUUAUUUAGAAGCCUGCUGUGGAUAUUUUGUUGCUUGGAAAAGAUGCAUGUGAUUUAGUAGUUGUGCGUUGAUUCUUCAAGUUUUGUAGAAUGCCUUGGAAGAAAAUAAUAACUUUUCUUUGUGCUUUUUCAAUUCCAUUCUUUUUGUUUUUAGAUAAACAAUUAUGGAUCACAGAAAUAUUUAUGUUAAUUUCCCUUUUCAAUAUUCUCUUCCAACUUAUUUUUCCUUCUAAAUAUUCUUAACAUAAAGCUUUCAGUUUCAUGUAGAGGUCUUUUCGAAAUCCAUCGAGAUCUCUGGCACGUUAGAAAAACCUCUUUUGCUAUUGGUUAAAGAUGGAAAUAUUUGUUUUCCUUUUCCCAAUUUUUUGAAUCUGAUUGACUGAAAGUAAUAAACAGGGGUCAAGGUGGAAGGAAUCUUGCGGCAAGCUGCAGCUGUUGAUGAUGUUAAGCAUCGAAUUCGGGAAUAUGAACAAGGUUUGUUUACCAAUUUUAGUUUUUCCCUGACUGCAGAUGAUGCAAGUUAUCUUUUGUCACAUUUCACAUUUUAAAUCAAUUUAAAGUUUAAUGUUUACAUAUUCUUUUCCUUGAAACAUUUAACAAGUACUUCCAAGAAGUAAAUUGUUGAGAUCAUAUUUAAUUAGUAAAGCUUUAUUUGCUUAUGUUGUAUAGAUAUAUAAGGCUGUUGCAUCAUAUUGUAAAUUUCGUUUGUUACUCUUUUAUAUUUUAAAUGUUCUGGAUCAUGCUUUAUCAUAUAGGAAAAACAGAGUUCGCUGCAGACGAAGACGCACAUGUGAUUGGUGAUUGUGUCAAGGUAUUUCCUUUUCAGUCAAAAGAAAUGAAGUUGAGAGCAUUUUGUUUAACCUUUUUAUUUAAUAUUCUUGCAAUUUUCCAGUAUUUCCUCCGUGAGUUGCCAUCGUCUCCAGUCCCUGCAUCUUGCUGCAAUGCACUGCUACAAUCAUUUCGUAAGUCUAUAUUGAAGUGUGUAUUUUAUUAUUGUCAUCUGAUACUAUGUUGCUUUAUGUAUUAAUUUACUUACUAUUAUAUGACAAUGCAAUUUGGAACUGCCAAAGUGCACUUUCAAUUGAUAAAUUUAUACAUUCAUUUAUUCUUUAUUCAUUUUGCAUAGAAAACUUGUAGAAUCACAAAUCUUAUUUGGAGAGUAACGUUUUUUCUUCCAAAAAUAUAAUUUUACUUCUGAUGAUUUCAAUCACUUUUCAAGAUUGAGAGGGAUUUAGUUCUCUUGUUGGUCAAAUUAAAUAGAAUAUAAGGCGAUGUUUAUAAUUUUGUGAAGUAAUAAACUAUGUUGGACAAUGUAAAUCAAAAGGAUUCCUAUAUUGCAUGGCUUUUGUAUGCACUGUUCAAAAAUAAUUUCUGUAAUAUUCAAUGCCAUUGGUAAGUGGAAUACAAGUUUGUGUAAGAGUUAUGCACAUUAAAGCAUAAAAUCCAUAAAUAUAACUGUUCUCUUUUAGAUAAAUAUUUUAAUAUAUAGUAGGUGAUCAGGUUAAGGUUUUACAACAAUUGGAUUUUUCAAGCUAGUUUUGGAAGGAAGCAUUUGCCUAGAUGGUAUUUCUGAAUCAAUAGUAACAGUUCAUGAUUUAAAAAUCCAUGACGAGAUUUGAUCCAUAGCCUACCUUGCACAAAUUUGAUCUGCUUUUCUUGGAUAUGAGACUAAGCUAAAGAAUCUGGUCAAAGACUGGAAUCUUAAUGACUUUGUGUUGGUAACUUGUGAUAGUGAUAGGAAACACAAUGAAAACGGAGUGCUGGAAAUUUGUGAUGAUAUAUACCUUAAGCAUUUGAGAUAUUAAGCUGACAUUCUUGCUGUAUAAAGUUGUAAUCCUCUUAAAAAGUUCAGUGGAAAUUAGUCAAGGAAAUUGGUUCUGAUGUUGUUCAUAUGCCAGUACAUUUGGAUGUUUUCAGUUCACUACGUAGUUUUUUAAUGCAUGUUUUCCCUAUAUUUGACAAUUUCAAUGUUUAGGAACUGACCGUGCCAACCGAGUUAAUAACAUGCGAGUAGCAAUAUUAGAGAACUUCCCUGAGCCAAAUCGUCGCUUGUUACAAAGGUAUUUGAUGUCUCCUUUGUCUGUUAUAGGGUAUGUGGAUAUUCUGACAUAUACCUUAAAGCAUCUGUAAGUUUUCUUCAUUACUUUGUGUAUUUUGGUUUCCCUCCCAUCUUUGCUUGGGUUUUUCUCAGAUAAUUUUGACAUGCCACUCUUUAUUUCUCUAUCUGCAACCACAUGGUCUCAUAUUGGACCUUGAAAGAUUCAUAAAUUCAUACCUAUGGUUUCUUAGGGUAGAGCAAAAGAAAUAAGUGCUGAAGUUAGUCACAUCACAUGAAAUAUCUCUAGUGGCAGUCAAAAUUCUUUGCAAUGCCUAUGACCAAUAGGAAACUGAAAACUAAAGUAAAGAUCUAUUUGUCCUUUUUGUUGUAUUUUCACAAGAACUGUAAUGUGGAAUAUGGAAGGUGUGUGCUCUAAAUAUUCCUUUUCUUAUUAAUUUAAGCUUUUUCAAAUGAUAAUUUUAAAUUAUACAUAAUUUUAGCCAUUUGAAUUAAGAAUCUGCACUCUGUAGACUAGAAUAUCUCAUCCAUUUAUGGAAUCAGGAAUGAACAUGGUAAUGUCUUCACUUUACCAAAUUUUUUCCCCAUGCAGAAUAUACUUCUUUUUCCCGCUUAAGUUUUGCUCUCUGCUGUAACUACGUUUUUGAUUUUAAAUAAUUAUCUCACUUUUCUGUGCGUUUAGAAUUCUAUUGAUGAUGCAAACUGUGGCCUCCCACAAAGCUGUGAAUCGAAUGAGCACUUCAGCUGUUGCUGCAUGUAUGGCACCUUUACUUCUUCGUCCCCUUCUAGCCGGUGACUGUGAAAUUGAAAAUGAUUUUGAUGUGGGAGGUGAUGGUUCCAUGCAACUUCUACAAGCAGCUGCUGCAGCUAAUCAUGCUCAAGCCAUUGUUAUAACAUUACUGGAGGAGUAUGAUAAGAUAUUCAGUGUAGGCUGUGAUUCUCUCCUUUUAUUUUGAAUUGCUUCUGAUAUGACAUUAUCAAUCUAACAUCAAAAGCAUACUGAUGUCUAAAUUUGAAUUAUGUUUAUAAUGUUUUGGAGUAUAAAAUGAUUACGGAUAGACAAAUGGAAUUUGGAGGGGAUGACAAGUUAAACUUAAUAGAUUUCUCAUUUUCCUCUUCACAUGAAGUCAUUAAUGGCUCUGAAGUCCAUUUUCAGAUGGAAAAUGGUGCUAACAUCUUCCUGAUUUGCAGUUUCAGUUUUAGCUGCAAUUACCCCAUAUUGUAUGUUCUUCUACUUGGGUAGUAAAAAUAAAAUAUUAGUAUAAAUGCUUGAAAAACUAUAUGAUAACUUUAUAGUGCAAUAAAAUGUGAAUUUGUGAUAUUCUAGUUGUAAUAAUGAACUAAUUAGUAAAGAAAUCAAAAUGUUGAAUUUCAAGAAUGAUGGUAUAGCUUCAUCUAAAAUUAUUUUCCACUUCGUACUUUUUCUGAGUUAAUAUAGCUUCUUCAGGAAGGUGGUGAUGUGUCCCCUGGAAUAUACUCUGACUCAGAAGAGUGUGGAAGUGAUGAUGAGGAGGUAACGGAUGAUGAUGAGUCCUAUGAAGAUGAUGAACCUGAUGAUGCAUCCCAAGAAUCUGAUGCUUACACAGAUGAUGGUCAUAACAAUGCAACUGGAUCUGAGAGUGGUUCCGGUGACAAUCUGCCUGGCAAAAAGGUCCGUCAGCUGUACUUUCUAGCAUAAACAUUAUUUCUGUACUAUAGACGUGGAAAUGUGGUUUGCACUGAGAGUGGUUGUAUUUGGCUGCUAUAGAAAAUAAAGGUGCAGAUUACUUACCCUAGCUGCUUCAAAGAUGCAGGAUUGCCAAGAUAUUAGCUGUGGUUCCAAGCCCCAUGAAGUGGCUAAUGAUUCUAUAGUCACUCUGGAGUCCUUAAGUGUAGUUCCAACAUCAUUACCUUCACAUAGUGAUGUACAGAGGAGCGAGAAUGUUCUGGGCCAAAGUAAUAUUAAUGUGGCAAUGCGUACAAUUGAGUCUGAUGAAUUAUUCAGAGAUUUUCCUAGGGAAACUACUUUGGAGAAUAAGCAAACAAAUGAUCGACAUUCAUGCAUUGGAAAAUCUGUGAGCAUGUCUAAUGAACUUGCACACAACACUAAACCUGCAACUUGGGGGCGUAUCACUGUGAGUAUGUUUUCUCUAUGCAUCUAUGUUUGGGCAUUUCAGAAUCAAUAAUUUCCUCCCCGCCUAGCAUUCAUCCACUUUCUUGUUCUCCCUUUUGCAAAAGGAAUAUGGGAAAUUGGAUUGCAUAUUUUAUCAUUUUUCCUGUUACCAAAGAAUACUAUUUUUCACAAUGAUUAGCUAUUUUGAUACGAGAGUAUAAUUUUUUUUCUUUUUUUUUGUUUUAUAUUUAUUUUUGGACAUGGAUUCAGGCAAAGAAGAACCUUUCUAUGGAAUCCAUUGAUUACCCUUUAGAUGAUGAGUAAGUUCUCCCUGUUUCAUAUAUAUCAUGCAUAUUUUAUGUUCAUAUUAGCCCCUUGACACCAUUAACUGUGUAUGCGAAACUUAUUUUGUUUCAAUUUUUUAGUUGAGGGGUAAAUCUGGAAUGUCAGAUAACUCUUGCUCUAAACAUGAUUCAAGCAAGACUUGCAUGCAUGAGAGAAAGAAAAGUAGGCAUAAUAUGGAGCAAUUUUUAAGACUUAAAUACUAGGAGGAAGAUGUUUUUCCCCUGAUAUCCAUCUUCUCAUUCCUUUUACAUAAUCAAAACGACCACUAUAUUCUGAGGAAAUAUGCUGCGAUUGAUGUAUGAAAAAUAUUUUAGGAUUUUUCUUUUUGAGAAUUUUCAAAAUCCUAGUUUUUCUCCUUUCUGUGGUAUCUUUGUUGGAGUGCAUGUUCCAUUUCCUUUUUGUCAAUUGGUUUCCUAUGGUAGCAGACUGCAAACAGAAGCUCUAGAUGUCAAUUCUUAAACUCCUCUUUUCAAAUCUAAAGUUAACCUUCUUUUUCCUGACGAACUCUAUAAUUAUCAAGCUCGAUUACUUUUUGGAUUGUAAAAUAUGCAAGUUCCUUCAUGAUUACUGAUUAUAGUUAGGUACCUCUCACUUUAUCCUGAACUCUGUAAUUAUCAAGCUCAAUUACAUUUUGAAUGUGUAAUUUCCUUCAUAGUUAGGUGCCCCUCACUUUAUGCUGUAGCUUUGAACAGUUUGACAUGGAUGCUUGUAGUUCCAGCAUCAAUAGUUCAUCCAUCUUCUUGGAGGAUAAGGAUAUAGAAACUUUAAAAAAUGCGUCAUGUUUUUAUUCUUGUUGCAGAUUUUUUGUUCCAAAAAAAAAAAAAAAAAGAAAUAUUUGGAAAUUCCAUGACACCUUUCUUUAAGCAGUGUAGACAGAUACUAGUUGGACUCCUGGUUACUUCCAUCUGACUUUUUGACCUGAAUGUAGAGAUGAAAUCCAAAAGCUGGAGGCGACUAAAACUGACUUGCAACACAGAAUUUAUGAAGAGGUGCAUACUUCAGAUGAUGCUCUUUUUUAGUUAAGAGGGAAGUCUUCUGGGAUUUUUUUGACAAUAAUUCACUCUGUUUUCCUUACAGGUUAAAGGUAACGCUGUUCUUCAAGCCAACUUGGAAGAACGAAAGAAGGCCUUGCACGAGCGCCGUCUAGCUCUUGAGCAAGAAGUACGUUCCAUAUGGGAGAGUUAUGCUUUUCUUUUUGUUGUUAUAAUGAUUUUGCCUUUGUUCCCUCCUUAGCUUACUGUACAAGGAUAUUUUUGUUGUCUAAGCAAGCUGAGGUGCCUGCUGAAAUUCUCUUCCCCCCCCCCCCCCACCAAAAAAAUUUUUUUUUUUUUUCUUCCCUUCUUUGCAGGCUUGGUAGGAGAUGUGGGAAGGGGAAUGGAUUAAUUAGUUAUACUUUGCUUGAUAUUUUUUAUCAUGAAGGAACUAGGAAACCGUCAUAGUCACGCUACAUAGAAAGAAGAAAAUUAUAGGUUAUUUAAGUGAGAAUAUCAUGAUCAGUAUAUUUCUACUGCAUGAUUUUGUUAUGCUUUUGUUUCCUUCUUCGAUAAGUGAUGCUACGACAAACAUGCCUUACAUUGUGAAAGAACCUACGCGGAAGAAGAAAACCUUUGUGAUUUUUAGUAACUUGUUUACGUUUUCAGCAUGACUUGAAUUUAAGUUGUGGUGACUGAAUUUCAGUAAUUUAGAAGAUACUUAGGUGAACGCAAAGAGAUGCAAAAAAUUGAAUCUUUAUGUUGAUGCCUGGAAUAUGGCACUCAUAGUUUCAUGUAUCUUUACUGUCUUAUUGUUGUUGUUUUCUCACAUAUUUAUAGUUGCUUCUGAGUUUUCAUCAAGUAAAUUCUAUGGACUUUGUUGAAAUGGUUUUAGAGUUUUUCCAAUAUAAUGCUACAACUGGCAAAGGUGCAAUUGUCAUUGUAGAUGUUAAAUGUAUUUGCAGGUGGCAAGAUUACAGGAAGAGCUGCAAAGGGAGAGAGAUAAGAGAACAGCUCUGGAAGCAGGACUUCACAAAUCUCAGGCACACCAACCUGUUCCUGUUAACAUUGAUGAGAAAGUUAGUCCAGCUUUGUUAAGUGCUAAUUAUAAUUUGGCUUCAACAAAUUAUUAAUUUUGCAAAAUGUGCUAUAGUUGAAGGCUGACCUUGAGGAAGUAAGUCAAGCAGAGUCAGAAGUCACCAAUUUGAAACUGGUGGUGGAUGACCUGAGUGUGCAGCUGAUUCAACAACGUGAGCUAAAUUAUGGUUCUACACUUGAUUCAAGCAUUCAGCCUGUGUACACUUCAAACAGGUGAUCUAUAUACAAAACCUUCUUACUUCUUCUUCAAACAGGUGUUGUCUGUCUAUGCUGAUUCUUUUAGAAACACAGAAAAUUAAAAAUGUAUAUAUUUAGUGUCUAUGCGAAUGGAAGUUGGUGUUGCUCAGGAUAACAUAGUUUGAUUGCAGGAAAGAUAAGCAGAGAGAUACUGAAGCUAUUACUACUUCACAGCUUGGAAGGUCAGCAAAUAAGGUAGCUGCCACUUGGCAUUUAAUGUAUAUAUUGUUGACAAGUCAAAUUAGACUUUAGUUAAAAGAUGGCAUCUCUUUUAGUCAAUUCUGGAUAAUUUUGACUUAUAACAGAUAUCGUAAGGCUAAUUUGUUAUUUGGUAUCUGUUAUUAGCUUCCUCAUUUCUUCUUGUGUUACUCACAUCUUAAAGCACUAGUUAGAUUCCAUCAGUUUUUGCUUUUAUGGUUUAAUUUUCUGAAACAUGACACUAGUGGUUACAAAUCCUAAUUUGGCCAAUUUUGGCCAUGUUCACAAAGGAUAUUGCUAGUACAUGAGACUCUUCACUUUGGAACGUUUGUUAGACAAUUGUCUAUCAUAUGCAGCCUUUCCACUGCUGCCUUGAAGAGUGCCUGGCAUUGUUUAAGCUAGUAUGCCUUGUGAUUGGUUUAAUUAGAUCGCUAAUAAGCAAAAAGAAGCUGAAACUGAAAUAAAUAAAUAGAAAUUAAAAACUUCAAAUGAAGCUAGCAUACCUGUUAACUAGCACAGCUCUUGCCAAUGUAAAUUCUCUAUUAACGUGCAUUAAUUAACGGUGGGCUUUGGUUAUGACAGGAUACCAGUGCAGAUGACUCUUUUAGUUCACCAAACAAGUAUUCAUCUCACAGUCAGCAUCCAGAUCCAGUUCGUAGCAGCACCAACUCCAGGUCUUCAUCCAGUUCCAAGAAGUCUGGCUUAAGACCUGAGGUAAGCCAUUAAACUUUAUAAUUUUGUUGGAGUGGGGGGAAGAAGCAUCAUUUCAAGGGGGAAAAAAAAUCAAACUAAUGUCUUGGUGGUUCGGGUGUAAGAUAUUGUGUAUGCAAGUUGGAUUUCUGAAUCUUCUAGCAUACAAGUUCUCUACUUUCUCGCAGAACCAUGAAAGUAAUUUGCUUAUUUCAAGUUGCCAAAUUGGCCUGAAACAACUCCACAUUUUACUUUCAUGGAAACCCCUUAGUUCUAGUAUAAUCAUGCUUCUUGCCACGCCUGUGUGCAAAACAGGGAGUGAUUUCCACUACUUCUGCGCUGACAAAGUUGACAACCCGACUCAAUUUUCUGAAGGAGCGGCGCAGCCAGCUUACAAAUGAGAUCAUAGAUAAAGGCCGUUCAGGUCCUGCAGCUCCAACUCCUAAUAAAGUUAUAGGCCCGGAAGUCCGUCAAUUACCCCAAGUCCCAGACAAGAGCCAAGUUUCAGAAGUUCAAAAUCCAGAAAAGGGUAGAGGCGCAGAGAGCUCUCAAUAUCCCCUGAACCCAGAGAAAGGGUUGGGUAUAGAAGGUCAAUCACAUAAAAAUUUUGAAAAAUCUAAAAGAUCAGGUAGUCACUUAGACGGAGGAAAAUCUUUGGAAAGUCCAGACAAAGGAAGACCUGAAGGCCAUUCUAGCAAAUCUAAAGGAUCAGGAAGCCAACCUCUAGCAACUCCACGAACCAACUCCAGAUGAUACUAACUUUAUGAUUCAUUGUUUUUAUGUAGCACAUUGUUUAUAUCCUACCUUAGCAAUUUAAAUGAGAUUGAUCAUGGCACUUGGAAAAUGAAGAAGCUUGUGGGAUAGCAUGUUUGUUGGAGGUACUUGAUGGCUAUACUGAAAGAUGUUCAAAAGUCCUGACACCCCCCUGAUAACCCAGGUUGUACAUAUCAAUCAUCUCCUUGAUGUAAGUUGAGAUGCAUUAGCUGAAUUGUAUUUAAGUUAGCUUCUGAUUUUUUGCUGGUUCAGAUUUGAAGCAGGAUUCUGUUAACAUCAUUUUUGUAUUUUGGAUAAAUGCAAAUUUAAUGUAAAUUGGAGUUGUUUAGCCAGGCUCUUACAGGACCUGGGGUCAAGCCUCCACUUAGCAAAAUCAGUUGCAUCUCAUCAUUUUUGGAACUGGUUACUUAAUUUUAGCAAUUCAAUAAUGAAACUGGCUGCCGUUUGGAAAGCCUUAUUGACCCCCUAUUCAUUAAUGCAAUACGUUUUUUUGCACUGACCAAUUUCUCUAGUGGAGGGCCCCAGCAGUUAGUGCCUUCUUGCCGCAAAUUGCACAGUUUCAUGCACUAAACACCUAAUGCUACUGCCCUAGGUCACAAAAUUCUCGGGCAAUUCAAUUAAAACAGUCACCAUUCAACGCAAUAUGCGACAAGUCAGAUUCUUGAUUUAAAAGGAGAUCGAAGAAUUCUUAUUAUUGUCAAUAAUAAUUUAAUAGCUAAAUGGAAAAUGCAUAUUAAUUUCUCAAAUAAGCCUCAAAACAAUAAUUAAUUAUUACUAAUUUGUCGCGUCAUCAUCAAAUUUGAUUAGAAAUCCUUGAGCAAUUUUCUCACUUGCUCGAGAGUCACAAAUAGAACUACAGUGAAAGGCCCCUGCCUUGAAAUCGUAGGUAUAAAUCCUUUGUAAAGGGACAUAAUCCCUUCAGCUCUCACUGUCUUCAUUGCACAAUCAAUGGCUCCAUUAUACGGUGGGGCCUUUCCUGGCUCAACCUUCAUGUUCAUAACCCUAGUCUUGAUCACAUCCACCGGAUUUGACGCAACGGCCGCCACAAACCCUGCCGCGAAGCUUGCCGUCACGUGCGUUCCCAGCCCGUCCCUCAUCACACCAUUUUCCAAAAUCGCUUCUUUGAUCUGAUCGUACGACGCCAGUUGCGACGCCGUCACGAUCAUCGCACGGUUCACCGUCAAGGAAGACCCGCGCCAUAGGCUUGUGACUCCUUCCUGCUUCGACAUUCGCGUGAUGGCGUCAAUCACUCCGUUGUAGUUACGCCGCUGAGCAAGAGGAAGACGUCCAUCGGCUUGCAUCCUCACCAUCGCCACGUCGGCAGGGUUACCAACUGCCGCACCAAUUCCUCCGGCGAUUAAUCCUGCGGUGAUCUUACUCACUAGCGGCAUGUUUCCGGUAUCUGGAUUACUCCAUUUCUUUUUAAGAACAUCGUAGAGGCCCAUUCGAGUAGUGGAAUAGAGUGUCUGACGAAGAACAGUAGCUGAAACGCCGGAAAACAAAGCAGCAACACCUUCAGAUUGGACAAUGCGAAUACCAACAGAGACAGGGCCAACACGUGGCGGCCUCGAAGGCACAUGGAUUGAAUUAGGAGGAAUGACGGCAGCAGAAGUAGAAGAAUUGAAGGCAAAAGCAGGGCGGAGAUUGUGGAGCUGCGGCUGUGGAUUUGGCAAGCUCUCGCCUUGAAGUUGCAUGCGGACCUUAAUCAGAUCCAGAGGAUGAGUAGAGCAGCCAGCAAUAAUCGAAGCAAUCCCACCUUCAACGAAACCUUUGGCACCCAUGGUUAGUAGCUCUCUUUCUCUUUACUCCUCUCUACUUUUUUGAGUUAAAAAUCAAAAAAUAAACCAAUAUUGUGUCAAAAAAAAUUCUAAAAAAAUAAAUCAAAACUAUAACCAGUUGGGUUUCAAGUCACUGGAAACGAGAAGAUGAGAGUGGACGCUAAAAGCUAUAGAAGAAGAGUGAGGGACUGUAGGCCUCUGAGACAUAUGCUAGAGAAAAUAGGGCAAAGAGCUACAAAAGGAUUUGAAGAGAAGGAUGUUUUCGAAAGAAGAGAGUUUAGCGAGAAUAUAUAGGGGUGCAAUUGGUGCAGGCGAAAGGGAAAGGAAAGUGUUGAAGAAGAAUAGAGUAGGGUGCGUAGAAGUGGCGGAGAUACGCGGUUAUGUUGGGGUCCAUGUUUUCAUGUUUGAUGCCCUAAAUUUAGGAAUGAGAGGCGAGUGGACCGGUUCUUUUGCUUUUCCAUCAGUAUUUUAUAAAUUUUAUUUCCCAGUUGUUAGCGUCCUCGGCCUGACUUUGACGCUACUUUUGGACUUCAGGUUAUAUCUGCUAACCCUCCUAAUUUGUUUUUUUCCCACUUUUUUCCCACCUUAUUGGAGUUUCGAGCACUUUUGUCUAUAAAAUUCUACUCCCUUCGCCAAAUACAAGUUGUGUUAAGAUGAUUUUUUUUAAUAUGAAUAUAAAUUAUUUUAAAAAUAUAUGAAAUUAAUUAUAUUUUUUAAAAAUUUUACUCUUAUUUAUAUUAAAUACAAUAAUUAAGGAUUGAGUAAAUUAUUUUUUAAUUAAUGUUUAUUUAAUGAGACAAAAUUCAAUGCGUAUACUUUUUAUAAGACUGAAAUUGAAAUAAAAUAAUUAAUAUUAUACUUUAAUAUUUCAAAAAAUGUCAUUAAAUGAAAAAAAACUGUUAAAUUUAAACAAAUUAUUUUUCAGAGAGAAAAAUACAAGAAAAAAAAAGUGCUUGUAUUCUAGUACUAUCUCUAUUUUAUAAUAUUUAUCACAUUUGAGAAAGUAAUUUAUUUUAAAAUAUUUGUGACAUUUGUGAUUCAAAAGAGUAAUAAAUAUUUUUUUUCUUAUUUAUUCUUUAUAUAAUAACAAUAAUUAUCAUUUCAAUUUAAUGAUUUUCUAAAAAAAUUAAUAUAAAAUUAAAAAUAAUAUAAUUAAUUUACUUAAUAAUUUAUUAUAAUUUAAAUAAAUUAAAUAAUUAUUAUAAGGGACGAAAAAUUUAAAACAUGGAAGCUAUUGUGAACCUGUAUCGGUCUGAUUGGACAGAAGAAAACGCGCUAAGCUGGCUAACUUAUUUAUUGCUGUCCGAAAAAGGUCUUUUCGACUUUGAGUCCGCAACUGCAACCAACCAUUUGCCAACUAAACUCCUUAAUUAUCGAGAGACAAAUAUUAUUUAUUUAGAAAAAAAGGAAAGAAAGAAGAAGAAUAAUAAUGUUUGCAAUUGCUUAAUAACAAACAUAUUUGUGAUUCUUAUGAUAAUAAUUCUUUUUCUUGAAAAAAUCUCCGGAUAAUAGUAUUUUGAAAUAAUUUAAUACAGAAACUUCCACAUAUUUAAUAUAUACAUAUAUAUAUAUAUAUGCUCACAGCAAUUUGAAACAUUGAAUCCGUCUCGUAUGAUAUGCACAAAAGAAUAUAUAAAAAUUUCUGAAUAGUGGAGAAGCAUCAAAUCAACAAUAAAUUACUGAUACGAAGCUUUUAUACGGGGGAGGCUUAAUUGAGGGAGAAAAAGGAGAUGUAGCCAAAUUUCCUAUCUAAUUAAGCCUCAUAUAAGUCAUGAGUCAUGAUCAUGGUUGCCUCCCAUUUGCCCAAAUGGUAUUUGUCACUUGACUUCUUUAACCCACUAUCAUCUAACUCAACACGUUUUUGUUUUUGUUUUUGGGUCAAUGCAUCAAAUUGCUUUAAAGCUUUAGCGUUUUAUUUUUUUGGCAUUCUAAAGUUUUUCAGUAAUUUAUUAUUAUUAUUAUUAUUAUUAUUAUUAUUUUAUAAUAAUAAGCACCUUGAAUCGCAGUCUUUAAAUUUAUUACUAAAAAUUGUUAUCUUUUAACUUUAAUUUUUAAAUUAUUAUUAAACUAUCUUUGUUACAUAAUACUUGUUAUUUUUUAGAAAAAAUUUGCAAGCUUACAUUUAAAAAAAAAAAAUUUAGAAAUCAAUUAGAUUUUCUCUCGUUCAACUAAAUAGUUUUUCUAUUAAUAUUUUGCUGAAUUCUGAUUUGUCAACUAAAGAAAGUCACAAAAUACUUUUGUUUCAAUUUCGUCCUUGCAGUAAAGCUGUCAAGUUUUAUUAUUAAAGUUUUCGAUAAUAAUUUAAUUUGAACAUAUAAUAUUUUGUUGUUUCUAAUGAAUUUCUAUUAAUAAAUUAGGAUUAAUAUUUCAGGUUCUAUUAAGAGCAAGACUGAUAUUUCAUCGCAAUUUAACAAAAAAAAAAAAUCAUAAUAACAAAAAAGACUAUAAGUUCAAUAAUCAACAUGAUGAAGGGACUUCCUAAUUAUUAUUAUUUAAAAAAAAAAAAAAAAAGAUCCUAACUUUUGAAAUUUAUAUAGUAAUCACAAGAACAAAUUGUUACCGUGUCUUCGCAUGAGAAAGUCAGACAGAGGAACAGAGCAGCCCUUAAUUGCUUGUCUUGAUUUUUCUUCGUUUCGCCCAUUGUUAGUCUAUUACCAUGGACAGCCCAAAUUCAUGGGCUUACAGCCUGUAUAUUUUAGGACCUCAUUAAGGGCCCGCAAAUUGGUUAUAACCCCACGCUAGCUACAAGCAUGGCACGUUGGCCAUUGGGUUUGAAAUUUAGUAGAAUUCUAAUCGUCAUUAUUCAAAUCAAUUUUGUAUUUCCUUUUCUUUUUAUGUUGGCUUGAACUAAACAGAUAGAAGUGUUGUUUUCACUUUUUAGCAUGAAGGAUUAAGAUUUUUAAUUGUGAGAGUUAAACUUAAGAAUUCACUUUUUCUAAAUAAUUUUACCUUUACUGUUAUAAAAAAAAAAAACAAUAGUCACCAUAUUAAGGAAAUCGUAUAAAUUUAUUAAUUUAUAAUGUUUAUUUAUUUGAAGAAUAAUGAUGUACUCUGAAAUUAUUAUUAUUAUUAUUAUUUUCUCCGUGAAAGCGAUUGUGGUAUAUAUUUGUAGCCAUCUUAAUACCAUAUCAUGAUGAUAUGUCAUAUUGAGAAUCCUAAUUUCCAACUAAUAUGAAUAUGUAUGUAUCGACUAAUUAAAAUCGUUAAUAAGCAUUGGCAACCGAAACUCGCUGUAAUUUAUUAUAAAAAUAAAUAAAACACAUUCUUUCAAGAGAGAAAUCUGCAGUAACAAAAACUUAACAAUGGCUGAACACAAUUCUCGUAGGGCCAACCGUUCUCUCCCAAAAACAAAACAAAGCAAAGCUUCACGUGUCCUUCCCUCUUUCCCUUAUAUUUCUUUCUCAUUCUCAUUAACCCUAGGGCCUCUCAUCCCCAUAAAAAUCUCCUGCAAACAAAAACUGAAAAUUAUUAUAUUUGUAAGCAAAGCAGGAAACACAAAGUCUCUUUCUUUGUCCCUAACAUCAAACGGAAAUUAUUGACAACAAAAAUCACCAAAUUUUGGUCGGAAAAUCAAGAAAUGGAGCUUCAACAGUUAAUGCACCUCAUUUUGCUCUGGUAUACUAUGCAAACUACCCGUUUGGUCCUUGUGAGUGGAAAUCACACUGCCGCUAGUUUACGUUCUCGCUGAGUCAUUUCCUUUUCCUCUUCCUCUUCCAUCCUUAUUUUCUUCCUUUCCCUCUGUAAAGAAAUAAAAAGAUUUCUUUAGUAUUUCCUUUUCUUUUUACACAUAUAGGCAUUUCUUAGAAACAAUAAAAUUAUUCUAUUUGUAUAAACAUGUCUAUUCAACUUCAACAGGAGUUCCAAUCUUCUAAAUGUCUCAUUAAAAUGAAGGCCUUGCCUUCAACUUGCUCGAAUGGUGAUACGUACUUGAUCAUCAAGCUUCCUCAUUCCAGACUUUUGAAACUUUUCGCUCGAUUAAUUGUUUUGGCUUUCAUUUUUGUUUCGUUCCCAUUGUUUGGAAACAUAUUUGGUCUCCAUUUUCCUUCAUUGUCUCUACCAACAGUUAUUCAGCCUGCAAAACUUAAUCCACUACAUCUUGAUCUCUUGCCUUCCCUUUCCCGUGAUUUAGCAAAUGAAGGCCUUAUUAAAACCGGUGAUAAAGCUGUAUUUAUAAGCAAUGGCGACGGUGGUGAUGAUGCCAUUUAUAGUUCUCAGAUCCUAAAUGAUAAUUAUAAUGUGGAUUUUAUCUCCAUUUCUGAACUAGAUAAGGAAACCAUAAUUUCUAAUGAAUCUUUGGAUUUUGCUAUUAUCUAUAGCUUCAAUGUUGUUCAAGAAUCUCAAGAAUUCAUUGAUCGGGCCCUCAAAAUUGGUGGUAUAUCAGUUAUUCGAUUAAUCCAUCAUGAUCCUUCAUUUGUAUUCAAUAAACCAUAUAAUUACAAACUAGUCUAUAUCAGGAGGUUUCAAUCGACCAUUGUUAUAGCUCUGAGGAAAACAGCUUUCUCUAGUCAUAAUCAUAUAGAUUUCAGCUCACAAAGAAAACUCUUUGCAUAUAGAAGUGAAGCAAGACACGCAGCACUUAACAACCUAGAAGAUGUACUCUUAGAACCACCGCGAUCAGCUUCAGGAAAGUCAAGUAGAUACUUAAAGAAAACGAGGUAUCUACCGGAUUUAUUAGGUGAUUCACUAGAAGGAUAUCCACGGCGUGUGUUUAUCGAUGUAGGUUUGCCGGAGAAGGAAGGAGGAAGUGGCACUGGAUGGUUUGCGAAGAACUAUCCAACAAGAAAUCUUGAUUUUGAGGUGUAUAAAAUCGAGACUUUACCGGAGUCUUGGCCGGGGAAGGAGUUGCCUCAAGUGGAAGAAAUAGGGAUGUCUGGUUGGUUAAGAAAGAAUGUGAAGGAAGAAGAUUAUGUGGUUAUGAAGGCAGAGGCAGAAGUUGUAGAGGAGAUGAUGAAGAGUAAGGCAAUAAGGUUGGUCGAUGAAUUAUUUAUGGAAUGUAAGCCAAGAGGCCAUGGAGGUAAAGGUAAUAACUGUGGAGGUAGAAGGGCUUAUUGGGAAUGUUUGGCUUUGUAUGGAAGAUUACGAGAUGAAGGUAUUGGAGUGCAUCAAUGGUGGGGUUAAGAGAGACAAAAUCUCUUCUUUUACAUUCCCAUUUGCAAUUAUUAUUAUAAUUGUUAGGACUAUUCAUAUGAGAUUGAAUUGGGACAGUCUAAAUUUAUUAGCUAUUUUAUUUAUCUUUUCAAAAAAUUACUGUAAAAAAUUAAUAACAAAGAUGGUUAUUAAUUAACAAAAUUUUGUACAAUUUUUAUUAGUUAACAUUAGUACUAAGAAAAAGGAGAAUAUUUUAGAGUUAUUUAGCAGAUAUUGUUAACACGUGAAUUCAUUAAUAUAGUGUUUGAACUCGUUGACACAUGAAUUUAUUAACAUAACGUUUGAACUAGUGAUAGCAAGUUAAUCCAUAUAACCUACUCAAAUAGUUAGUACUACUUAAAAAACUAAAUGCUACUAAAACAGUUAAUAAUUAUUAAAUCAAUUAAUUUUGCUAAGAUGUUGGAAUUGCGCAUAAGAAUUGCUCCUUUUAUAUGGAUGAAUAAAUAGAACAUAAUAAGUAUAAUUAGCUAAUAAAUAAAACUGAAAUUUAAGAUAUAAACAUCACAUAACACAAUCUUAUAAAAAGGGGCUACAGGACUUUUCCUAUUUAUUAAAUCCACAACCUAUCUUACAGAUAAUUGGGAAACAUAAUUAAUUUUAGCAAACUAAAAAAAGGGAAAAAAAAAAAAAAAAAAAAAGAUACAAAUAAGAUAAAACCUAAUUGCAUAGCUCGCGAGCAAUUCCUAAGCGAGAAUUAGGCACAUCAAACAAGAUCCUAAGGUUCUGUUGUUGCAAAUUGGCUAUAACAUUAAGCACUGAGUUCACAUUAUUUGGCGCUGCAGCCAUAGCCAAGCAAGCCAGUGAGCCUGCACUGCUAUGUAUUAAGCUGUUCUCCAUAGGCAAAACCAAAUUUAGGCCUGUGAAAUGUAGAGUUAUGGCUGGAGCUAAUGCUUCAUUUGUUGCUGUAAAACACGUAUCAAAUGCUCCUAAAGACGAAAAUGGGCCUUUCACUUGUUUCCUAAACUCAUCCCUGAUUGCUGUAUAAAUGGGCUCAAUGAAUCGGGUUAUAACCGUACCUGAAUCAAUAAUGGUUCCAGCUCCCGUAUUCGGGUCAAAUUUUAGAAGCUCUGGGGCAAUGUGUACAUAAACCCGGCCUACGCUAACUCCGGUUAAGUUUACGUAGUAUAAUGAUGGCCGGUGUGGGUUUCGUAGAAGUGGGGUGGUUCUAAUGGCCCUGGGCUGACCCACUGGACCGAGUUUGAGUGAACCCGAGAAGUAAUAGGAUCUGAAACUGGGUAAACAAUAUGAAAAUACACCCGAAUAAAGGGAACUGGAUUGAGAAAGAAGUGAUAAGGAUCCACGGCCCAAACCCAAUAACCCUUGAGGAGGAACUGACCCACCCGAGACAGAGUUUAUGCAUCCAAAAAGAAAAUUGGGGACUACAUCCUUGGCUAAUGAUAACGAAUCUUGCACUAGUGAUGCUGUAAAGGAUGAAUCUCCACCGUAGGAUUGGUUGAAAAGGCAGUAAGAGGUUCCGGUAUCCGGGCAUGAAAAUCCACGGACUUGGGUACAUUGGGCCAUGGAGCAAUCCAAUGACCCGUAAGUAGAAGAGAUAUUUGUAAUGAAUGUGGUGGAGGAGCAACCAGUGCAACCGGAGCAGGGUACCCAAGCAGCAUCAUUACUAGUGUCUAAGACCAUAUUCAUAACUUGACCCGGAGUACCCAAUUUAACCCGAACCACAUAGUUACCAAUGUUUAGAACUUGUUGACCUGGAGCAAUAGGUACAGCGGUGGUCAUUUGGGCUUGUAGACUUGACAAGUACUUUAGCCGUUGUGGGUCUUUAGUGGCCAUGUUAAUGACUGUAUUAAGCAAUGAGGUCUCCUGCUUAUGUGGGUUAAAAGGUGAGCAUUUGCUAUAGAUGGGUAUAAUUGAAAGAUCCGACUCAUCUGCUUGAGAGGCACAUGAGUCAACAAGAGCUCUUGUGCUUGAAAUCAGAAGAGCAAAUAAGAGAAAUCUGGUAAAAGUUGCAGAGUCCAUAGCUUGGAGUGGACUCUCCAAAUUUGGAAAAAGGGCUCUUGCUUUGCUUAGUUAUUGCAAUUGUAGUAUGUGCAUGGAGACAUUAUAUAUACGAAGACGAAGGGAUAUAAAAUUACUAAAUACCCCUUCGAUUAUUGCUUGGGUUUUCGAACAUACAAUGACAUGUAUCUUGCAUGCAAGAUAGAACGUUGUAUGGGGUCCACUUAGAUCAAGAACGACACUUAGAAUAAGCCGUAAAUUAAUCCCAUAUAUCGAGAUGCGCUAUAAAAAAAAAAAAAAAAAAAAAUCCAACUUGCAAAUUGCAAAUGAAAAACAGACAGAAAUAUGCUCUUUUUAAGGCCCAGAAAAUUUAGAAAAGGACAAUGCUUAUUAUAUUUGCUCGAUAAAGAAUGUUGUUGUCUUGUUAAAUCUCUACAGUGAUUCUUGAAAUUAUUAUUAUAUUGUACUACAAAUUUUGACCUUUUAAAAUGCUAUAAGAUUUCAAAAUAUAUAAUGGUGUAUUUAAAUUAUGGGUUCAAUUGUUUAAUCUUAUAGGAAGCUUUAAGCUUUCAAAAUAUAUCCAAAAAAAAAAAAAAAAAAAAAAGAAGAAAACGUUUUAAUGAAGGGUAAAAUGGGAAUGGGAGAUGCGAAGGAAAGCUUGUGAAUUGUGAACCCAUCUGUCUGUCUGAUAAAUGCUUAAAAAAAAAAAAAACUGAACUGUGGGCGUAGAUGGGCCAACGCACGAGAUGCGGUCGGUCACGGGCAUAAACAGAGACUUUUCCAUGACGUAUGGGUCCAUCAGUAUCUUCCUCAUCCAUCCUUUUUCUUAUCAUUCCUCAAAUACAACAAAACCUUUUUCCGUAACUUUGCCACGUGACUUCAAUUGGCUAGAAAAUAUCUAUUAAGAUUUAAGAGAUUCACAAACGCCAACUACUGUCAGUCACCCACAUUUCAGUUCACUCUGCAAAUCAAUGGUUCUUUGGUUGGUACUCGGUAGUAAAGUUAAAAAGAUGAUAACAAUUGAGCUGUGGUUCAGUUUAUUUCCGAAACCGUAAACUUGUAAAUUUAAAUCUUAGUCGGACAGAAUGAACUGAAAAAGGACGCAAUUUUAUGCAACCAAUUUUGAAAUAAUUAAUGAUUUAAAGUUAGAAUUCCUAAUCAGUAAUCAUAGGCCGUUUACCAUAAUAAUGACUAGUUUGCACUAGUAAUAUUCUACUAUAUUUAAACAUGUGUUAAGAUUAAAUUUAAUUUAUUUGAAUCUUCAUUUCAUUGUAUAUUAUUGUGAAGGAAACUAAAUGAUUUUUUAUCCUUUCCAAAGACAAAAAAAAUCAUAUCUAUCUAUUCUCAAUGGUCAUUCCGCACUUUAAUCUUGAAAAGGACUCAAAAGUAAACACACAAAUAAGCCCUAAUCAACCACUCAGUGAUUUUAGCAAAAGCUAAUACCCCACAAAAGUCACGAGGUCUCACUGUCCAAAUUAUUAUCAGCUUGUGUACAGAAGCGGAAUGCUGUGAAAUCCAUCCAUUCUCUGCCUAUCUGUAAUCCAGCAUUUCAAAAGCAAAUAGUCUUGGGACUCUGGUACAUUAUUUUAAGCCAAUGCAGUACCAAAUUACACACACACACAAAAAAAAAAAAAAAAUGAUUUUCAUGCGCAAUUUUCGUUAUUUGUCUCAUCCUUCCUCACCAUGCUAAUUGCUCUUCCUUCGCCAUACACUAUUAGAUGGCAAUAAACCAAAUCAUAAGGAGUCUUAAAAUGUUUGUUUUGUUAUAUCUCACCAAACUAUAAGUCAAAAAGCAUCAAAACUAAAAUCCAAUAAAAAAAAAUCCCACCAGAUUUAAUAAAUGAAUACACAAACAAAUACAACAAAUUUAUAUAUACACAUACACACAUGAGCAACAGCACAAACAGGGAUAAUUUUCACACAUAAGUUUUCCCCCCAGAUUCACUCACAAAAUACAUAAGAGGGAUGGCUAGGCAGAGCUGGACGCAAGUAACAUAAACUGCAUCUCCAAUAUCUCCAUAUUCAACUAGAAGACCGCAUUUGUCAAGGAUGGGCAAAGCACUUCAUAACUACUGCAUGAUUUGAACAGAAUUACAGAAGACAAAAAGUAGAACUCAAGUUAAAAUCUUACCAGUAAAUAAAAUUUAUGAAGUUUAUGGAAUUACAUGCAAAGAUUUCCAUUAUAUAAAUGAUAAGAAAAUAUUUCGAAUAUAGAGUGGUCCACUAAUUUGCUGAAGUUGUUGAAGAUCUAUGGAACAUUGCUUGUUCAUAAAAUAUUUAUCAUAAUAGUAAUCUUGAGAAUAAAACAACACUUAGCAUCACAUUCUUGUAACUGUCAAUCAGAGCAUAAUGUUAUGAACCCUAUAGGUCCAAAGAAAUUCAAUUCAAGCAAAAUACAAAUCCAAGAAUUUGCAAAGGUACUAUUCUGAAUGAAAUCAUGAGUGAAUUCACGAGUGAAUUCUUUACUCUCAAAACUAAAUUUUGUUCUUCCAUAUUUCAAAAGUUUCUUAAGCUUCUCCAGUAACAACAAUCUUUUUAACACGUUCCAUAUGGCUUCUGCAAAUAUUAGACCUGUUCCGUAAAUUCUUAACAUGUUUCCCUAAACUUAACUGAAUUUAAAACUCUUUGGAUCCUUGGGCCAAUUUUAGAUUUCUGACAAACUGCUGACUAUAGGGUUACAUGAGUAUCUUUGUUGCAACUAAAUUUAAACACUGCUUAAUUUUGCAUGAGAAAUUUAAAGUUAGCAGAAACAAUUAAAAUAAGUGUUAACUUCGUUAACAUUUCCAAAAGCAACCCAGAGAAAGGAGGUGAAAAAGAAAAGGCUCCCCAGAGCGCAAUAGGUUGUGCAUUAUGUUUGGCACCAUUAAAACAUACUAGACUUUAUCAUCAAAAGAGGGUAAUAAGAAGAGGGGUUUGGCACUGUUAAACCAUAGCAGACUUUAUUAGUACUUUUACUUUUGCAGAAAAAUAGACAUCCAACACCUAACUCUUAAAGUGAUGAUUAGGAAAACCUAGGAUUCUUAAACAAGGCACUGACUAUGCAGAUUAUAAUAGAAAAUCGGACAUGAAAUGAACAAUAAAGUAAACUAGUUGAAUUUAAAAUCCACAUUAUGAACACAUUAGUCCAACAACUUAAUUGCCUCACAGACAAUGGAAAAUUUCUGAUUGGUAACAACAAUUAAAUUUGUCUUAGAGCACAUAAUAUGGAAGCCUAGACAUGACAAUAAAACAAAGAAAUUUUCAAAGCUAAAUUUAUCAAUAGCACUUCAAAAUGGCAUUACGUAAAGAAAAACAAUAAAUUUGUCAGAUGUAUCAUAACAAGUGGCAGGCAAAGAAAAUAGCAAGUGGCAGGCAAAGGAUGCACCUUGGAGCACAUUCUUGGAAGUUACAAAAUAUUGGCUAAUUAUAUCAUAACAUGGAAUUAAUCUACACAAAAGAAUAGCAAAAACAAUAAUUUUAUGGAAGGCUAAUAGAUGAUAACUUGAAGAAUUAAAGACAUGAGUUGCUUCCAGAAGUGCUCAAAUUAACAAACAUACCUCUUUUAGGUUAUGAAUCUUACACUGAAGUGUCUUUGCCCUUGACUAUAACGACUGGACAUUGUGCAUGGUUGGUGCAAUAGUUGCUUACACUUCCCAAGAACAUCCUGUUAAAAUUAUGCAUUUCAUCACAGUUAGGAUACUAAAGAACCACAUUGACAUAUUAAUCACAUUUUUAUGUUCAGUUAUUGAUGUCAAUUGGAUUAAGUUUGCUUGCCAAAGGCCUAGCAAACUUCAAAUGCACAUCUAAGUUUGGGGGAAAUUAAAUCUAGCAACAAAAGGCAAAGUAGUAAAACCAUCUAAAAAAAUUCAGAAAACUAAACAAAAAGUAAGCCAAACUCAAGUGAAAAAGUAAAACAACAUCAAAAGUUCUAAUAGCAUUUUAUGGUAAGGGAAAUGUUUCUUGAGCAUCUGAAGUGCUCCUCCAAGGACCCUUAGCUUUAUCAUAAAAUCAUUGCAUAAAGCAUAGCAACUUCCUAUCACAUUUUCUCUGUGCAAAAAUAAUCGCUACCUAAAAUAACUCAGCCGCAGCACAUAGCAUAACAUAGAGUAAAAAGAGAUUACCCAGCAAAUAUUUGUCCAUACAUGUAAGUUUCAUGAUCUUUCAUUAAAAUAUCUCUUGUUCAUCUAUGCCCUCAUUAUAACUGCUAUUUCGAGCAGUCUAGCCCUUUUCCAUCGAGGGAUGGAAUUUCCAAAUCAAAUCACUUUUAGAUUUGUCAUUCUUAGAUUCAUUUGUCAUCCUGUGAGCUACCAUCUCUGACAUUUGCACCAUGGCUAACAGGAAAGAAAACUAAUUGCUAAUUGCAAUAUUUACAUUUGUAAUGGUGAAAUUUCACCUCAUAUGUGCAUUAAUAACAACUACAGUUGAAAAGAUGCAAAAACUCUUCAUUCAUCUAACAUCACACGGCCAAACAGAAUAUUAUGAACCCAACGACUGAGAACACCUGCAGAUGAUAAUUCAGAUAUUGAAAAUAAUCCAAGGAUGCUUUGUAAAUCAACAUCCUUUGAGAUAACAUCAGUUUAUCACUUGAACAGGAUUAUUGUCCCUGUCUUUACUCAUUGGAAAAACUACUGGCUAAUUGUUGGCAUAAACACUGCGAACAUCAUUUUGUCCAAAUAAAAUAUUAUUACUUCUGAGUUCUGACUUUGAACUUCGAUUCAAACAAAGCAAAAAUUCUUAGCAUUUCAAAAUAGAAGAUCCAAGUAGUAGGUACUUUGGUCUCUAUCGCCCUAUGUAUAUAGAAAAGUUACCAUGCAGUCCUAAAUCUGAAGUUCUUUAGCUAAAACACUUUUGGCAGAGGUAGCUCUUCUUAUUGGCUUACCAAAAUGAAGUAAUUCUGGAUGGAUAUUGCUAAUGCCCUUAAUUUUUAUGAUGAUGAUGAUGCAUGGUUAUGCAGUUCAAUUACUUUGUAAUGGAUAUACAUAGCCCUAAUAAAUAACCUUAAGCUAUAGCUAUAAAGCAAAUACCAUAUUGUAAAUUUUAGCUUCCUGUAAAAUUCUUUCCAGUAUGUUGGCACAUAAUCAAAUAGCACAACUAGUUGACAAUGGAAAAUAGCAAAUUUAAGGAGCACCCUAACCGGCAACUGCACAAAGGAAGCAGUAAUAUUGAUUAAACUCCAACUACACAACUAAUCUUUUGGGAUCUGUUUUUACCCUGCUAUUACAGCUACUUAUGACAGGAGCACCCUUUCGGAUGCAUUGUUUAUAGCAAGCAUUAUGGACUAAGAUGGAAAUGCAUCACAAAAGCAUCCAAAAAUUGCUUUAUGUCAAAACUUUGAACGGCAUGUUUUAUAAUAUGGACAAUAACCGAAACAAACAGUUCCGAAAACUAUUCAAUCUCCUCAUUGUUUAAUAUGUCAAGAAAAAAAUCAUUUUACUUCCCAUCAAAUUACUGCACAAGGAUACUAACCAUGUUCAUCAUCAAAGCUGAUAUUGAAUAAAGCAUGCUCUAUACAAGAUUGAGUCUAAAUAAUAAUCAUGCAAAUUGUUCAAACAAUGAGAAUCAUCAAACCAUUUCCUUGACUUUUCAAAGCUGUUUGACUUUUCAAAACUUAAAAAACAAGAAUCCAACAUGAUUACAUCAAAUAUUAUUCUACCACUCCAAAUACUUGCAAUGAACCAAAAUUUUCUCUUUGUAUAAUACCUUUUAAUAGGGCCAUAAGAACGACACCCCAUCACAAGCAAAUCAGCACCUGAAUUCUCAACAGCUUCGCAAAUCUUCUCCUUUGGAUCCCCAACAACCACUUGCGUUUUAACAUUCGCCUAAACAAAAAUUAAGUUCCAAUAAAAUAAUUGAUAACUAUUUACCAUAAAAUUGAUAUCCUAAAUUGACUGGUACACUAAAACAAGUAAAUCGGUUUCAAAAAGGAAAAAAGCCCUCACGUUUUUUUCGCUGCAAAUCUGCAAAGCAUGCUCUAAAACAGCUUCGGUGAUCCGCUUCUGAUGCGCCUCAAUCGCCGCCGUAAAGGCAGGCACCUCCAAAUCAGCUAUUAAAUUCCAAAAAAAAAAAAAAUCAAACUAAUCAAUUAGUAAUUAGCUUUAACUCAAGAAAAUCAAAUCAAAACCAUGAACAGAUUCAGUAUCGACUGAAAUAAGCACUAGUAACUUUGGUAUGGAUAGUGGACACUUAACUGGGUCCACCGAACGGAAUAGCGCCGGGAUUGAGACCAGCAGCAAUUGACGGUGGAGAUUGGACAUGGAGUAUCAGGAAGUAGCCAGCGGUUUCAGUGGAGUCGGGCGCAGAAGAUCGAAGCUUGAGGUUGUCGAGCGCCCAUCUCAAGGCGUACAUGCUCUCCUCGCUGCCGUCGACGGCCACGAUCACGCAGCCAAGCUUUUCCGUCGUCAUGAUUGAUUGAUUGUCGAUCUUGAGUCAGGUGAUGUUGACUUUGGAGUAUUCGUUUCGAGAUUAGCAUAUUAGAGAACGGAACUGUAGACAAAAAGAGAAAUUUCGUAACGGAACGAGAGCUAACGACUAUUCGAGAGCGCCAGUGGGGAGCUGCAUGGGUCGACCGGGUUGGUUUUAGGUGACUUGUGGGCCGGCGGUCCAAAUCUCCACAGGCCGAAUAACGCCACUGCAUUUUUGUCUAACCUUGUGUUUUGUUUUGGUUCUGAUUUUCAUUGCAACUUUUACAUAUAUUUCAAAAAGAAAAUUCUUCUUUACAUAAAUAGAAAGUUGUAGCAAAAAAUAAAUUAUUUAAUAAUUUACCCAAAUUGUUGGUAAGCUACUCAAAAUUCAGUUGAUAAAAAAAAAAAAAAAAAAGCUCAUUUACAUUCAUUUGGUAAAUUUAAAAAACCAAGCUUGAAAUUAUUUAUCAAAUACAAUUAAACUGAUAAAUUGUAAUUAAAAUGCAAUAGUUUUUAGGUAUGUGUUUGCUAUUUCGAAAAUGAAAAAAGAAAAAACAGAGAGAGACGGCAGAAACAGGUUGUGGUUUUCAGUUUUCACAGGUUGCCAUUUGCCAACGCCACACUGUGAUAUGCGUUUUGGACUAUUGGGUCAGAGCAUCAAAUCAGAAUCCAGUUUUUGCACCUAUGCCUAUUAUAAUAGUAUCAUCUCCGGAAACGAAUCACCGUCUCGUCUAAGACUGACCUAGUUGAAUUAUGAGUUUUUUUUUUAAAUAUAAAAAAUAAUUUAAGACAAUAUAUAGUUUAAAAAUUAAAAAAUGUUGACUGGCAGCAGAAGCACGUCAAUUGUUUAGGAAAAUAUAUUGCAUGAACAGCUAAACAUUUUCUUUUGGCCCCUCGCAAGGAAAUUGUUCUAUUUACUAUUUAGUGACUUCUUAUACAAGUGAAGGGUCACUGUAAUUUGAUUAAUUAAUGAGUGCAAUUAGCACUUAAAUAUAAAUCCAUUUGCUGACAUGAUAAUAUAAAUAAAUUUUUUCCAAAAAUAAAUAAAUACUGGUAUUGCAAUUUCCUUGUGAAUUUUGGUUCUUGGGACGAGAGGUGAUUUACCCUCAUGUAAUAAAUAACCAAUUUGCAUUGCCAUUACUGCAAUGAAAAAUAUCAUGCAUACAAAAAAGUCCACUUUUUUUUUAAAAUUUAUACUACAUAUAAAUCUAUACCGUGGAAAUAGACUGUAUAUAAUGAAAUUUUUGAUAAUACAUUUGAUAAAAUUUAAGAUAUUUUAAAAUAAUUUUAAUAUCGUAAACAAAAAAAUUAUUACUUCAAAUUAGCAAUACAUUAAUUAAUAAUUACUCUAAUGUAGGACCUAAAAUUCCAAUUUGCUAGCCCAAGGAAAUAGAAAAAGGAUGACAUACUUUUUGGAGGCUCAACCUAAGAUACCACCAACUAAGAAAAUAAUUUCCUGCUUUUUUGCAUCUAUGUAUGAUGGUUUUCGACUGUGCAAAAGUCACUGUAGAUAAAGCUACCGUUACCAAUAUCAAUUUCAAGCCACGUGCAACAAAUCUUUUUUUUUUCCCCAAUUUUGAAAAAUCUUAUUUUCAAAAGUGUGAUUGGCCAACUAUUCAAACCAAGUGCUUGACUAUUUUUUUUUUUCCCCAAUUUUGAAAAAUCUCAUUUUCAAAAGUGUGAUUGGCCAACUAUUCUCUUCAAUAAUUUCAUUUGCAUUAAUUGUAAAAGUCAUUUGUGUAUCAUUUCUUAUGUUGUAAGUUGUAGAUAUUGUGCAUUUAUAUUUCUUUGCGUGUAUUUGACUAUUUUUGCAACAUGCUUGAUAACUCGAGAUUUUGAAAUUAUUCAUUAAUUUACAAGUCAAUUACAUUCAAUACCUAAAUUAGAGAAGUUUGGUAAGAAUUUAAAUCAACAGUUAAUAGCCGACAGAAAUUUAAAUCAAUUGCUUAUAACAUUCUAGAGCUACUAACCCAUUUCUAGUUAUAUUAUAUUUGAACCGUAUUAAUUUUAUAAAAAUAGUUACAAUUAUUUUUUUACAUUAAUAUUAAUAUUUUUAAUAAUUAAUAUUUUGGAGGUAAUAACUUUUUUCUUCAACGCUGAUUCAAUAAAUUAGUGAAAACUCAUAUGAUUAAGAGAUUUCAAUUCAGAACAUCUCAAUUUUCACAUAAAUGAAAAAAUCAAUUAGAUCAUAUCUAAUUGACAACUUACUAACAGCUUUAAUCAAUUACUAGACAAAAUACAAAGAAUUUCAAAAACUUUGUUAUUUUUAUAUAGGUUGUAUAUUCGAUGCAAGAUAUUUAAAAAAUUAUACUUGCCAAAAAGUAAUUAUUUUAUUUAAGUAAUUUAUAUAGAAAAAAAGUGUUUUAAUUUUAAUCUCAAAAAUACUCGCCAAUAUAUAUAUCUAAAAAAAUGUAACACGGGUCUAACUAGCAGCAUGCAAAUGGAGACCUAAAAAAAAAAAUAUGUCACCGUCAAUGCUUUAGAAAAAUUGUUUCCAACUUUUGACUCUUUGAUUCUUUGUAUCGUCCACACCAAUUUUUCAUUAGUUUACUUGGUCAACUUAUUUAAUUAAAUCAUCAAAUUUAUAUUAUUAAUAAUUACCGACACAAGCCCAGCUAAAUGAAAAAAUUAAGUUUCCAAACUAAGUUAUUAUUUUAUUAUGAGAAUGAAGGUAGUUAUCCACUUAAAUUUGUUAUCACCGCCCUUCAUUAUCAAAACCCUGUUGAUGGGAUAGAGAUAAGAUUUCCAUUUACCCCUUGCUUACCUAGGAAGGGGAAAAGAACUUGAUUGAGGGGGGGUUUGUGACUUUGUGGGGUAGAAAAUUUCUACCAGAUGGAGCCCACUUGAUACUCGAAAACAGCUUAUCCUACUAAAUCAUGUACUUACGAUUAAUCUCAGCCGUUGAAUAUCAUACCAAGCCAAAAACCUUGCUCUCCUCCCAAAGCAUCCCUCCACCAUCACAUGCCUCCACAGGCAACCGUCCAAUUAGGUGUCUUUCAUAAGAUUAGAAUAGAAUAUUUGCAACCAAAUAAAAAAUCAACUAACAUAGAAAGAGAAAGAAAACCCAAUGUCCUAUAAAUAAUUGAGUUUACAUCGUACAUAUUACAUAACCUGAAUAUAAAAAUACACUCCCUCUAAAAAUAAAAAUAAAAAUAAAAAUAUACUUUCAAUCUUUUUUACUAUACAAAUAUAAUUGUAAUUUAGUUUUUUUAUUAUUAAAAUUUAAAUUAUUUUUAAUAAAUCACACAGGAUUUAAUUGAUACUUUUAUUUUUAAUAAAAUAUAAAACUUAAAAAAUCUCAAUUUAAGUCCUUUUGACAAUAAAACUUUCCCUAAUUAGUGAUUUUCCCUCUUAAUUUUGUUUGAGCAAUUAUUUUAUUUUUUAAGUUAAAAAAAUAAAAUAGUGAUUCUUUUAGAGGGUUUAGAAUUCACUCUAUAAUUUUGACUUAUAAAUUAACCAUUGUCCGAACAAAAUAAUUAUUUUAUUUCAACAAAAAAACAAAAUAAUUAUUUAAAUAUUAAAUAAUUUAAUAAAUAUUUCUCACACUCGUGGAAUUUGAUCGUGGUACAGCGAAAGAUUGUAGCCUGCAGUGUUAUUUUAGAUUACAUUAUAGCCUGUAGUAUUAUUUCAGACAAUAAAAAUUUCAAAUCAAUUAAAACAAAAUUUGAUCUCUAAAAAUAGAAAAAGAAAACAAGCCGUCCGGUUGGACCGGAACUAGAGUGGGGCCAGCGGUCCGAAUAUUUGAUGAGCAAAGAAUUCACGCUUCUCGAUGCCUGAAAACAAAAUUCCUUUCCCUCGACCAUAAAAUUUCUUUAGUUUAAUAAUAAAAAAUCAUUGUUUUAAAAUCAAAUUAAACAACUCAAUUUAUAUUUUCCGCAUCUAAAUUCUCCCUCCCUUCUUCUUUCUCUCUAAAAUGACAAAAUAACAGAGCCCUAAAAUCUCGAUCUGGUGGUUGUCCAAAAAUCGACGAGCUCACAGUAAUAGCGAACACAAGCUCAGUUAAAAGGAAAAAAGAAAAAUAUUCCUCAACACCUAGCGAAAACGACAUUUCUUUUGUCAAUUAUCUUCAAUCGUAGCCGUCGGAAGUGCGAUAUUAUUUCUUGUAUUCCGAUCUUGAGGGCCUUGCCUGUGCAGUCGUCAGAAUAAGCCUCACCGCUGCUGGAAACUGCCUCACUUAUGUGUGGGGGUGAUAUUAGGAGGUCAGGGAUCGUAAAUUUUGCUGGAUGCGUGUUAGGUGCGGGUGGAUAAAUGCAUGUUACCGGGGAUCUAGGGUUUUCGAGCCUGGUCCUUCUGCUUUGUGUGGUUUUUCCGGUGAUCGGCUUUGUAAUUCGUCGGAAAUGGCGGCUUUCCAUAGCCAGGCAAGAGGAGAUCAAGCGUUUAUUGAUUUUGGCUUCGGAGGAGGCCGCUAGGGCUGAGCUUGAGGCUACUGUUUCCUAUGUGGCCGUUUCUGCUUCAAAAAAUAACUAUCAGUGUGCCGUUUGUUAUUCUCCUACCACCACAAGGUGUUCCCGGUGUAAAACUGUCAGAUAUUGGUACGUUAUUUUUACAAUUACAGGUUGAAUUAUUAUUAUUAUUAUUAUUAUUAUUAUUAUUAUUAUUUUAUAAUUUUAAGUUUAGUUUAGUGUUUGAUAUUUAGGAUUUAUCCUCUGGAUAUGUAGAAAUUGAGACAUUUUUUGGACAUAGAUUGGAAGCUGGAUUUACUAUUCCCGCAUUUGCUUAUAAUGUGUGUUUGAAUGUUAUGUUGGUAGUUAAACUGAAUUUUGCUUGUUUGAGGAGAUGAUUUCUUAAUAUUCUGAUUGUUAUUUUCCAUUUGUUUGAGGUAAAGUGGGAGAAUAGUAGGAAAAUAAUCAAGUUCUACAACUGGAUGGGCUGUGAUUUUAGAGGCUUUCAAAGAAAUUCAUUGCUUGUUAACUGUGAUAAUCUCAUAUAUGUUUUUCAUUUUGGCCAAUGCUGUCAUAUGGAUAAAUGGUUUAUAAGUAGCAAAGAGAUGCGGGGAUGUAAUUUGUUACUCAGCAGACUUGUGGUUUUGUGUGGGCUGUAAGACCUCUUUGCCACUUAUUUAAACCCUAAGCAAUGUGAAAUCUUCGGAUUCUGAUGGUAUCCUGUUUAUCUGAAUAAGCAAGAAGCAGUCUAACACAUGGAUUAAGAUUACAAUAAUAUUUGUUAAUGAAAAUAUGAAAUUAUUCUCUGUGUUUUCUAAUAUAUGUAUUCUUAUUUUUCUCACCUUCAAAUCAAUAAAAUUUUUUUCCCUCCAAUUUGUGAUUGUAGUUUUUGUUGCCUUUGUUUUCCAUUAUUUAGUUGUAUGUUUAUGAUAUAAUUUGAUUUUUUUUUUCAGUUCUGGAAAGUGUCAAAUAAUACACUGGCGACAAGGUCACAAGGAAGAAUGCUGUCCUCCGAGCACCACUUAUCAUGUUAAUGAUGACGGAGGCAAUUCUUCUCAGAAGCUGGCAAAACGAAGUCAACGUGUUAUUUAUGACAUAGUUGGAAAUGAAUCAAUUGAGACAUCAUCUGAUGGACCUGUAUUAUCUAAUUCUAGUAGCACUACUGCAGUUCCACUUGUAAAUGCUGAUUAUGUUAAGGUUGAUUUUGUUGUAGAUACAGGGGAUUCAUCUUCUUCUGAAUCAUCAAGCACCUCCUUUUCUGGUUUCUCCACUUCUCCAACCGGUGGUGAAUCAUCUGAUAACGUUUCUGUUGGUGAGAGUAUCAGUUCUAAUGAACCUGAGGGAUUAGAUAGAACAACAGCUCUUGAUACCGCCCCUAACGUACUUGAGCCUGUUUUAAACAAGGCAGAGGAAACUGAGCCUGUGUCUCCAAAGUUUGCAAGUUUAGCUGAUUCUGUUGAUAGUUUUAAUAAAUGUAGCGAAUCAAAUAUAUCUCGCUGCAAUGAUGGAGAGAUGCAGCAUGUACCCACUGGUUGUUCAAGUCAGAGUAUCAGUGCCAUGCGCAAGGGUUCAAAUACUCAGUCUAGUAAAGUUUCUUCUGGUUUUUGGGAUAGAACUCUCAAGCCUGUUGUGUCCAGCAAUGUUGCUCAAGAUGAUCCAAAUCUGCCCAGUUCCAGUGCAGCUGCUAACAUGAAGUUAUCUGAUUCUGAGUCAUUCCUACAUUUUAAGUUUGAUUUAUCUAGUAAUAGAGUUUCUUCUUUAAAUCUUCAAACCUCAGAGGUGAAAGGCACCAUGUCCGGUGAUGCACAUCCAUCUCCUUUGGGGACUAGCAGGCCUGUUGAUGGGGCAUCUUUAUCAAAAAACACUAGUUAUGAUACAUUGAGGAUAAAGAGUUCCAAAACUAUGAGCCUUGAGAAGUCUAGUCAUAUAGAUAACAGAUCAGGUUAUGGUUCCAAUGUGUCAAAGCUGAGUGAGGUAAAAUCUGUGUCAUCAUCCUCUUCACAUGCUCAUUUACCUUUGAACAAUGGAGAAUUAUCACAUGUGGUUGAUUCAAAAUCCAAUGGUUAUAAAUCUCCAUCCUCAAGCCUGAACGGAUUAAAUAUUAUUAACAAUGAUACUGUUAGUGAUUCACAUGUUUCUAAGUCCAGAGAUUCAUCUAGUGCUUCUCAAAUCCAUUUGGCUUCUAGUGCCAAUGAGCAUUCAUUUCCGAGUGUGAAAUCUGGAAAAGUGGACAAUGUUGAAACCGAUGCUAUAGCUGCUUCUCCAGGCUCAGCUAGUGGACUAAAAUCAUCUAUGUGGAAAGUUGUUGACCAACUUAGAGGACCUAAAUAUGCAAAAUACAGUGAUAAGGUUUGUUUUUAAAUUUUUUUUUUUUUAUUUGCUUACAUCUAGUUUUCUUAUUCUAGGCAUUUGAAUUUUACUUUAAUUUAUUUUUGUUUUUGUUGUUUAGGGGCUUUUUUCAUACAAUCUAUUUGUAAAGCUAUAUACUUCAAGCAAGGUGGAAAUGAAACCUUGUGGCCUUGUCAAUUGUGGAAACAGGUAUAUCAAACACAUUUUGACGAUAUAAAGAAUAUUUAAAUAACUGAACAAUAUAGUAUUUAGUUGAUAAAAUUUGUGUUUCCAUCAAUUUUUAAGCAACAUAGACCAUCUUUAUAUAUUAGGAUGUUAUUAUAAAUGAUACUGGGAAUAUAUCUCCUUCCAUUCUUCAGUGUACAAUUUGCAUGAUUAUUACUGUUUAUGGUCUAAGGGACAUCUAGAGUAAACAUGUAGAUACAUGUUUUUCUGUUUGUUUCUCACUGCAUUUUUGCAUAAAUCAUUUCAGUGCUUACUUCCUUCUGCUUUUUCUUUGAAUAGCUUGAUUGGAAACCAUUUCGAUAUUAAAUAUGUGAUUGAGUAAAAAAAAAAAAAAAAAAAAAGUGUGCUAAUCUCUCCUAGUUAUGCUGCCUGAACAUUGAGAAUCACAGUGCUAACAUUAUGCUCAUUAUGAUCUCGCAUAGUCAACACAACCAAUAUCUUGCCAGCAACACCUGACCAUCUAUACAUCACUUGAAGAUUUUGUAUUUUGCUUGAGAUAAUGCUACCAGAUAGGACUGGUGUGAUGUCACCAGAUACAUUGUAAAACAAUACCAUUCCGGCCAAGAUAUAUACUGCAUGUUACAAUUUUACUCGUGUACAUUGUUUUAUGGGCUGAAAACAUUAGGUCAGGAAGAGCUCUUACAUUUUUGCAAGAAAAACAGUUCCACUUUUCUGUCUUAUCUUUGGCCUCUUCUCAUUGAGGUUAUUUUUUAAUUAAAUUUACUUGAACUUUUUACAACUUAUAUGCCAUUGUAUUUUUGCAGCUGUUAUGCAAAUGCUGUUCUUCAAUGCUUGGCAUUUACUCCUCCCCUGACAGCUUACUUUGUUCAAGGACUCCAUGCUAAAGAAUGUAUGUUUCUUAUCAUGCUCGUAAUAUUAAUCCUACAUGAUGAAUGUUUAAUUAAUAUGUUUAAUAACAAUUGCAUAGUUUCAAAUGAGUUUGCGAUUCUUUUCCAUAUCAGGUGUAAAUAAAGAAUGGUGCUUCACUUGUGAGUUUGAAAGUUUAAUUUUGAAGGCAAAGGAAGGGAAAUCUCCACUUUCUCCUAUCGGUAUACUCUCUCAGCUGCACAACAUUGGAAGUCAGCUGGGUAGUGGAAGGGAAGAAGAUGCACAUGAAUUCCUAAGGUGAGAUGUUUGUGAGCAUGCGGCCCACAAGGAAAAUGCAUUUUCCAUGUUUUUAUGAUUUCAUUUUUUAGAGAAUUUCAUACAAGAUCAGUGAAAUGAUUUUACAGGUAUGCUAUUGAUACAAUGCAAUCUGUUUGCCUUAAAGAAGCUGGGGUGAAUGUAUUAGGUUCCCUUGAGGAAGAAACCACUCUCAUAGGUCUUACUUUUGGAGGUUACCUUCGCUCAAAGGUGAAACCUUUUGAAGAUUAUGACAUUAAGAGAUUUAUACUCCUUUUGUUUCUUUAUCUCUCUUUAUUAGUCCUAAUGAUUAUUGCAUCAAAGUGACCCAAUUAUUGGAAAAACUCCAUGAUGGAAUUUAUGUUAUGAACAUAAUUGGAAAACAGAUAAAAUGCAUGAAGUGCCAUUACAAGUCAGAGCGGCAUGAAAGAAUGAUGGAUCUUACUGUUGAAAUAGAAGGGGAUAUAGGGAAGCUUGAAGAUGCACUUAAACGAUUCACGAGUACUGAACUUCUUGAUGGAGACAACAAAUAUCAAUGCAGCAGGUUGGUCAGGUUAUCUUUUCCAAUGAAAUUUGUCUUCAAUUAGUAUUAUUUUUAUGCUUCUUGGACAAUCUCAGUUGAUUUCUCAUCUUAUUAUAUCAGUUCAAAGUCUUAGUGGCUAAUGGUUUUUUCUUGUAGAGGUAUUCUCUCUUGAGAAGGGAGGUUUUGGGUUUUAGCUUUGUAAUUGGGGUAUGGCUGGGGGGAGUGGGGGCAGCUUAGAGUUUAUCCUUUUUUUGUUAAAAUGAUUCUUCAUUUUUAUACAUAAUAUGCUGACGUGUCCUUUCUACUAAAAUUUUACAGCACAACAGAAUGUCAGAAACUUAAUUUAUAUAACAAGUAAUUGAGGACAGAAUAUGAUGAUAUGUAAGGUGCUUGAUACCUGGUUCUACUGUGUCUUGUGCUUCAAAACUUCUUGCUAAGUGUAAUGAUACUUCUAAUAAAAUUCUAAGCUUGGUUAAAUUGGCAUAAUAAUCCGAAAAAAAUCAUGAUUAGAUGUACUAGCACAUGUUGCCAUUUUAUAAUGUAUUGCAGAAGUAUGCACAUUUCUUCUUUAGUUGUAAGAGAUGUAUGUAUUCCAUGUAAACUCUCUUUUUUUUGAAUUUUGUUUUACUUUGUCUAUUACAAUACAUGUAGCAGAAUUUGGGUAACAAAUGAUGAUUGUCAAGCCAUUCCCUUUCAUAAUUUUUAACAGGUUCUUUGUUUUCUAGGAAUUAUUGGCUUUGAAUGUAUUUGACUUCUAUGUCAUUAUGGUUCUAUUCAGAUGCAAAUCUUUUGAGAAGGCCAAGAAAAAGUUGACAAUAGUGGAGGCACCCAAUGUACUUACAAUUGUGUUGAAGCGCUUUCAGGUAACUAUUAUAGAAUAUUUUCUCCUGUAUUAUUGGAAAAUUUUCUCAUUUCCUUGCUGUGCUAACUUUACAGUCAGGUAAAUUUGGAAAGCUCAAUAAGUCCAUUCGAUUCCCAGAGAUCCUGGAUUUAGCACCAUAUAUUAGUGGCACAAGUGACAAAUCACCCAUAUACAGGCUUUAUGGGGUGGUUGUUCAUUUGGAUAUCAUGAAUGCUUCAUUUUCUGGGCACUACGUGUGCUACAUAAAAAAUAUCCAGAAUAAGUGGUUCAAGAUUGAUGAUAGUACGGUAUGUUUAUUUAUAGAUUAUACAUUGACAAACUUUUGCAUGCACUUGCUAAACUUUUUCUUUCUAUUUCACUGAAUUAAUGUGAUUAUACAUUUGGACCCUAGCACUGAUUUGACUUAUUCUGUUGCCUGAAAUAUCCAGUUCCAACUGCCAAAGUUUAACUGUAUCUUGAUCAUCGAUGCCUAAUGAGAAUUUUUAAGUGAACUUUAUGCUCUAGGAUAUAUUAGAAACAAAUAGAAUCGCGAUCCCCCUGAGGUUUGGUUUGACACCUUAUAGCUAUUUAGUUCUUGGAAAUUCAAAAAAUUAAUUAACAUCAUCACAUCAUCAGGAUGAAACUUUGAUGAUCAUGAGAUGGAGAUAAGGCAUAUGUGGUGGAAAAGAUAAGUGAGUUGUUGAUAGAAAGAGAGCUAUGGAAGGUUAGAAUUUGCAUCCGUCAUGUGUAGGAAUCUAGAUGAAUCAAAAAACCAAUGUGGGAUGAGCCUUGAGAAUCGGAUCAUGAGUAACUUAAAUCAGUGGAGGAGACCAUGAUUGUUUUUGUAGAGUGAUGAGGGAUGGUGAUGACAGAGGUGGCAGUAAUAACUAUUUGAUGAGUUUGAUUUCUUUGCCUUUUGAUGACAGAGCUCAGGUGGAAUCUAUGGUAUUUGUGGGUGGUGCUCGUUAUCUGUGAUGUCUAUGAGGAUUGUGGUUGGGUUGAAUUCUGCAACAGUGUUCAUUGUGGUGUGAUGGUAGAAUGAUGGUGGAAUUGGGUGAGGGAGAUGCUCAAACUGUGAUGUCUUGAGGCAUGUACUUCAUAAUUUAAUUCUGCUUCAGAAUCUAAUGAAUGAAGUGGGGACAUGGGGAUAAAAUUGAUUACCUCAUUUCAAGGAAUCACAUUUGCUUCCUACGAAAGGAGCAUUCAGGCUUUUUGGCCCAACAAAAAGGUUUCUCUCUAAGGGAUGCCUACUUGUGUUUUAUCCCAUAAAUUUUCCAGGAGCGCAGCUGCUUGUUCAGCUAGUGGACCUUUGGUGUGCCUAUGGUUUGUGAUAUCUGUACGGGAGUUUGACCAUCUUUUUUGGUGCACACAAAUUCUUACACGAGAGCAGAAAUAGAAGACGAGAAAGAGAGAGGGGUGGGGGUGGGUUUGCAAGGGGCCUAGAGAGAACCCUUAGCCUCUUGCGCUAUGAGAUGGUCAGUCUACAACUAGGCUACUAGCCAGUGGCUGAGCUCGAGUUAACCUAUUCUGUUUCCCUGUUCAAAGUAGACAUGUUCAGAAUCCUGUCAUAGAAUCAAUAUAUACAUGAAUGUAUUUGGUUGGUCUCCCUCAGUCCCAGCUCCGACAAGUGACUUAGGGCCAUAAGAUAUACAGUUUAAGAUUUGUUAACAAAAUUUCUUUUCUCAUUUGCUUUCUUUGUUUUAUAUAUUUUAUGCACUGUAGCAACAUUUAAAUAAGCUUCAUGUCAUUUCUCCUAACUAAUUCUUUGUAUCAUGUUGGCCAUUGUUGAAUAGGUAACAGCUGUGGAUCUCGACAGAGUCUUAACAAAAGGAGCAUACAUGCUACUUUAUGCAAGGUGACCAGUCUCAGGAGCUCAAUUUGUAGAAUGAAUAUAAGUUGUUGCUUUGAUGUUUUUGACCAACUACUUCUAUUUCAGGUGCUCACCAAGGGCUCCAAGAUUGAUAAGGAACAGUUUAGUGUCUCGUGAACUAAAAACAAAAGGCACUUCAAAACUCAAUGCAAAGAAUACUGCAUUGAAUUCAAGAUCCACAUCCAGUCACUCAAGUAUCGUUCGCUUAAAUCCAAAUUCUAAUUCUCCUGAUAGUUUGGCCAGUGUUGAAUCUUUCUAUUUGAAGUUCAACCGGCUUCAAAAAAUUUUAGAAGAGGACUCCUCAAGUGACAAUUAUUCUUUUACUAGCAGCAACUCGGAUGAGGGUUCAUGCAGUACUGAGAGCACCCGAGAUUCUACAAGUACUGAUGAGCUUUCUGAUUACAUUUUUGGUGGUUGGAACAACUCUUGGAGGAACACUUCUGAUUCUGACACUUCAUCGUCAUCCUCUUCCCCCUUGUACUCGAGGUACUCACCAGAGAUGAGCAGGCUGGCGGUGGCAGAAGGCGAAUGGAAUAGCAGGCUAGUGGAUGUGGAAAUCAGGGAUAGUGAUCCUUUUUUCCAUUCUGACACGAGUAAACAAUUUAGAAAGUUAGGGAAUAGUAGUAGUUGUAGGGAGACUGACUCGGCAAAAUUAGGACGGGUUAACCCUGUAAAAUCUGGUGUAUCCUUUAGAAGAUCAGUAAGUGAAAGAACAAGUUAAAACAUUUUUCUGUCAAGUAAUUUAAGUUAGGGGCGUAAAUAAAAGUUGGGAAGAGGGAGAUCUGUAUUUAAUGUUACUGUUGUAGCUGGCCUUGUUCAAAGAAAUGAGCCACCCCAUUUUGUCAAAUUCUUUCCCUUUUCCCUUAUGAAGAUGAGUUGUUCUCAUAGUGUAUAGUUCAAACUGAAAAGGGACUUUUUCAUAAAUGAGUCCCUAAAGGGGUUCUUUUAACCCACUCAAUUGUUUACUUCAGAUCAUGAAUAAUUAUAAGUUUAUGUUGCUUUGCACAGUUUCAUAUCUUUUUGAAAAUUUAAAUUUGUGUUGUAGGGCUAUACUCGAUAUUUGCAAUUUUUUCUUUUUUCUUUUUUUUUUUUUAAUGUUCUGGGCUCAACAAUUCCAUUCUUGGACUUGAUUGGCCCAGAAAGUAUUGGAUCCAAUUAGGGACUUGAUUAUGAGCCCACUCUAACGUGAUAAUUGGAUCUUUCUAAUCUAUAAAUGUUACACAAACUCAAGUUGUCAAAGCAUUGAGGAUCAAUGAAAUUAGUGAAAAAAAUUUUUUUAAUAAAUUAGACAUGGAUAAGAAAAGAUAGAGAAGCUUUCGUUUUCUUGGAUAGCAGGAUAAAGAAGGUUAUCGAAAGCCAUUUUUUCGCACUUGAAAGGCCCACUAAAACAAAUAUCCUAAUAAGAAAACCAAUUAUACCAAUUUGACCGCAUGGAUUGUAAUAGUUUGAAAAAAACAGUACAAUCUCUUUCAGUUUAGGAUAACGAAAAAGAGAGAAAAUAUUAGUGGUGAGAAAUUUUCAUUUUAGAUUGGGCAAAUUAUUUAGUCCCUCAAAUUUAAUUAUAAUUAUAAUUAUAAAUUUCAUCUAUCUUAUUUGAUAAAUACAUCUUUUAGUUAUUAAACUUUAGCUCUAUUAAACUAUUUGCUCCUUCAUUUCAAAAGUGUCUAUUAAGUAAGAAAAUGAAUAAUAAUAAUUAUAAAUAUGAGAGGCUAAAUAGUAAUAUUAUGUUAAACGUGAAUUAUUAAGUCAAAUAUUAUAUAUCAAACUUCUAAAAUGAAUUUUUUUUUUUAAAAAGAAAGGAUUAAAUAAAUUUACGGGUUAAAAAUGAAUGAUUAAUCAUAGGGAUGUUGUUGUAAUUAAUGGUCAAAUUUAUGGAUUAAAUAGUCAUUUACUUUUAAGGAUAACGAAAGAGAGAAAAUUGUAGUAGUAAGAAACAAGAUAAAGCCAAAUUGGAGAGGACCAGAAUACCACGUGGGGUAGGAAGACUGGUUCAACCACCGCCUACCAAACUCGACACUACCACCUCUAUGCCCAUAACCAAUUGGCCAACUCUCUCUCUCGGUCAUAAUUAUUUUUUAAUCCUUAAUGUUUAAAUUUUUAGUUUUUGUGUAAAAGUAUUAAGAGAUCUUUAAUAAAAAAUUCAAAUUAAUUAUUUAUCUGCUUUCAAUUCACAUAGCUAGACUCGAAUUUAGUUUAAUGACAUAAGUAAAAUAAUCUUUUAUAUUGAAUUAAACUAAACUCAAUUUUUGUAAAUAAAAACUUUAUCCGAUCCUAUUUUAAAUCUUAACAAUAAAAAAUAACUUAAAAAUUAUUGCAUAUUUCAAAAUAAUUAAAAUAAAAUAUUAAAUAAUUUUUUAACAAAUAAAAAUGAAUUACAGUUCCUAGGAAAAAAAUAAGAGGAAAUAAUUUUAAAAAUAUCAAUGCUAAUUUGAACUUUAAGUUAAGGAAUUAAUAGAUUAUAUUAAAAUUUAAAAGAUUCAAAUGAUAUUAAGUCUCUUUUUUUUUUUUUUUUUGCUUAAUGAAAUUUUAUAGUUAUUAAGAAAUUAGUUUGUUUGUGAAAAAAAAAAAACGUUAUGAAUUAUUAAUUUAUUUUUUCUAAACAUAAAAUUAUUAAUUAGAUUAACUUUUAGAUUGUAAGACCAAGAAAGGCGUUGAAUUGAUUUUUUUUUUUUUUUUUUAGGGAGAUUUAAUGGAAAGUAAUUGACUUUCCAGUUUCCACAUUAUUAAUUUAUUACAAGCUGUCUGCCACAGUACUUAUACUGCUACUUAGUUAGAAGUUAGGACAUUUCUCUAGUUUCAACUGUUGAAUAAUGACUUAUCAGGGCCGUACACGUGUACUUAAUUCUUUCGUUCUCAAACCCACGUUCGUUUCUCGACCCAUACUAGUGGUUUUCUUUUCUCAUACACCUUCCAUAGCAUCCGGUUUUUGAACAAAGUCAUUUCUAUGGAUUAGACUACACAUAACAAUACCCACGCUUCUAAAUUCUUCGAUAAUGCCUUAUUGACUAAAAUUAAUGCCUUGCAUUUCUAUGUGACUAUGCUCGGUUCAAACCCAUUCCAUAUGUUUAUCAAGUCAAGUUUAAUAACUCGGGAGCCAACUCAAUGAGUUCAAAAUUAAUUAAAGCAAACAUCAUUUUUCAUUCCAUAGAUUUUGUGGAUCUUGACUUGUUUAAAAUUAUUGAGCGGAGGUCUCGUUCAUAGGCUGAAACCUUCAUUCCUUUAAUUUUGGAUUUCAGAAUCUAAAACCGAGAGUUAAGGGAGUGGAGGACUUCAAACCCCUAUCUACUUAUUCAACCUUCGCCCUUAAAUUCUAGUAAUAUAACAAUAUACGCUAUAUUACAAAAUUGUUAAAAUCCUUCUUACAAAUUAAACAAUUUUUUUAUGAAUAUAGUAUUACGUAAUACUCUUUCUGUUUCAAAAUAUAAGUCGUUUUUAGUUUGUUAUUUUGUUCUAAAGUAUAAAUUGUUUUAUCUAUUUUAAGAAAUAAUAAAUAAUAUUUUUUCAAUAUUGCCAUUGUUUACACUAAAUAUAAUAAAUAUUUUUACAAGCAACUAUUGAUUUUAAGAUAAAAGAUAAUUUGGUCAAAUUACCCUUGAGUUUAUUAUAAUCUAAGAGAAUUGUUUCUUUAAUCCUUAUGUAAAAACCUUAAACGACCUAUAUUUUGAAACAGAGAGGAUGAAUAGAUUAUAGAAUCAUAUUCAUUAAAAGAAUUCAAUUUUUAUCUUGCAAAAACUAUGGUUGUUAGAUAAACUUUGUUGAAAUAAAAAUAAAAAAUGAUUACUACUCAUAAAAAUUAACUAAUACUCUCUUUGUCCCAAAUAUAAAUCGUUUAAGGUUUUUGAUCAAGAAUUAAGGAAGUAAUUAACUCUACUAGAUUAUAAUAAAACUAACGGUAAUUUGACUAAAUUAUACUUUAUUUCAAAAUCAAUAGUUACUUAUGAAAGUAUUUUUUGUAUCUAAUGUAAAUAAGAGUAACAUUGAAAAAAUAUCAUUUAUUACUCAUUAAAAUACUCAAAACUACUUAUAUUACAACAUAAUCACUUUAAAAUAACUUAUAUUUUGUGAGAGAUGGAGUAAUAAAUUUACUCUCAUGUAGUAUUGAUUUAUAAAUUCCAUUUAAAGUAAAUUUUAUGAGGUAAAUAGUUAAUGACAACAUCUAUAGGUAUCUUCAAAAUGGGCUCCAUUAGUUAGCAAAUUAAGCAAUAUGCAUGGCUUUUACAGCAAGAAUUGUUAAUUAGUAGUAAUUAAUCAAAGUGGAAACAGAAGAAAGACACAGAACAAAAAUGGCAUCCAGAUCACUAUAUCUCCUCACCGACACGUCACCUACCACUCAGUAGCCGACGAAGACAAGUUUCUAUGCCAUCUGCAGAAUGCAAUGCACUUGCUACUCUUUUUGUAUAUGCAAAAGUCUAUCUCUCACACCCAACUUCACUUCAAUGCCUUAUAGCAAAGAAAGAAUCCUUUCUUUUCCUUUCUUUUCUUUUUUUCUUUUUUUUUUUCUUGGUUUUAAGUAACUUUUCAACAUUUAACAUCGAUUUCGGUUUUCACCGAUUUAAUAUCUUAUAAGAAUCAAUACGUCUAAUCGCUUGUCUUAAGUUCAAAUUUCAAAAUAAUACUUUUGAAUUAUUAUACUCCUUGAAUAAUUUUGUAUAUAUAUAUAUUCUCAAAUUGAUCUUUUUCUCAUACUGUUCAUUCGAUUUUUAAAAGUGGAGUCCUGAAAAAAAAAAAAAGGAGUAAGAAAGAAGAUUUGCACUGUUAUGUAAUUUAAAGUGUCGAUCAAUGAAUGCUUUGAAAAAGUUAUGCUUUAAUCAUCCAUUACUAUGUGUGAAAGAGGCGACUAAUAUAUACAGAUUUAUGAAUUUACAAUUGCAUGCAUUUGUAGAUUAAUUUCUAAGUAGCUUUUUCCAAAGCAUGCAUAUAUUAUUGAAUAAAGAAAAUUAAGGUAAAAAGCCAUGUAAAAUAGACCGGACCACAGAGAAUCCCUCGAGUCUAGGAGAUGUCCAACAAAGCAGGAACAGACAACGAUACAUAAUUAUAUAUUAAUGUAUGCAAUGUCUAGAAAUCUUUUAUACAAUCAAUGUCAAUCUAUAUCUCUUCUUUCGGCCGCACGGUAAAAUGGUGGCUUUGUAUGUGUUUUCCUUCUACUUGAAAGUUAGCCAUCUUUAACAUCUUUAAGUCUCUCUCUCUCUUUAAUUAUAUAUAUAUAUAAUGUAAAUUUCACAUCAUCUUACAAUAGUAUAAUAUACGACCAUUAAUUUAAUAUAUCCAAACAGACCGAAAUACUUUUACUAAUAAAUUUUUGCAUUUAUAUAUAUCCUUUGAACAUUAGUAUGAAUUUUGAAUAAAAUGUAAUAAAAGAUUUAUACAUCCGAUCUCAACUAAUUUGAAAUUAAAAUAGAGUAUUUUUGGAUGAUUUUUUUAUAUAAUUUCCAACAACUUAUUAUAAAAGAAGAGCAAAAACACAGUAAAGAGGAAGGAUUGCAUCAUGCAUGGUGUUAGGUGAUAUUUAUUGAUAAAGGUUUUGAAUAAUGCACUGUACUUGAAAGAGUUUGGUGUAUAUAUAUAUGUGGCCCUGUCUCACAAAUUCAACAUUCCCAUGAAGGUAUAAUGUAGAUCAACACUAAAUUUUCUUGACUUGGAGUUUAGUCCUUGAUUCUUUGGUUGGUAGAAAAUCUAUGUGGACCCCUUGGCCCACUUGCUAUUCUCAAAAUGAGUUACCAUUCCUUUUAUUUUCAAGAUUUUUACCAAUAAAAUCUUAAUUCUUUGUUACAUAUAUAAAACUUCUUUCAAUUUAUUUUUUGUGUAAGAAAGAAUUAAUUAUGUAAAUUAAUUAUUUUUAUUAUCGGUAGCAGUCUCAAUUCAAUGGUUCUGUACUCAAAUAUGCAUAAUGGAUUUUUUUUCAAAAAAAAAAAAAAAAAAAAAAAAAAUACAAAAUUGGUCAAUGAUGUCCCCAUCUUCACCAAUCACAUGAUAUUGGAAUUGGCACAACGAAACCACCAUAACAAUGCCCAUACUCAACAUAUAUGCAAUGUUUGAAGACAUGUUCCUUCCAUGCAUUCUUUCUAGUAAAGCGAUAUUAUUUAAUAUAAUAUAUUUCUGAUUGUCAAAUGGGUCGGUUAUAUAUAUAUGAAAUAUUCUUUUUAAACCAAUUAGUAUUAGAAGUAUAUUGAUCCGACUAAUUCGGAUUCAAUAGAUAGGUUCAUAAAUGGAUAAAGUAUUUUUUACUAAAUUUUAAAAAAGUAUUUCAUACCCAAAAUUCAAAUUCAAUACUUCUGUUUUAAGGAGAAUAUACCGUUGUCAUCUAUCUCGUCUACUGAUAGUAUUUAUGAAAUAUUAUUCAAUGACACAUUAACUGUAGUAUUUGAUGGAUAAAGUUUAAUAAAAUGAUAACCAAAAAAUAUUUCGUAACUAUGCUUUGAGCAGUUUUACUGACAUACUAUUGUUAGUUUAUGACAGAAACAGCCCAACAACAAUUAACUUAGGAAGAAAAAGUUUCCUAAUAUUUUAUACUUACAAUGUACAAGAAAAUGAGCUUGUUUAAUUAAAAAAAAAAAAUUAAAGUUUUAAAACAUGUGAGAUGCUAACGUAAAGUAGUAAUUUUAAUUUCAAAACUACUUAUUUUUUAUUGUAUGAGUUAAGUUCAUUCAUCGGUAGGAAGCAAGUCUUUUCCAAAAAAUUAAAACCGCAAUGUCAAAAGCUUAUGACAGUAUAUUGUCAACCUUCCUUUUUUCUUUCUAGCCAACCAAACAAUUCACAACAUCUAAUACAAUAAAAAUAAAAAAUAAAAACAAAAUAAUGCAAGAUGAGGUAAAAAGCAAAGAAAAAUAGAGUUGGUGGACAGGAUGGUUGCAAUUGGAAAAUCAAAGAAAAAAAUUGGGAAGCAAAGUCAAUUGUGAACAACUAGAGAUAUGAUUAGGUCUAAGCAUUGCACCAAAGAAAAAAUGGGCAAAGGGUUUCUAAUUUCAAGUAAUGGGUUAAUUAAGAAGAACAAACCCACAAACUUGUAAUUAUUAUGAUCUGCUCAUUAUUAACUCAACCCUUCAUAAUAACAACGUUGCUGCUAUGAUAAUAUUUAUUUUAUACACAUGAUCACAAAUUAUAUUUUUGAACAACACUACCAAAGAAAGUGUCAAUUUAGGGCAAAGAAUGGUCAAGAAUAGGUGGCGCCAUUGUAUAAAAGAAAUAUUUCAGUUGUUAAAAUUUAAGAUUUUCAUUAGGAGGUUUUGAUUUUCAAAUAUGAAUCUCAACCCGAAUGAAUAAGACAAGUAAGUAAUAACAAUUUACAAAAUUCGUUAAAUGCUGAAAGAAAGACGAUUGAAACUGGAUUUGCACGAAGAAAGAACAAGAAGUAGCAAGAGUUCAGGAGUCCAAGUGUCAAGAAUACAAUAGUUGUCUUAUUAGUAGGAGAGAAGACAGGGUUAUACAUCUAAUGGAAGCAAGCUAUAAAUCCUCAAACAUAGGGACCAUCGUAUUGUUCAUGUUAGCACAUUUUCAAAAGCUUGCAAUUUUGAUAGCUCACCCUCGCAAAUUUAGAUUUCACUUAGCUGAUUUUUAGUAAAUUUGUUAUAACUUCGCAAUCAGGAACUAUGUGCUGCACUUCUUUUCCUUUUUUCACUAAAUCGCUAUUUUUUUUUCUUCUCGGUAAGCAACUACCUUCAUUUAUAUAUUCCAGCUUUCAAGACAUACAUUCUAUUAAUAAAUCUGAGCAUUAAAAAAAUGUUUUAGUAAAAUUAAUAAAUUAAUUAAGGGACAAUUCUGUUAAAUUUAAAUUCAUAUCGAAUUAAAUAUUUUUUUUUAUUAAAUCAAUGAGUUGUUUUUUUAAUGUUUUAACAAGUAUGACCGUUCAUUGAAGCAUCAAUUAAGGGUGUUUUUUUAUUUAUUUUUUAUUUUUUAUAUCAAUGAGUGUCAAUUUAGUAGUAAUUAUAUAUUAAUCAAUUAAAAAAAAUUAUCAGAUUAAUAUCUUAAUACAUGUACUGAUAUAAAUAAUCGAUAGAAUGUUCCUUUGAAUUACAAUUAUUCUACAGCCUCGUUCGUUGAACACUUGCAAGUACCAAAAAUUAGAUUACAGAAUUUCUUAGUGAAAAAUACAAUAGACAACGGCAAUUUAAUUUCAAAUCCCCAUACGAUGAACAAAAUAUGAGAUCAUAAAUCAAUCAGUUACCGCUAAGAAAAUGAAGCAAUUUGCAUCCACUGUCAUGAUAUUUGUAUUUUAGCAAAUAUUUUCUCAUCUAAAGUUUCAAAUAUAUACAAUUUGCAACCGUUAUUAAUUUGGUGGUAAGAGAAAAACACUGUACAGCUAAAGAAUCAAAAGCAUUGCAAAAAUAUAUAAACCCUAUCUUUGUUUCCAUUAUGUUUGAAAGAAAGAAAGAAGAGGAGAAGAAAAGACAAAGGAAAGUACAGAUUGGAUCAGAGAUAUAAAGAAUAAAAGAUAGAAGAGAAAAAUUUAAAGUGAUGGUUUUGGAAGAGAGCUUUCAAGAAGGCAUUGGAUAAAGGAAGAAAGAAAAAAAAAAAAGAAAGAAAGAAAGAAAACAAGCAUCUCUCUCUCUUCAGUGUGUCUGAAAAGAAAACUGGCAAGCAUAACCCUAGCCACGUUCUUUUACUGCCAUACGCUUUAUCCAAAUCAAGAAGGCUAAGCUAAGCAAACAGCAAAAUUUCAAGAAUCUGCAUUAUCUUUCUGUGUGGUGCAACUGUAGCUGCUGCUGGCAGAGCAGGAACCAGAACCACACCUCACCCCUCACCCUUAUGCCUAUCAAUUUCUCAAACUUCAAAGCAAUAGCCCAUCACGCAAUAAUCCACUGGGUAAUAACCCAUCCCUACAAAUACACAGACAAAUGCUGAUUUUGACACCCUCCAUUAAUAAAACGUCAGAACCAGUUCAGCUCAUGACCUUUCUUGUCAAUAAAUAUUUCAAUUCUAGCUUAAACAACAUAAAAAUAAAUAAUUUCUUUUUUCUAAAAAGAGGAGGAAGCUACACUGUUUUUCUUAGCUAAAAUCACUACUGCAUUACAUUAACAUGAAAGAGGAAAUUCAAUUAAACAGAAGUGAUGAUAUGAUAUGAUGAUAAUGAACAUCGAAGGAAACACCUAAUUUUUUAAAAAAAAAGUUAAAAAAAAAAAAGCAAAAAUACCCUCUUCAAAUUCACAGUGACUAGUGAGUAACUUUAAUAAGGCGGUGGAGGCGGUGGUGGCCUUGCAGUGGGUGCCCAGAUAACCUCAGAAGGCAAAUGACAACUGUACAUAACCAUUCCACAAGAAUCUCCUCCGCCACCACCUUGAGUAUGUCCACUAUCUCCUCCGCCUCCACCGGCACCAGACACAGCCGGUGAGCUACCUUCACCACCACCACCACCACCAGAACCAGAAUUUCUCCCUUCUUCGUCAGCCGGUAAUCGGUGAUGACUCGGAUUAUUCAACGUCGCUGCCACAACAUACACCGUACCAGCCGCUACCAAACUACCAGCAACUAGACCACCUACGAUCUGGCCCUGAGGACCCGCCAGAGAAAUAGUGAAAGUAUUAGGCACUGGAUACGACACCGUCUGAGGCAUAAAAGUAGCUGAGAUCGAUAAAAUAUCAAAUCUGCCAUGAAAGGUAAUAGUAGACCCCGGAGUCGUCGACGGUUGACGUAGAGUGACAUUCGCGACGGUACCAGAUCCUGUAAGGACACAGAUUCCAAUAUUCUUACGGCGACAAAAGCGAGAAAUAGCUUCAACGACGUCGCUUCCACCAGGAACUUCAAGAAUGUAAGGACUCAUAGCAGGUUCAGGAUCACGCGUAAUAAUAACAGGCGGUUUAGGUUUAUUCUUAGAACCAGGCGGUCUACCUCUAGGCCGGCGAACAACUUCAAUGGUAGCACCAUCAGUACCGCCGCUACUAUUAGGUUCAAUCGGUUUCUGUUUCUGGGUGGGGGUGAUGGCGGCGGCAGCAGCAGCAGCAGCGGUGGAGGGGGUGGUUACAGCCGCAGCAGCACCGGUACUUCUAGUAUCAUCGUCUUCAGAAUCACGAGAAAGCGGGAAGUGCUGAGAGAAAGGAAGGUGGUGGUGUUGUUGGUGGUGGUGGUGGUGGUGAGAUUGGAGUUUAGAGAACAUGUUAAGAGUGUUUUCAUGCUUUCCUUGAUGAUGGUGAUGGUGUUGCGCUUCUACAUAUUCACCUUUCAUAUCUUCUAGUGUAUUUAAAUAUCUAUUUAGGGUAAGUAUGGGUUAUGGGUUAUGAUUGGAGGAUUUUUAAAGAGUAACAAUAUGAGAAAGAAGAGCAAGAAGAAAGAAAAGGGAUUUGUUUCGUUUAUAGUUGUUAUUAAAAUGGAGAAAAGAAGAGAAGAGAAGAGAAGAGAAGAGAUAGAGAUAGAGAUAGAAAGAGAGAGAAACAGGGAGAAAAAGAGAAGGUGGGUGAGCUUGGAAACCAAGUAAAGACUAAUAGCGCCGCUGGUUGGGGUGGUAAAGUGGGUUCCACACAUAACAUAGCAAGGAGAAAAUUAAGAAAGCGUUUGGCUUUUUGAUUCGGCUUUGGUUUUGGUUCUGGUUUUGGACUCUUGGGGUUGGGCUUAGAGUUAGAGACAGAUGGGAAGAGUUAUAUGGAACGCUCCCGACCGAGUGGAUUGACAGUGACUCGUUGAUGUUGUAUCUUUUGGGUUAUGGGGGCAUGCUCUUUAUGUAUCUUCUCUCUACUUUCCUUCUCAACUUCUCUCUCUGUCAUCAUGGAAUUCAAAAUAGUCUGGCUUUCUUUGCUCUAUGAAGAUAAGAGAGGUAAAGAGCUCUGAAAUGAAAUUCAAGCUCACUUACUUUGACAAGAAGAUUUCGUUUGCACGUAAAACUGUGGUACCCUAUACGAAUUUCACGUCCAUUAAACACAAGAUGCAGUAUUGUAGACGGGGAUAAGUAAACUUUAAACUACGCGUUUCCAGUUAUAAAAGAGUUUUAGGAUGUUAAUUUCUCGAGGAGCGGAUGUGAUACUUUAAGCGAAUUUUAAAUCGACAUAUUACAUCAAUACUUAUAUGUUGAGAUGGUUCACGAAUAAUAAGUCUUUUUGAACCCUUGAUUGAAGGGGGAAAAAAAGCUUUAAAAGAAAAUCUAAAUCUUAAAAUCUUGAGCUUUUCUAAUCAUUUUAGCUUAGCAAGUACAUUUUGGUUUUAUAUAAGUGAAAAGAAUUAGUAGAAAAUGAAAAUUAUAAAGUGAGACAAAGCUUGCUCGACCUUUUCCCAAUUUAAAACACACAAAAUGUGUAAAGUAAAUGUCAUAGUGGACCCGCAUGCAUCCUAUAACCACACUCCAUUCUUCCACUUGCAACCUCUAUAGCCUUACCUAGAAUAUCAACACAGUAUCUAGUUGCUGUCUUUAUUGUGUUUUGGGAAAAAAAACUGUACUAUCUUAUCAUGUUAGUAUCUUUAAAACAAACUUACCCUAAGAAAAGAAAAAAAAAAAAAGCUAAAUUAUUACCAUUUUAAUUAAAGUUUUAAAAAAUAAAAAAUUAUAACAAAGACAAUAACAUCAAAUUUGAUGCUACAUCGUGUUAAAAUAGAACAUAAUAUUAGUGGAAGUGAACUGCGAUUGGUUAAUGUAUUAUUAUGUUGAUCAAUGAAGUCUUAAUUUUAACGGCUAAAAUGGAGGUCAAGAUCAAUAAAUCAUGAGUUCAAUUUUAUGUUGAUAUAUAAUAUAAUCUGUACAUGCAGUAAGCGAUUGAAUUAGUAAAAAUAAGCAAAUUUAAUAGGCGAAACAAACAAAUAUAGAACAAAGGAUGCGAAGAAGAAGUGUAGAAGCAAAAGAAAGAAAUGGGUAAUACUUGAUUAACAAGCAUGGGAAGGAGCUUUUUGUUGGUUUAAAGCAAAACUACCAAAUUGGGUAAUAAAAAAGCCAACACAGAAUAUGCUUUAACAUCAGAAGCCGAAAGUGAAAUCUAUGCAUGAAAUGAAUUGGCCUUCAGUUCAUACUUAGAUGCGACGAUAAAGUAAAGGUAAAUGUCCCAAACAAUCCUCAAACUCUCCCAAAAUCAAACUUCAAUCCUCUCCUUUUCAGAAAAUGUGUAUGGUCCCAUACAAGAAUAUUUUAUUAUUUUUAUUUUUAUUUUAAAAUUAAAAUUAAAAUUUUUUAUUAUUUUUACCAAAAUUAUAAUGAAUUGAUCUUAGAAUCAAAAGUUUAUGUCCUAAAUUGAUCUAAAUAUAAUUUUAGGUAAAUUGAACAUUUAUUCAUCGUUCUAUUAGUAUAACCACCACGACAAUAUAUAAUCACUUGACAUAACUAAGAAAUUCAAAUCUUGACAAUAUUACAAAUUAUGGUUCCUUCAUUCAAAUGUUAAGAACCCACUAUUUAGGAAGCCGGAUUAUAUAAAUGUUUUUUUUAUCAGUAAUAUAUAUAUUUAUCUUUUUAAUUUAUAUCUAGAAAAAACUUAACAUUUUUAAAUUUUUAAAUCCGAACCAUCAGGUUCUCCAAAUACACUCAACCUAUUUAAAAAAUACUAAGUAAAAAGAUCCGAAAAAUCUCAACUUACAUAAGAUUGAUCUCUUCUUGAGAUGAGAAGAUAAAAAAUAUUUUCAAAUCACAAAAUUGAAACAACCUAACGAAUCAAAACCAAGCUAAAAAAUCAUUAAACGCUUCAACAUCCUUCUUCACCAAAGAAUCUGCAAAGCAAUUUUGUUCUAUAAAAUCAAGCUGGAAUUGUAUAUGCGACAGGUGUCGAUAAAGGACAUAAAAUCUAUUGAAAAUACUAUCAUUUUUAAGGUCUUUUUUUCCUUACAUGAUACCCAACAAAUCGCAUUAUUUGUAUCAGAUUCAACAAUUAGAGGACAAUCCUUUAAAUGAGACAGUAAAAACAACUCAACGGCCCUGAUAAUAGCAUAUGAUUCUACUUUAUUUGAAUCGAUAAUAGCUGCUGAGCAACUCACCUCACCCUUAAGGUAUUUAAUUCAAAAGAAUUUAAUUUUGUAAACUCUCAUAUUUGGAAAUGAGAUAAUUUAUGGAAAAAAAAAAUUGAAGUAAUAGAAGUUAUGUCAUCAAUUUGACGUUGAAAAAAAUAAAUUUUGAAUUACAUGUAUCAUAAUUUCUGAAAUUGUAAAAUUAUUGGUUGUAUAUAAAUAAAUAAUAAAUUAAAUUAAAUCAUUAAAGAUGAGGUUUCCAGAACCGUGAAUGAACAAUGAAGAAAGCCAGCUUCUUUAUUAUUACCAUUUGGGCGUUGUCAAAUUAGUUGACAUCACCCACAUUUCCUCAAUCAGUUAAUUCAGAUUGGCAUAAGAGUCCAAAUUGGUGGGUAAGAAAAUAAAUCCUUUUUCCAUUUCUAUAACUAAAGAAAAAAAAAAAAGGUAGUAAAUGAUAAUCAUUUUUAAGCUUUAGCAAUUAUGAUUUAACACGUGUUAUUUGUGAACUCAAAAGUAUAUGCCAGAUUCCAAUAGGAAAAAUUACAGCACAACAUCUGUGUUUCGUGAAAUAUAAUUAGUAAUAUAUCUGUGUUUUUAAAAAUAUAUAAAUUUGUUCGUAUAUUUUGUUUUUAUUACAUUAGUAGAUCAUUCUGUUCAACUUUUUGUAUCUCUUUCAUUUAUUCAACAAAAAAAAAAAAAAAAAAAAAAAAAAAACACAAAGAUCAAGUGAGAGAUACUAAAAAUUUAUAUCUAAAUAAUUACAAUAUGAUCUCUGUAGUUUGAGAAGUAUAACUAGUGUGUCUCAUGUUUUUAAAAAUAUACCAAAAGUGAUAAGAGAUAAAAUAAAUAUUUUUCGUUGUUUCAUAAAACACUUAACAGAAAAGAUAUAAAAAUUGAACGGAAGGAUAUUAUCGUCUGAUGGAAGUAAACUAUAAGGAAAUUUUAGUCUAUUUUCUAAAACAUAAAAAUAGACUAGUUAUAUUUCUUAAAUCACAAGGAUCAUACUGUAAUUUUUCUUAUUCUAAUGAUAUUUAUUUAUUUUAAUUUUCAAAACUUAAAUUGCUUGUCAAUUAAGAAUGUAAAUCCUUUUAAAAGUAAAGCAAGAGAUUUUAUUCCUAGGCAAUUAAUGGCAAAGAGUGAAAAAUUGCAAGUUUAAAGCAACAUUAACAAAGGCAAGCAUUUGGAUUUAAUUUUAUUAGGAUUAGGAAUCUUUUUUAGUCAUUUCAGUGGGAAAGCAAAAGUAAAAUUUACUUUGUAAUGGUAAAAUUUCCUUGGUUAAUGUGAAGGCCAUUUAUGGGAUAUAGUUAAUCUUAAUCAUCAUCAUUUAGAAAGCUUUUUGCUAAAUUAUGAGUGCCCACUUGGCAAUUUGCUUUGCUUAUUAUGGUAUUAAUGAGUAAUCAAUGUUUUUCACUAGCUUAUAUAGAUUUCUAAUCAUAGUUGGCAAUUACCACAAUAAAUUACCACUUCCAAUUCAACAUGUUGAUAAUGAUAUGAUAUGUUAAUAAUGAUAUUUCAUGAUAAUUCUAGAAAGGGUAAUUUAAUGUUCGACCGCACUUAUUAAUUCUAAAGAUACAUUCUCUGCCCUAAAAUAUAAGUCGUUUGAAAGUUUUAAGAAAACAAUUAAUUCUCCUAAAUCAUAAUAAAUUUCAAAUUAUCAUUUAUCUCAAAACUAAUAAUUACUUAUGAAAACAUUUAUUGUAUUUAAUUUAAACAAUGGUAACAUUCAAAAAAUAAUUAUUGAUUCGAACCGAUGACCUUAGGUUACAAAUGGAGUAACUUUUGGUUUAUUAUCAGUAUAUCAAAGUAUAUAUAUCAUAUAAUAACAAUUUCGGGGUUCAAGAUAUCAAAAAAUUGCUUGUAAAUUUCAACUUUUAAUCAAUUCCAUAAUAGAUUAUACGGAAUAUCCUAAAAAUAUAUGAAUUUCGAAAAGGGUUGAUGUAUUGGCUCAAACAUGUAAUCUACAUGUCACAAAUCAAGUAAGUUUACUAUUAAACUAAAUUCUCCUAAUCACAUAAUAGAUUCUAACGGGAAAAAAAAUUAAAUAAUAAAUAAAAAAAUACAUAAAGAACUCUUACCUUGUAAUGCAUAGAUGAAUAAGUAUCGCAGCUUUGAUAAAGACAUGGUUGGAAAUUAAUUGCUAUAAAUGCCAAUCCAUUCCAUUCGGAAAUUAGCUAACAUUUGACCAAACAGACUGCUAGUUUUGAAAUGAUGGCCUUGUCAAUUGUAAUGUCACAGAUUUAAAUUAACAUAAUAGCAAUGUCCAUCCAUUUAUUGCAGAACAAUAGGAAAAAAAAUCAUUAUUCUUUUAACCAUAUGGUGCAAAAUAUGUAAUUGUCAUAAAUGAGUCAUGUAAAAUGAAAUUGCAUACAAGCAAAUGAUUUCUAGCUUAACGAUAAGGGUGAUGUUUUGAGAUCUCUUAAUCUCAAAUUCUAUCCUUAAUAAUAUAAUAUUUAAAUGGUUGCCUCCUCUUGCUCUACAAACCAUAAAAAUGGUAUUAAGACCAUAUUCGGAAAACAUUCAAGUGUGAUUUACUAAAAAUAGUUUAGUCAAAACUCAAAAUACAAGAAAGAGUAAAAUAUACAAAAAGGACAAAUAGGAAAGGAUAGAAUAGACUGACCAUACAGGUACAAAUAAAUCCAAAAGAAGCAAGUUGCAGCCUCUAGUUGCUUUUGGAUAGCCAAACUAAAUGGCAAUGGGACCUAUUCUUUUUGACCUUGUUGGGUUUUGGUUUGUUUAUAAUAUCCAUAGACCGUUGAAUAUGAUUGCUAAAAUUUGAAGAAGUGAAUUCCUUUUCAAUGUUUAAUAGUAUAAUAAUAUUUCUCCAUUAAACACAAGGGAUUGGAGUGCUUUGAAUACCGAACAAAAAGACAGAAAAAUAGUUAGGAGAAAGUUCUAAUUUUUAAAAAUUUAUUGGAAGACCAAAUAGGUGCAAAGGCCAAGCAGAUUGCCUCGCUAGCAGCGCCUCCACUGUAAAGAUUGAUAAUUUAAGUUCAAAAAUUGCAGUGACCUGGAAAGUUCAUUUUAUACUAUAUGUGAACAGUGACUGUCCAUAUCAAAUGAUACAUAUAGAUAUAUUAUUUUUUUAUAAAAUAAAAUAAAUCACAUUUUUUUAUGAUCCUCUGAACUUCGAAUGUGACCUUGUGACAUAUUAAACUUGGCUUCAAAUUUCAUUUUUUCAGUAUUUGAGACCCUCUAAAAUCAAGUAUUUGUCCAUUAUAAAAAGUUAAAUAUCACACAUGCAUAAAGCAAUUAUAAAAAGCAAACACAUACAUGUUCAGUUCACGCUAUAAAAGUGAAGUUAUGAAGCUUAUUUCUCCAGUGAUUUCUUUCAGCAAAAGUUAAGAGGGUCUCAGCCUUUCUUGAUCUAUUGGAACUCAAGAUUGUUCCUUCUGCAUUCCAAAGUAAAAGAAAUCCAUGAAAGCUUGUGCAAUUUCAUCUCACACUGUCUUUUGAACAAAUAUUUAUUUGGAGCUUAAAAGAAAAAAGCUAAACUGUUAAUUGUUUAAAAAAAAAAAAUACAAGGAUCUAAUAAUGUAUUCUUCAAAUAAUAGGUAGGAAAUAGUCAUUUACCAAACUAUUUCAAAUCUCACAUGAUCAUUAGAUAUAAACGGGUUGGUGAACACUGUAACCAUAACUUAGCUGAAAUGUUUGACCGACAAAACUAAAAUAUUUAUCAAAAUGCAAUUUUUAAUUUUUUUAAAAUUUUUAAGAAUGAUGGCAGAUGGUCAAUAAAACAAACCAGCUAGCACAAGGGAGUGUCCGUUUAAAGGCCUAAAAUACAGAAACCAGUAAAAGAAGUGCCUGUUUAAAGUCCUACAGGUCGGUGCAUGAGCAUAACUUUUUCACAUUCCCAACCUUCUGGCUGCUUUAUUCAUGUAGAUGUUCAGAGGUUCUUUGGAUGAUAAAAUUUAACAAAACGACAUUCUAAUACCGACAAUAUUACAAAAAAAAAAAAUCGUUCUUAAUAGGUUUGGCAAAACAUAGCCAAUGAUACAAAGGCUCAAAUUGAAGUACUUGUAUGGUAAAGAUCAACCAAUAACAUAUCGGGCAAAGCAAAACAAAACAAAAACAUUACAAAGUCAGGAUGAACAAAAAGGUAGGUGGGAAACUACCAUCUCAUAAUCGUGCAACAUAGGAAUUUGCCUGAGUCACAUAUCUCACCCAUCGAUAUGGAUUAUAGGUAUUAGAUUUCUUUGCUAUCUGUAAAUAUUUCACCUGCAUCAAGGAACCAUAGAAAAAGAAUUGGAUGUCUUCAAAGGCACACAAAGGAGUUGCAAGGAAAAGUUGAAGUAUGUACUAAGCUCUCAGCUAAAGCUUUAGUUCCAAUCACAGUGCAUAAAAUUAAAAAUUAGUUCCAAUCACAAGAGAUAUGCAUAUAAAGCAGCAAAAUUGUAGAAGCAAGCCUUGAAAUUACAGGAAUAAGGAGAUGACAGGCAAUCAACUGUAGCCCCACCCUUUUCUCCGGACAAUUUAUUAUUACUACCACUAUUGCUACUUGUGCUGAAUGGAGGAAGAAGCGGAUUAUAUUGUAGAUACCGGUGGUCCAUUCUCAAUUAUGACCUCCUGAUGUAGUUUAUCUUCCAAUUAUGCAGCUCGUUUCCAAGCCGUGGUCCUAGCCUGUUUUAAAGAGAAGGGCUUCGCAAUUGUUCUUUUGCUUUUGCCUUUUGGUAGUAGGAAACUUAAUAAAUAGUUUCAAAUUUAAUUUGGUUGUUUAAAAACUUUAUACUUUAGCUGGACUAUUCAGCAAUUUUUGAUUUUCAUUCCUCUUGACAAGGUUGUAGCCAAAAUGAGCGUUCACAAAUGAGUGUUUCAGGAAACAGUUUGAACAAACUGCCAAAACCCAUGAAUUCCAUCACAAUUCAGUUCACAGGGAAAAUGCCCAGCAAAUAAGUCCUCUAGGUGGGGGUCAAAUUAAUAGUGGCUAGAGGUAUAAUGCAAAUUAGAGUUCCCAUGCAUAUUAUUAGAUGUAUAGACUUUAACCACCUCUUCGAAAUUUUGCUAGUGUAUAUAUUUGAUUAUGAAAAGACAUUUCUGUGAUUGCAAAGGAAAAUUAAUGGCUCACCUGAAGCCUAGAAGCAUUGUACAUUGGUAUUGUGAAGGUCAUGCUUACUGGUCCAGCCUCCUUUGUGAUAUUGCCUGCACCAAGCAAUAAAUAUGUUUCAUUCAGUGCAGCAUGAAGAGGAAAUAUCAUGAAUUGAAGCAUGAUCUCAUCACAAAUGAUUAUAAUUAAUACCAUGUAACUCUUGAGAAAAUGUCAGUUUUGCACGUAAAGUAUGUUCAGAUCCACCAACAAUCUGUUGCACAUUGCAUGUGUAAGUUAAAAAUUACUUGGCAAGAGCAUAAUAACUGAAAUGGAAGGCAAAAUUUUAUGGAAGUCGCACACAUUUAAGAAAUUCUCACCUUCUUUAAUCCCCAUUCAAGUCUCUUAUUUGCUUCCUUGAAAUCUGUUGUUUGCCCAACAGCUCCAGGUUCCAAAUCAAAAGUAGCUCUGAAAAAGAUAGGAAGAAAUUUUAAAAAUUUAUGCAAUGUAAAUAAAUAAAAAGUUAUAUGAACCACCAGUAUGAUCUGUCUCAGUUGAAUCUCCUAAAUAGCAGACCAAUAUCAAGAACUGCCUAUUUUUACUAGGUUCAAAGACCUGCAAAGGCAUUUGCAAAGUCUAGUAAUACUUGUAAACUAAUGACUUCCCCAACAAAAUGCACAAACAAGUUACUGAGGCAUUGCCUAUAAGCAAACAAGAUUUUGCUAUCCCCUUAAUAUCUACUUCAGAGGAUAUUGUGCCUGCCACCUCAAUCAAUUCACCCAUUUAGAGAAUUCCUAGUAGUUAUAUUUUCUACUUAUAUCCAUUGUGAGCCAUGCAAAUGAAUUGUCUUACUUUAGACAAAUAGUUCUCUCUUUUGAAAACAGAUUGAGCAAACUUGUCCACGGUUUCUUUUGAAAGCCAGAUAAUCACAAGCUUACUGCACCGAUGAACUGAAAAAUGGAGCUAAUUAGGCUCCACAAGGAAACAUGUUUUAAAUCAUAAUCGUACAAUAUGAUUUAGCAGAAAUGCAUGUUUUAGUCAGUUAAAUUCCAAGAUACGCACAAAGGAUCUACUCUGCUCACAUCCCCAAAUAAAAGACUACAGAAAAUCGUACCUGGCAGUAUAUUUUGGCAAUGGCAUCUGUAUAUGAAUUGUGUUUGCAGUAAUGCUUGAAGGAAACUCUGCUGAUAUUUUAAGAAUCACCUCGGCCUAUAUGCACCAGCAGAUAUGGAGAACAGCAACAUGGAUACAAAAGACAUAUAAAAGUGGUAAGCAGCAGCAUCACUUAAAACUAUGUCUAAGGCCUAAUAAUCCUUACAGCAUGUCUUGGCAUGAUGUUCCAUGGACAAGACAUGCUGUCAUGUCAUAAAAAAUGUUCCUCUUAAGCUCAGUUAUUUUCAUCAUCCAGCAAAUUUAGCAUAAGGAGGGUAGUAUUCACCUUAAGCGCUCCAGCUUCCUCAAUCAAAGUAUUAAUGCGGAAAGGAGGUUUGAAUUCCUGGGUCAUACGAUAGUUCAUGACAGGAAAUUCACCAUCUGGGGGUACCUGACAGGAGCAUAUAAUGCACUCAACUAAGAAACAAGAGAUAUAUAAAUGGAACCUCUUCAAAGAACACGAUUUUCAAACUUAAGCAUAAUUUUCAAGCUUAUCUGGUUUUAUUUUAUCUCACCAGCGUCAAAGUUCUAUCCAAGUCAAAACUAUCAAGCCGUACAGAUUCAUGAAAAUUACAAUCAUCAAGUAUAACUGCUCCUGACCCAGUUGAACUCCUGUAAUCUGCAGCAAGCAGCACCAAUUGAGAGAGAGAAGAAAAUAAGAGAGAGUACCUACAAAGUUACUUACUGAUAACUGUGUCUAACCAUCAUAAAGACUCCAUAUACAAAAUAAAAAUGAAAAAAAAAAGAGGGAAAAUAACCUUUUAGACUGAAUUUCAGCAAAACUAGUUUUAUCAGGGACCAAAAGUUAUACCAAUGAGAAAUCAUGUCUCCAUUUAUUGACUGAAAAAAGUUAUAAGUUACAACAAAAUAUGGUCUCCAAAUUCUAAAUCAUGUUCUGUUCUCAUCAUGCUUCCACAAGUCUAUAUUUGGCAAAAGGAACAUGACUAUGAAAUGCUAAUCCUUUGAGUUACUUGUGCAAGUAUUAUAUGGCUAAUAGCCAGUGAACUUGAUACAUACCAUAAGCUGAUCUCCCACUACCUCUUCCUAUGGUCAGGUCCUCAUUAAGGGCUAACCGAAUUUCAGGAUUUCCAGUGAGAUAACUCUUCAUUUGAAUGGUGCCAUCAAUUUCGGACGUCAAUAUAUAACCCUGUUUGUUGAAAAAAAAAAAGACUAAUAAAUUUGAAUAAACAAAUAAAGUAUUUUUCUUAUCUAAGUAAAAAAUCUUCCAUGAAAAACAACAACCAAUCCAGUUCAGUGGAGCAUGAAGACAUUUAAUGAUCUCAAACAUGAGAUCUUAACUGCACAUUGUUAACAACUUGACCCAGUUAAUAGCUGCAGAAAAUGCUAAUAAAACUCGCUAAUGUUUAAGCACAUGAAAAGGAGGAAAAGAAAACCAUAUGUAGUGACAAGGUAACAGCAAAAACAAAAAUGCAGCAGACAUAUUACAUGCAUAUGAUGUAAUGUUAUCAAUGAUCUGUAAGGAUUUUUUGUCUGAGUCACUGCUUGCUUUUAUCAAUUGUUAUUUGCAAUAGCUGCAUGAUACACUGGAACUGAAAUAUCAACCAGAUUUUCUCAAAUGAAUUAAAUAAUACUUACACUGGAGCUGAAUGUGACACUGAUUUUCUCAAUUAUAUCCACAAAUAUUUCUUCCCUCUUCCUACCUCCAGGUUCAUUUGCCACAACAGAUUUCGUUACAGCUGUACCUGGCAUCCUUUUGGUCCCUUGCUGCAUUUGAUUCCAAGUACUAAGAAUCAAUUAUAACUAGAUGCUAGGUACAAUCAUUAUUAGGUGUAUUCGGAGUAUCACUUGAUUUACACAGAUUAAAUCAUACCAUAAAAAUCGCAGCAGGGCUCAGAGGUUGCAAACGGCUGGCAUCAACCACAAUUGGCUCAUUAAAUACAUAAGACUUCAACACUUCAGUGGAUGUUGUCUGUACAUAACCAAAAUCCUGGAACAAGGAUACAGGAGUUUAAAUAUCAUAUAAGCUUCCCAAAUACUUGAGCACAGGCUAAGUAACACGUCAAAAUUUCAUGGGAAGGACAUAUCUAUUACACUUAAAAUGGACUAACAUUAACAUAUGAUACAUCAUGAUGCAAGAGCUGCAAAAAAAGAUAUCCAGUCAAGUAAAUGAAUUUUUGGAUUGAGCUGCAUAUGGGUAAGAGAAUGUCACUUAAAAAACUAAUGGGCCAAUAAGGGCUCUCCAACUGCAAAAACACACUAGAUGCAUUGAAUAAAUUAUAUAAUUUCUGAACUCAAGAGCAAGGACAAAGAGCUAAAAGAAAAUCUCCAGGAACACAAGUAUGAGAAUGUACAGAUUGGCUUGGGUUCCACAUUUAAAUCUACUGACUGAACAGUACAGAAUAUGAGGAGAGAAAGCAGCAAAUGUUCAUAUAUCCUGUAGAAACAUGCCAUCAAAAAGGGAUAGAAAGCAUGAUGAGAAAACUUACUAUCACUUCAUCAAGCAAUUCAUAGACAAGCACAAAAUUUCUCCGCAGAGAAUCUUCAUUGAGAAUGCCAAGGUAAUCCUUGAUGACGCGAGCGACCCUUUGCAAGAGUUCCAACACCAGAGAAGGUGACACAUUAACUCUUGUGGUUGCAACAAAUAAUAAUCCAACGACCUUUACAUGAAAGUAGUUCACCCCAUCCACAUUCUAUCAAUAAAACAAGAAAUUGUGACAGGACAUUAGCAUACUGACUUUAGCUGAGAUAUUUGUUAUCAUAAAGAAAAAUACUCUUAAAACUACAUCAAAAGAAAAAAAAGCUAAAAUACUGUAAUAAAUAAAUAAAACUGACAAAUAGCAGCAUAUAGAGAAAUUAUGACAACCAAAUAUGGACUGUUUGGAAUGCAAUGAUACAGAAGUAGAAGCCAAAGCAUAGAUGCCAAGAGCUCCGAGUCUGAACAAAUAAUCAAGAAGCUAUACGAUCAACAUUCUUAACUUUUCCUAGCCGAUGGUAUCCCAAAUUUCACUUAAUAGUUAUUACAAACUCUUCUGAAACUAAAUAAGAUAGCAUUUGCUAAACUAAAUAAGCCUUUACUAGACUGAAUUAGGAAAAAGAAAUUCUCUACUAGAGAAAGACUAAGCUAAGGCAAACUGUUGGGAUAUCUCACAUAAGAGGUGCAGUAAUAAAAUAAAAUUUAUUUCUCUCUCUUUAAAAAAAAAAUUAUACGUACAUGUAUACCAGAAAGAACUCUACACAUUUUCCCAUAACAAAAAGCUUAUGACACAGUUCAGAAUUAACAAACAAGGCAUACGUUCAUUGGCUUAAUAUGUUCAUACCAUAAAUGGAUAUGAAAAAUACACUUCCAAACAUUAUUCAGAAACAUAAUACCUACAAAGACAGGCGGUGCCUCUUCGUCUCCAUCCUCCUUCCAGAACUUCACUUUACGGAAAAAUAUUUCAGCACUUCCUUUUGCUACUUCACCACGAUCUGCAAAAUGCAAUUUAAUUUAACAUAGAAUAAAACAAUGCAAAAUCCAGUUCCCAAGUCCUCAUACACAAACUCCCUCUCAUUGAUUAAUAAAUUCCUGAAAUGCAACCCUAACUGCUAGACCAGUGAGAUGUUACAAUUAAGUGAAAUAUUUUUAGAUCACGAGUAAACUUCAAAAUGCGGAAAUGAAGAACUAGCUGCUGGAUCUAUUGCAUUAAAAUUAAAAAUCGAACUGGCUAUGAAUAGAAACGAAUGAAAUUUACAAAUUAUCAAAGGUUAUACAAGAUUUUAUAAUAGAUCCAUCAGAUAGGAAAAGAGAGACUCACAGUCGCGAAAGACAAUAUUAUCGCCUCGCUGUGAGAGAACAAAGAACUGAGAGAUCAUGAUUAAUAGCUGCUCUUCUUCCUUGAGAUUUCCUCUCUCUGUCUCUGUAAACUAAGCUUGGGCGAUUUGUUCUUGUUGUUUGUAAUCUGUAAAAGCCCAAAACGAAAACCAAAAAGUAUCUGUAAUUAUAAUUCGUAAUUUAAUAAAUUUAAUGCUCAAAAACGACCAUUCUUGGGUCGCUAAUGCGUUGUCGUUUGACUAUUGCUUGCAAAAUGGGCAAAACCAUUACGGGUACGAAAUACGAUGGACUGAUGCGCAAGCACGAGGCAACGCAACGAAACAAACCGUUUGAUGGUCGAACGACCGAUUCGCACACGUCCUGUCGUUCGAGGGCUUUAAACCGAGUUUAUCUUAUCAAUAUCAAUAUCACUCGUGUUAAAAUCCGCGCGAUGCGCGAACUAAUAUUAAAUGAUAAAAUAAUUUUUUAUAAUUUCGACGUAAACAUAACAUGACAUGUUUUCUAAGUGAUAGUAUCAUAAACACGACAUGUGCUUAUACAAACACAAUACUUAUUUCUAAAAAAAUAGUUUUACUUAUUAAUAUUAAUUUAAUUUUUUUUCCUCCUCCUAUGUGAUAUUAUCUGAAAAUAUAAUUAUUUUCCCUUAUAAUAUGUAAGAUGUAUAGAGUAAUAUUAAAAGAUAAAAUAAUAUUUAUAAAAUUAUUUAAAAAUAGUAAAAUUAUAUAAUGAAACGAUAAAUUGUAUCUUAUUGAAAUAUGCUGAAAAGCUGCGAUGCCAAUAUAUGUCUUAUUACGUAUCAUGCAAAAUUUUUCAUAAAAUAUGCAAUAGUAAAAGUUAUGCAUGGUAUGACCUACAUAAAAAAAAUGCAUACACAUUAUUAAUAUACUUUUCAACAGUGAUAGUAAUUUUGAGAAUUUAACUAAUUAUAUUGAAAUAAGAAAUUAAAUAUUUUUAUUUUAUCUUUAUGAUUUAUUAUAAAUGAUUAUUUAUUUAUUUAAAAUAUUAAUAUAUUAUUUAUUUAGUAUGCUAUGUUCUGAACGUGUGGAUCUCUUACUUUUUUUUAUAAGAUUAUCGUGUAUCUCGUUUCCAUGCAACAUAACUCCUAGUAAAUAAUUGUUGUCAUUACACUUUAUCUUUUUACAACCUAACUAAAUAAUUGUUAUCCUCUUCAUAUUGUAGAGGCUUACACUUAGAUUCCAUAUAAUGCAACCAAAACCUAAAAGAUAAUGGUCCAAACACAGUACCCAUGAGACAAUGACCAGAUAUUCAAGUAUAUAAUUUUGGUAAAAUAUUCUAUUUCAUUUCCCUUUUCAUGCACACGCACUCCAUAAGUGAUGUGAAAUCUGAAGAAUUACAUUGGAUAUUGAUGUGUGUAUAGUAUAAUUUAAAUAUUUUAAUAUAAAGUGUGUCGAAGCUUUUUAUCUAUAAUUUCUUACAUUUUUUUUAGUUUGUGUUUGAGAAAGUCAGUAAGGUUUCGAGUCAUCAUAGACUAAAAAUCUCCUUUACGAUAGUUUUGCAAGAUUUUAUGUUAAGAUUAUUAUCGCUGAGCUAGUUGGUCAUGGGUAUUGCUCAAUCCAAGAAUGAUUAAAAGCUAUUGCUCCAAGUUGUUUUAAGAGAAAUUUUGCUAUUGCAAAUAUUUUUUUAAGGAUUAGGAUCCUAAUAUAUUAUGAGAUUUAUUUUGAAUUAAAAUUUCGCCUCAAAAAUAUGAGAUAUGAGAUUUCAAUACGAUCUUCAACCGUUUAUUUAUCCUUAUUGCCAUGAAAGUUAUCGUCAAUUUUGAUAAAUGUUAUUUGAAUAUAAAGUUGUGGUGUUUUUAUUAUCUCUUUUACUUUAACUCCCAGAAAACUCUUUCUUAAUAAACAAAGCAUUCGUAGUUAUGUUAAGGGUGUUUGGUAACCCAGAAAAUAUAUGAACACCGAGGAAAAUAAAGAAAAGGACGAUAGAAGAACCGAAAUUUAAAGCGAAUGUAGGAAAAAGAGUAUACUUUGUCAUUACUUGUCUUUUUCCAUAAAUACAAACAGAUAUGCAGUAGCCUGUAUCUAAAUGUCAACUCAGCUACUUGCACAUCAGCAGCUCCAUAAACAUUUAAUCACAAGUUGAAGUAACUGAAAUACUAUGCAGGCUAUUAAAACCUAUUACAGCAAUGUUUAUUACAAUAUAGUCCCUUGAUUCCCAACAAGUCGUAAUUGAUAAUUGUUGAUAUACACACAAGACCUUUAUCAUUAAAAAUCUACAUUUACUGUCUAAAAAGGAACAUUAGCAGUUAAAAAUGAUAAAAUCAAUAUGAUCUUUGCAAUAGCAGAACAUAUUUUGUGGAAUGCAAACAAACUCAGCACCAGAACUCUGUGUCUUUUGCUGAGAAUCUGUUGCCUUCUAUGAAAUCGAGGGUCCAUUUCUCAAAUGUACAAUUCAAGAAAUCAUAGUAUCCUCCAUGAACAAAUAGCAUCUCUUUCCUCACCCUGACUUCAAUCCAGGGAUAUGUUAACAAGUUAAGCAAUGAACGGUUGAUAGAUUCCUGUGCCAAAAGAAUUCCUAGUAAAUUAUCUCAAGAAUUGUGAGAUUGCAAGUUGAAAUUCCAGUCAAAGCCAAAUUAAAGUCUUUGUCCCUAAAUAUAUUUCUUCAUUGGAACUACAAUUAGUUUCAGCAGAGAAUCUUGGAAUCAUGUCCCAUCAUGAUAAAGUGGAUGAAAAUUGAAGUCUUAGUCAAUAAAUAUAUUUCUUCAUUGGAAUUGCAAUUAUUUUUAACAGAGAAUCUUGAAUCAUUUCCCAUCACCAUAAAGUGGAUAGGUAUGGAGAACAAACCUUCUCACAGUAUUUGCAUUGUUGAUCAAAGCUAAGGCCACUAGCAUCAGCUUCUGUUCUUAACUUGGCAAUAUCGGCAGUGGCAACCCAUUUCUCAAUAAAGCUACAUGAGAAAUGUAAAGCAGUAAGGAAGUUAUCGUCGAGAAAAUUCAUCGAGAUUUUAGUAAGGUAAUCUCCAAAUAUCUAUUAAUAACAAAAGAAGGAAAAAGGUUGUGAAAUAAAACCUUGAGUUCUUUUCAUCUUGAGUACUCAUGAGAGCUUGAAUUCCUGCACAGUUGCUGUGGCCAAUGACAAAUAUAUUUUCAACCUACAAGAAUUUAACAACCAUAUUGCUUGCUCAAACAUAUAGAAGCACUUGAUCUUUAAAACAACGAUAUGUUGGAUAAUUUGCGAGGAAGGUAGUUCUUGCAUCAGCUUAAUAUAUGGCCUCAAGAACACAAUUUUAAUUUGCAUCCUUCAGAAAGAAAAAAAUUUAGUUUAUUUUCAAAGGACAACAACUUACUUCAAGAGUAUUUACAGCAAACUCAAGUGCAGCAUUUGUUUCUGUUGGUCCAUUCUAUAAAACGGAAAAAAAGAAUUGAAUUAUGUAACUCAGCUAUGCUUGAUAGCCAAUAUUGGUAUUAAGCAUAAUUGUCAUACCUCAAGUGGAGGCACAAUAUUUGCAACAUUUCUAACCGUAAAAGCUUCUCCAGGUUGAAAUCCAAGAAUGUUAGAUGGACAAACCCUAGAGUCUACACAAGCAAUCACCAUAAACUGUUCAAGUUGUCAGUUUGAAAAGAACUAGACAAAUUUUCCUUGCAUAAAAUUAACAAAACACAAACAGAAUCCAAGAAAGGAAAACAAAAUAUUUACUUCUUUAGCAUAUUAAGAAGCACCGAAUUAACAGAAUCAAGUUUGUUAAUCACCUUUGGAGAUUGCAAUUCAGCAAGAUUUUUAAAAUGCUCAGCUUCCUUUCUGAUGAAAAACUGAUGUUAGGAAACAGAAUUGUUCAAAGCAAUUUCAAUUAAAUUCCUGCGUUUGCUUGUACUUUAACUUCUACUUACAAAUAUUUAUACUGCUUGAAAUUCAGAAACCUUUGUUUCAUCUCAUCAAACGAGUUUUGCCUGCCACCACUUUUGGGCACAUUCUGUACUUGAACACUUCUAUCUUCCUGAACAAGUCCUAACGAACUUAUUGAAGCAUCCACUCUCAAAAUUGGAUUCUCUCUACAAAGCAUUAUAUAAAGAAUUAACAUAACAAGAUAAAUAAUUCAACCCAACAAGCAAACUUGAAUUUAAGUUUUAUUCCUAGUAAACGUACUAAAGAAGGGUCAAGCACAUGAACUUACUUAUGCGAAGAGGGAAAUCCCAAUCUAACAUCAUUAACUUUCGCUAGCUUCUCCUGUAAUAAGAGAAAGAAAACGAGAGUACUUAAUAAGAUAUACUUCUGCAAGACAAUUAAUUAAGUCAAGGAAAUAAUUAAUAAAGUAAAGGCCAAAGGAACCCACUGAGGCAGAAUUAAGCCAAUUUCUGGGAAAACCAUCGAUAGCAGAAAAGGGUGAGCCAUGAAAUCCCCAUUUUACUGAAACAUGUCUGAAAGCAACUACUGCUGUAACAAUCGAACCAGUUCUCAAUCCUGUAAUAUGCAAGAAAACAGAACUACUAAGAAUUUGAAGAAACAGAAAAAGAAAGCAAUAAUUAAACUAACAGCUUAAUAAUUACGUGUUUGCCAAACCAUCUCCGGCUCGGGCUCCGAUUCCGGCGUCGUCUAAUCAUUUGGAGCGGUUAUGAGCUUGAGCUUCAAUAUAAACGUUUUGUUUUAUGGUUUCGUAACGCGCUUGACAUUUACGCAGACGAGGCAAGCUUAUCCAAAUGUAUGGCUCUCUUCUUAUCCCAUUUUUGUGGGAAUAUGAUUGGGAUAUUCAUAUGUACAGCUCAACUUUUCUCUCUUUUUUAUUCGAACUUUAUAAAGAGAACAUGGGAAUAUUUUUAGGAUUGGAAAGCAAAGCAUGCUUGAGCUUGGUCCCCCAGGGCCAGAAGGGCCUCCUAGGAAUGGUAUAUACUUUGCAAUUUGGACCAGGACAAGUGCAAUGCUAUAAAUCAAACCAACCUUAAUCGAUCAUUGAUUUAGCGAUGGCCAAUCAAACCGUAAACCGAAUCAAUUUCAAUUAGUCAAUUCCAAAAUUGUGUGCUCACCUCUAAUUGAUUCAGGUCUUAUUUUCUUUUUAAAUUGCAAUUUAUUUAUUUUUUAAUGUUUUGGCUUAAAUUGUACCAGAUGAAAUUUAUCAGUGGCAGUUUAUUUUAUUAAAAAAAUUACUGUAUGAAUAAAUUUCUGGCAGCUGAAUCAAGAGGACCCCUUGUUGGAUUAGUUUUGGAUAGGUUUUUUUUUUUUUUUUUUUUUUUCAUUUUAGUGCACAACUGUUAUGUAAUUUAGAAAAAGAAAAUUGCUUUCGAAAUCUAUUUCUCCUUUAAAAAUUUGUCAAUGUUAUCCCCUUUUUUUUUUUUUUUUUGGUUUCUAUAAAGAAGACUCAAUAAACAAUAAUAGCAUAUCAAAAUGAGAAUUGCUUCGCUAUCUAUCCAAAAACUAAUCAACCCCAUUAACCAAAUCGUAACCCCGAAGCCGUUUAUUCCUUUGGACCACCUGACCCAGCCCAGAGCGCGAGACCCGAUUCUCCACAACAGCCUUUAACGCUCUUCUCAAAACUCCUACAUCCUCCUCUCCGCCACCGCCACCGCCACUACCCCAUUGCAACACCACCACACUUCUAGUCCGCCCACCAACCGUCAUCAUCUCAGCCUUAACCGCCCUCGCUUUGACAGACCGGAUCGCCUGCGACAAAUCCCGGUUCAACCCGGGCCUAUCCUCACAACAAACGCUCACUCUCAUCGUCUUGGUUUCACCAUCGCAAUAACUCAAAAUCGUCUCGUCAGAUUCUCCCGGAAACGGCCAGUACUUCUCACUCUCUGAUUCGCUGCCACAGCAACUGUCCCUGUCCUGACGCGCCACGUGAGCCGCUUGCUUCCUUAGCUCCUUCACGUGAUGAACCACCUCCGCCAGCAACGAGGCCUUGUCUGUCUGUUCAUAUAUAGAAACCAAAUCGGAAAUUACAUCCAUACCCUUCCGGUUUAACAAAAUCAACAAUUAUGCAUAUAACGAAACCAAACCAACUAACCUUAGUGGAGCUAGGAAGAAGAGUACGAAGGGUGGAGAGAUGAGCGUUGAUACGCUGUCUACGUCGCCUUUCAGCUUCCUUAUGACUCUUGCAUGCCUCGGUUGAUUUCUUUUCCAAUCUUGAUGAUGAACUGAGGACGGACUCACCAGCACCGUCCAUUUCCAUGACGUUGACUAAGGUUGGUUCUUGAACAAAACGGUUCUGGCUGUGAUCAAAACCAUAGUAGGUUUGAAAAGGAAGCAUUUGUUGAGAAUAAAAACAAGGUAAGGAAGAAAAGUUGCAGAAAGAAGAAGAGAAAACUGGAAAAAUGAGAGUAGAAAGUGGAAGUUUUUAUUAGUACUAGAAGAAGACUGAAAGUCUUAUAUAAUGAGGAGUAAACAGAGACAAUAAUAAGGCUUUUUACCACUAAGAAUGUAAAAGUGAAGAAAGGGUGAAUCUUAUUGGGCGUUGGAGGACAAAUCAAAGGACUGAUGAGUGGUUUAGUGGAAGUGAGAACUGUGAACCGUACACUCUGGCGAAUGCCAUGUCAAGAUAUAUGCAAAUGUCAAAUGGUGCAAAUGCAAUUCAUAACUUUUCUUUUUCUUUUUAAGCCUUCCAGCUCAUCAGCUCAAUUAAUCCAAAUUUACAUUUUAUAAGUCCACAUAAGACGACAAAGUGUUUUUUAUCGACAAAAUAUUAAUUUGGGAGGUAAUCGAACUUUAACCUAUUCCUCAAAUGUAUUAGAAAGAUUAUUAGAAAGAUACUCUGGGAUGAAUGUAAAUUUAAGCAAAUUUCUCCUACUCUAAGAAUAAAUGACUGCAGUUGGUUGGUUGUACGAGAUGCGAACCCGCCUGUCAAAUAGAUUUCUAGGUAAAAAUACAACUUCAAUUCAUAAAAAAAUAUUUUGCUAGAAAGAUGAAAAAAUCUUUACGCUUUACAGUUUAAAGAAUUACAUCUCUCGAUUAUACCAAAACGAUAAAGUGUUUUCUCUUGCAUAUUUAAAGAGAUCCAAUACUCAUAUCUGAUUAAAAAAAUUAAAAUAAAUUUUCUUUAUAAAAAUAUAAAUUAGUAAUUACCAAAAAUAGAUAAUGUUAUUAUUUAAAAAAAAAAAAAACUAGUUAAUUAAUUAGCUUAAUGAUUCAGAAUCUCAAUUAGAACAUUUGACUUAAUCAUGAGGAAGUACCAAAAUCCAGAAGCAAGAAAACAAAUAAGAAGGUCAUCUAUUGUGGACAGUAGAAAACGUACAAUAUAAGUUGUAAUUCAUAAUCAUUCGACAGAUUUACUCUAAUUAAUUUGCACGUUGAAGGACAAAUUUUCACUUGUAGUAUAGCUUAAAAGCCUUUUUUUCUUUUUCUUUUUCUUUUUUGCCAUUUUAAUACAUACAAGGAUUUAAUUAUUAACAUUUGUCCUCUAUUUUUUUUUUGUUGAUUCUUUGCAUAUUGGUCAAUUAAAUUAAAAAAAUUAUAAAAACAAAUCACUCUUCUCGAAAAAUUUAUGGAGAUGCUCUUUCUAUCAGCAUGUAAUUUUUAUUUUACAUUCUAAAAUUGUAAAUACUGGUAGAUAAUAUUUUAAGUUCCAAAUUCCAAUAUUCUCACAUGGCAUUCAUGCAGUAUGGUGUUCCUGAGUUUUUGUCUUAUACUAACAUUUUCUUUUGUUUAGUUUUGAAAUAAUCUUAAUUCUUUUCAAUUAUUAUAAAAUUUUUUAUCCUAACAUAAAAAUAAAUUAUUAACUAUUAAAUUUUAAAGUUAUAUAUAGUCUAAUUAAUUUUUGAGGAAAUUGAAAAUAUCAAAUUUAAAAUUUCUCCUAUUUAUUUUUUCCAUCGUUUAAUUUUAUAUAUCAUUUAAAAUUUUUACACAGUAACUAAAAAAAAAGUAAGUGCAUCACCUAAAUUAUAAUAACAUAAUCCUCAAUUUUAUUAAAUUAUAAUUUAUCUCAUCUAAUAUAUUACUCCACUUUCAAUCAUUUUUUCUUCAUUGAUCUGGUAAUAAAAAUAAAAGAGAGAAAGAGGUAAAGAUGGAUCUUAGAAAAAUUUAGAAAAUAUUUAUUGGAUUUUCUAGAAAUAAAAGAAAAAUUGAAGAAUUUCAUUAAUCUUUUUAAAACACAAAUAUUUUUUUACAAAAUAACUCCUUUUUUAUUGAAAAAAAUGGAUAAAUUAUUAUUAGUAUCAAUCAAAAGGACAUCAUGAAUAAUAGACAUGAACAAUAGACAAAAGAUUUAAGACUCAUCCCAUUAACUCAAAUAUAAAAUUAACAAUCCGAACAAAGACACGAACUACUUGAUUUGCUGGCUUUCUGGUAAAAAUAGAAAUAAUCCCACAAUCAACUAAUUUCAAAAAUCCAAACUUUCAUGACCAAAUUAGCAACAACCUAUUACCCAAGCUUUUAAAGUUAUGGCCGAACCUGAUUUGCCCCAAAAAAAAAAUUGGCACUGUCAAUCCUGUCCUUAUAAUGUGUAUAUAUGUGUCCAUAGUCCUUUACACAGUUGCUAGCUUACUCAUCACAACAAAGCUGUUAAUGGGGUGAGUCCUAAUUCCAUAAACAACACUAAUUAAAAUAAUUAAGCUGGUACUUAAUUGAGAAAGCGAAACGUGGCAGAGUCAUUUUCACGACGGCAGAAGAUUACUAUAUAAGCACCCAUACGGCGGCGCCGACAGCUUUUCUGUAAGAAGAAGUUGUAAGAAAAGGGAAUCAAAAGGGACAAGAGCGAUCAUGCCCCGACAACCUCUUUUGCCCACCAUCAUUUCGCUUGCUUGUUUCAUUUUCACUUUCACAUUAUUAAUAAUAUACACUACGUACUGUCCACACAGUUAAACCUUGCAUUAUUGACUGUAGCAUUUACCUUUCGUUUACACUAUUAUUUACUGGUGUUAUUAAUUUGGAUUUGGAUUUGGAUUUUCAUCUGUUCCAACCAGCAGCAUCACUCUUUUCUGGAAUUUUCAUUGCAUAUAUUUUAGAAAAAAAAAAAAAAAAAAGCUGUUUCUCUUCUGGAAAUUGGGGACCAACAAAUAGUACUAAUUAUUACUAUUAAUUAUAUAAUAAUUGUAAAUAUCCCAAAUUAUUUGAAUGCUUUGGGUUGGAAAUUUUUUUAAUAAUCCAGGUAGAUUAACUGUUUCUAACUAAACUUUUCUUUGCAUUGAUAUUGAUAAGAGCGGAUGCAAAAAACAAAAAUUUUAAAUAGUCACUCUAAUUAAUUCGGAAUUAAGAUUUAAUCGUUGUUGCUGCUCAAAAUGUUCUUAUCGUGUAAUUUUCAUAAUUAUUAUUAAGCUAAUAGUUGAAUAAUGAAGUACCGAAAUUUUUAUUUUUCUAUAAUUAUGAUUGUGACUGAAUAGUUGCAUAUGAUUACAAAUUCUAGCAUUUUACAUUUGAUAAAGAAAGUGAAGUAUCCCUAUUAGCUAAAUUUUCUUUUUUCCUUUUAAAGGAAAAUCUUAUAUAUAACUUGUACGAAAACUAAUAAAUUGACAACAUACACGUGUCAAUACGAAGUACAAUGUGUUAAAAUUUGAAAACUGUUAGAAAGAGGAGAGAGAGGGACAAUAUAUAAACAAGCAUGUGAGCUUGUUGGGUGGACCCCCACCAGAGGUAAGGUAAUAUCAUCAUCCGAUGGACAAUCGUACAUAACUGAGAAGAAGGCAAUUCCAAUUGCUUGGCCUUGGCCUUGGCCUUGUCUGUACACCGUAGAUAGAAGGUGACGCUUCCUCACUGCAAUUGGCAUGUUUCUAUGCUCUCAGUACACUUCAUCCUGCUUUAUGUACGUUUGUUAAUGUCCAUAACUUCUCGGGCCCAUUCAAAUAAUAUUAUAAAAAAAAAAUUAUAAUCAAAUUAAAACAAGUUUCUGUUUUAAAAAAACUAAUUAUAAGUUUUUAAUUUAUAAUUCUAUUAACAUUUUGAUUAACAGAAUCAUAAAUUAGGAAUCUUAUAAUUAAUUUGAUUAUUAUUUAAGAACUAAUGUCAGACUGUUUUGGACAAAAGAAUCAAAAUGUUGAAUAAUAAACCUAUUUUUCAUUUUUGAUGAUAAUGUAGAAUAUGGCAUGUGUUUUCAUCCAAUCCCGAGAAUUGACAUUGACACGUAAUAUGUUCAUUCAAAUCCUUCUCUAAUUCUGUCCGCAAGUGAAAGGGCAAAGAAUCAAACAAGAAGCAACAGAAAAGAAAAGACAUAUAUGAAGUUAGAUGAGUAAGACUAUUGUAACAGUAAUAAAAUCUUACACAUGGUCCUACUUCUUCUUCUUCUGCUGCUGAGAAGAAAGCUGAACCCUUUUUGUACGUCAAGAAAAUAUAUGCAAGCUAGAUACGCACAGUUAUUUCUGCAUACUAAAUAUCAGACACCAGAUGCAUAUGGUAUGGCCAUCUUUGCCAUCAUUUAUUUCUGCAUGCUAGAUAAAUUGCCACUUGUUCUAGUAGAAAACUUCCAACUUCAAAUCUCUGUUGAAAACAUCGUUGGAAAAUUAUUCAAGGAAAAGAAUAAAAAGAGGGCAAAAAGAAGAAGAAACAUGCCAGAUGCCUUAUAGAACAUUUGUCAGAAUCUAGAUUUCACAACUCAAUCGACCAAACCCAUAUAGAUUCAAACAUAUCUUAAUUGAAGCAUCACAAGAUAUGUAUUAGAUGUCUAAACAUUUGUUCUGAUUUCCUUCUACCAGAAUUUUUUAUACUAGCAAUCAAGAGCUCAGACUAGACAAGAAUGAGCUGUACAAAUCCAUGUGACCUCACAGCCAAAGAGCUCGGAUCCAUAUACAAUUUUGGCAAGCUACAUGAAAAUUGAAUGCAAUACAAAAAAUGGAUUGACAAUAUGCAGGGUGAGGCAAUGAAAAAUUAUCUGCAAGUUGAAGAAAAGAUAUCAAAACUUAGACAAAUCUGUCCUUUUGGUGAAAUGGAGAUCCUGAAGGAGCAAUUAGACCGAGAGUUUGCAUGACUUUGGUUCUUCUUGCACUCAGCUCUUGAGAUCUUCCAGGCGAAGCAGCAUCCUAAGAGAAAUAACAAAAUUAAAUAAGUUGAUCUUUGAAACUAACAAAGUUAAAGUAACAAAGUUUGUAAUGUUGAGCUUGUGUUUAUUUUCCACCUCAACUUCUUUAGAAGAUCUGCUUUUAACACGCUCUGCAGUUCUUGGGCUAUGCUUUUCCUUCCCACCUUGCCUUUUCAGCUUGACUCUCUUCUGCGUGCUGUCAAACUCUUCAGUUUUUUCCACUCGUUCAUUGGUACUUGAGCUCUUUUGCUUGAGUUUCUUUUGCAUCCCAUCUCGGUUAGAUGUUUUCCUUUUUGUAUUCUUUUCUGGAUUUAAGCUGUCUAAUUUGAGUUUUCUUUUUACCCCAUCUUGCUUGGAGGCCUUGCUAAUUGCUUUCUCACCUUCUAUUAUAAAGCAAAUUGCUAAUUGUCAUCUUUCUAUUUGAAAUAUGUUAUUUUAAGGAAUCCCCAAUACAGCAUAUUCAAUAAGCAUAAGCACAACACUUCAUGCUUCAAAGCUUUAUCUAACCAUAACUGAAUCACAUAUCAGUGCAUCAAAAUUAUUUGCAAAAUUAAAUAGUUCAAAUUUGAACAACAAUUUUCCAAAUCAUCCUUAUACAAGUUCAAUAUUGUGCAUGUAGUAGUAAAUAAUGGGCAACUGAGAAACAAUAUCCUAUAAUGGUAAAUGAGGCAGAAAUUAGAGUGUUAAGAUGAAUAUGCCAAAUUAUGGACGUGAAACCUGCUGAGGAUUGUUUGACUAUAUCCAACAUAGAUUGGCAUAUGCAUGAUACAUGAUAUCUAGUACAUCCAAAUCACAAGAGUGAAGAAGACAAAAAGCAGAUGAAAGAUGGUUUCAGGAAGUAACACACAAAUAAAAAUAUCCAUACAGCUAAUACUAACACUAUGGAAUUGAGGCUCAGUUGAUUCUUUCAUUUCAAAUUUCCAUCUCUCAUAGUGCCCUAUUAUUUCAAAUCUCUUUCAUAAUGCAUUAAAAUUAACAGAGUUCUCAAGAAAUCCAUCAUAUAUCAAAUCCGCUUGACUAAGCUUUAGUCCCCAACCACUUGGAUAGGUUAAAUAAACCUUGCUUAACUCACUUAUCCAUCUACAUAAAUCUUUCCUCACCACUAAAUGCAGAAGCUAAGCAUAAAAGGAAAGGGAUGGUCAGAAAAGAAAGGAGAAAAGACCAUGUGAACCAGAAAAUGGAAAGAAAGACGGCUAACCUUUAGAUUUCGUUACUUUCCCCUUUACUCGACUGGAAUUCGACUGAGAAAUAUCCUAUCAUCAUAUCCAAAUGAUUGGAGAAGCCAUAAAUUACUAUAAUGUACUAUUUGAUUGCUCAAAAAGCAGCUUCUAUAUCAUAUUAAUGACCAUCUUAGGAUUAGUUCCAAAUGAAAGGUCAAAAAAGGUUACCUGCUCUAGAGCUUUCCUAAAUAUUUCUUCAUAUGAACCAUUAUUCUUCUCAAGUGUCUAUGGAAAAAAAAAAAAAAAACAGAGAUAAACAGGUUGAAAGUCAAAAAUUGUAGAAUGCAUAUGUUCAAUCACACAUAAAGAAUAGGCUGUAUCAGAGAGUUGCAUUUCGGCACUUACAAUGUGAAACUCAGAGCGGCAUUUAAUAGGAUCCACGUACAUGCUAGAAGCAAAAUACAAGCAAAGUUAGAAUUUACAGGUUUACUAGUAAGAAUGGAAACCACUAGAGAAAGGGAAAGAGGCCCCAACUAUUCAUAGCUCCCAAUCAGCCUAACACGAACACCCUUUAUUUCUCUAUCCCCACUGACAUUGCUUCCAAAAACCUGAAAAAUAAUGAAGUAGUAAAUCCAAAAGUUUUGUCAAAAUAAAGGCUGCAUAAAAACAAUAAAACAAUUUAUGUGGUCUACCACUGCAGGCCACCAGGAGUCGCCAUGAAGCUUCACCCAAGUUAUGUCCCCAAGCAUGGGCUCCCCUUCCAACUGCAUAAUAGCAUUACUUUCCUCGGCAUCACCUGAAUUAUGAUUUUUGCUACUCGUGCAGCUUUUACCUUCCAUAGUUUUUCGCUUUGAUUCAGACAAAUCUAGUUGCAAACGCAAAUGGGUAUGUUGACAAGAAAACCACUAUGAUAAGUAUAUUUGAUAGUUACGUAGAUCAUUGAUUUUUCUAAAUAAAAAAAAAAAAAAAAAAAAAAAAAAAAAACCCUUUUUAAACCAUUUCUUUUUUUUAAAUUUUUUNNNNNNNNNNNNNNNNAAAAAAAAAAAAAAAAAAGAAAAAGAAAAACCUCUUUGAAGUCAUUCAUUUUUCUUAAAUUUCUAAUUUUAUACCUUAAUCAAUUCUCCAAUAUGAUCAUUUGAACUAGCAUCCAGUUUUAUUUUGUCAACGGAGCCAAAAAGGAAAAAAAGAACAGAGAAUCUUUCAAUAAACCCCAUUUCGCAUUCCAUUCAUGAACCCCAAAAGAAAGCCAAUAUUGCCCUGAUACGAGCACCACUAGCAACAUAAGUCAUGUCAGGGAGUGAGUGAUCCACCAAAACAUUCAAAACCCUAAGUCCCAAAAAACUAUAAUCUGAUCAGCUUAGCAAGAUACAUCCCAAGACUACAUUGCUUUUACCAAAUGGAGCACAAACCCAUCAACUUCCUUUUGGGUAACGAGGAAAAGAAGAGAAAAAAUUUCUAAGCUCUAAUUUUCAAAAUUCAGUAAUGAACUGAAAAGAAUCUUAUUUUCAUGAACAUAGAACAAAGCCAAAGAAUUGAAUCUAAAUAACAAGAAAAAGCAACUUGGGCACUUACCAGUUAAAAAUGAGAACAGGGUUUCGCAAGAGAGGGACUCGCUAGUUGAACCAUGUUAAGUUUUUCUUCUUAGUGGAGAUAGUGAAAUGGAAUGUUGCUUCACGAACUUAAUGAGCAGGUAAUGGUGUUGGGAAAAUAUUAAAAAAUUACAUGGAGCAGCUUUUUCAGGUCUAGAGCAAUUUGAUUGACAAUUUUUUUACCCCAGGAAGGUAAAUACUAAUUCAGCUGAAUUUAACAAUCUACUUAAAUCCAUAUAAAAUUUUAGUAUUAUUCAUAUUCAUUUUCAACUAAAUAUUUAUUCUUAAAUUUUUUUAAGCAUUAUUUAUAUUCAAUUUGCUAAUAUUUUACUAUUUGCAGCUAUUUCACCCAUUAAAAUAUUUUUAAAAUAAUAGAUUAUUCUUAAAUUUUAGGCUAUCCAGACCUAAAAUAUUAGCGAUUUAGAAUACUCCUUAUAUUAAUAAUGGAGAAACUAGGUGUGAUUGAAUCCACUUAAUAGAGCAGUUAUCCACGUAUCAAUACUUAUUUACAGCUAAUGAUCUAAUAUUGCUAUAGUAUCUAUCAAAAAUCUGUUUAUAAUUACUUGAAUAUGCACUAAACAUGUCCGAUGUACCAGAAAGUACUCCAUGCUUAAUUCUAUCUAUGCCAUUGAUGUUGUUUUGAUGAUAAUUUUACCCCCUCCCAUGUUGCUAUAUUUAUGUAGGUACAACCAUGGUUCAGUUUCAAAUUAAAAUUAAAUCCGUUAAAAUUUAAUAUAAAAUUGUAGUCGGCAAUUUCUGUUUCAAAGAAAACUACUGCAUUUAUGAUUGAACUUUUAUUUAUUAUAAUUUUUUAAAAAUAAAUUAUAAGCUUUUAUUAAAUUGCUUUAGUCUUUUUCUAUUAUUAUUAUUAUUAUUUAUUUGUGCUGUAAAAUUAAAAAAAAUUAUCUAAUUUCGAUUCCGAAACGGUACGAAAAUCGUAACGGGCAAUCUAAAAACCCGCUCUAAAACAUCCUUCGUAUGAACGGAACUAGCAUUUUAAAACUAAAAGUUGAUGGUUUUGAAAUCAUGUCAUGCCAAUAUCUAUAUAUCUUAAGCUUAGAGACAGCAAUCCGGUGAGGUUUAUAAAGGUGGAUUGAAUUAUUUUCAAUUCGGAUAUCUUAAAUUUUUCUUUGAGUGGUUUUGAAUAGAAUUAUUUCAUGUUGUUUCGUGUGUUAGAUGAACCAUCCAGUUUAAUAAAUCAUAAUAAAUAUGUUUUUUUUUUCCCUUUACUGUACAAUAUCAAAAAUUAUUAGUGAAAAAAUAUAUCCAAAAUUGAGUUUUGCACCGAUAUUUAACACAAAGAUUCAAUUUUAUAGCGCAAUUUUGACCAGUCCUCCAAGUCAUGUAUUUUCUAAAAGAGUGUAAUAUAGUUAGAGGCAAGACAGUAGGUCUGUUUAAUUUUCUUACAGGAACAUCACAGCACAGUACAGUAUUAUAAGAGGGAAACAGCCAUAAAUAAUUAAGAGAACUAGGUGAAUAUUGAAGUUUUCAUUUGUAUGAGGUGCAAACUUAUUUAUAUUUUACAAAUGGACAUAUAUAUAUAUAUAUAUAUAUAUAUAUAUAUAUAUAAUAAGCCUAUCUUCAAAUAAUCAAUACAAGGACCUGCCUUUAUUCCUUAUAUUAACAGAAUCUACUUUAUCUUCCCAUAUGCCUCAUUAUAUCUUCAAAACGGCAAUCUGCAAAUUGGAGUUUAAAAAAGGCAAAUGUUAAUAAUGGAACCUCUGUUCUUUGUUUUCUUUUUCUAUUAUUUUUAUUUUUCCUUUCUGGGUUUUAUUGUCUCUUUUUUUCUUCCUCCUUGAAGAAGAAGAAGAAGGUGAAUAGGGUUUAUCAAUGUAGGUAGAAUAGUUCUGUAUAGAGGCUUACCCUAGUUUGAGGGAAGUAUCAGAGCUAUCAUCUUCCGGAGGAGGGCCACUACUACAACUGCAGAUAUUAGUAACAGAUUCUGAUGAUAAACCUUCUUCUUGAGGAUGGAUAUUAGACUCCACAAGUCUUUUUCCCUUGCAUAGACUCAUCAUCUGCAUUAUAAAAACCAGUAACAUAAUAAGCCACAACUCUCACUUAAUUAUAUCUGUCACUAUAUUAAUCAAUCCACCUGUACCUUCUGUUUGAGCUGUUUGUUCUCUUCUAACAAUUGCUCUCGCUGCAUAAUGAAAGAAACCAAGCUAAACAAAUAUAAAAUUUGCCUCAGCUGAUAAUAUAUACUUUGAGCUGAGUAGAGUUAGUUUUCUUAUAGAACAAACAGUUACAACGACUCCCACGGAUUGAUAGAACAUAGAGUUUGUUUCCUGUUCGUUCUAUCAUUCGUGGGAUAUCAAAUUAUCAACGCCAAUGAGGCUGAGAUUCGUGGUAUUUCCACUUCUUCUUUUAAGGGUUCUUCUUCUUCCUUAAUUAUUGAGUCAGACUCCAAAUCAGCGAAGAUGGCAUUACGUGUGCAAAUUCAUUAUGAAGGAAGUUAUAUAUGUGUGGUUCUACAUAUGCAACUUUAUUUGUGUUAUUAAAGUCUUCCACUUGCAUAUUAAAAUCCUGUCUUGAAUUAACAUAUAUAAUAUAUAUAUAUAUAUACACGCAAGAACUAGCAAUAGGCUCAGUCUAUCUGUAAGUGCAAUAUCAGAGUUGAGUAAAAAACUGAAUUUGAGUAACUGGUAUUAUAACUUAACCUUCUUUUCAAAUGCAGAGAUCUCAUUCAUAAUCCGCUCUCCCUGAAAAAAGAAAAAAAGCAAAUAUCUCAAUCAACAAAUGGAAAAAUGAUAUGCUUAUAUAUAUAUAUAUAUAUAUAUAAAAGCAAUGAGCGCAAGUAAACCUUAGUUUCAAGCACACGGCUAAGUCCUGAUUCAAGCAUUUUUUCCAAUUGCUGCAAUUCCUCUAUAUUUAACCCUUGCAGAUCCUCUCCGCUCAUCUGCCUGUUAUGCAAACUUAUUGGUUCAUUUAAUUAGUUCUACACACAGAUAUAUAAAACUCUUAGAUUAAUAACAAAAACCAUACAUAUGAUACCUCAGUUGAUGAGUCUUUUCAGCCAACUCCUUGCUCAACCGAAUGUGAUUGUUAUUUUCAAGCUAUAGUAGCAAUAAUAAAUGGAAUUGGUUUUUAUAAGAUGAGUAGCCAUACAAAUAUAAAACGCAGAACUCGAUACAUGAUUAAACGCAGAGAAAAAAUGAAAUACAAACAAAAAACAAAAGAUUUGCUACAUUUAUAGUAUCAUUUAACAGAAAACUUAUAAAGCUUAAAGCGUUUACAUACUUGCAAUUCAAGAGAUGGUUGGUCACCUUUCUUGAUGUUAUUUGAGUACCGAUCAUACCUUGCAAUUAUGUCCUUCAUACUUCAAGAAAACAGCAAUAUAUACUGUUAGAUUAGCGAAAUUAGGAGAUUCAAUCAUUUGCCAUAUAAAUAUAUAUAUACUUAAAUGAUUUAAAUUAUAAAAGAAAAUCAUCACAAACCCUAAUUUUGAUAACCCUUUUUUUCCUUUACAAACUUUUGAAGUGCAAGAUAAUCAGAAAAUGUAUAUGUAGCAGUUGAAAUUUGAAACCCUAAGUAACAUGCUUCUGUUUGUUUAAAAAAAAAAAAGAAAAAAAGAAAGAAAGAAACAGUAAAAUCAACCUUUUAAGAAAUUCCAACUGUCAAUACUUAAAAUUUUAUUAGAAGGUUCAGGCUUUUUAAGUGAAACAAGGAAGUUACAAAAGAAAAAAAAAUUUUGCUCUAUACUUCUAAUUUUUUUUCGAUUUAUCUAUCUUAAUUUGAAAGGUUAGAUGCAAAUUUUCCUAAACGAUUGCAAGUAAUACAACAUACAAGCUUGUGAUGAUUUCCUAGUUUAGUUAUAACAUUUGAUAUUGCACCAUAUUUUUACUUGUAUAGUUUUCUUUGUAUCUUCUUAUCUCAGGAAGUAAGUUCAUUUUCUUAGUUGUUGAGGUUUUCCAUGUUUUUUCAUUUAACAUCUAUAAGAUAAGUUGAGUGUAUUGGAACUUCUAUUGGUCUGAGCGUAUUGAAAGAUCUAUUGGUCUGAGCUUAGAAUUAUUGUAUUUGCUAAGUUUUGACUCGAUCUAUAAUUAAUAAUUAUAAUUUGCUGAUAAAAAAAACACAACAUACUAAUUUGUCAUGCUUUUAUCUCAGAUGAAUGUUGUUCUUUUUUUAAAAAACAAAAAUCAACCACUAACAGCUGCUAAAAAAAAAAAAAAAAAAAGACUAAUAAGCUUUUAUCAGCUGCAUUUUAAAAUUUUUUUAUAUCAUCUAUUAAGUGAUUUGUAGUUAUAUCAUAUUUAGACUAUAUUAACCUUAUAAAAAUACAUACUAACAAAAUUACAUUUUUUUUAAAUCAAUCUUUUAUGAAAUCAUUAUUUAAAUAAUAAUUAAGUAUUAGAUAUCAUUAUACAAAUUUAAUUAAUAUUUUUUGUUUAUACAAUACAUUAAAAUAAAAUAAUAUAUUCACCUUCACAAAUACACACAUAUUUAUAUAUAUAUAUAUGUUAAUGCUUAUUUUACAUUUUAACAAAAACAAUUACUAAAAAUUACCAAACAAUCAACAUUCAUCAUAUGAUAGGACCCGUUUGGUUUAUUGUUCAUGAUAGCUACUAAUCUGUAGCGCUUGCUUAAAGUGGUAGUUAUAACUAAUAGAUAUUGGCUGUUCAAAAUAACAAUAAUAAUAAUAAUAAUAAUAAUAAUAAUAGUCGGCUUUAAAGUGUUUAUAUACAGUAUCAUGUAUUACGUAUAUUUUUAUAUUUGAAGUUGAGUAUAAUUAUAUAUUAUUUUUUAUUUUAAUUGUAAAUAAUUAUAAAUAAAAUAACCAUAUAAAUACUAAUUCAAAAAACAAAUAAUUUUAUUUAGCAAUUAUUUUUGUAAGUUCAACGUAGUUCAAAUGUAAUAUAAAUACAAGUCAAAUAGCAAUUCUAGAAUGAAGUUAAUAUAAUCAACAAUUCAUUGAGAUUAAAUCCUUAUCAAACAUGAAACAGUUAACUAUAAAGAAAGUAAAUACUAUCUUUUCUAUAUUUCUUUUAAUUUUUCUUCCUUGAUUGUCAAAUUUAAUUGUUUUUCCUAAUUUUUCUUAUUCGUUUAAUUCAUAAAACAAAUAAGUAAAAUUGUGGAGAAUGAAAGUAUUUUCUUUCAGUAAAUAUGGAUGAUUUCAUUGUGGAAAUAAUUAGACGAUGCAUCAACAAUAAGAGUAGGACCGUAAAAUAUUUCAUUCUCAUAGACCUGAUGUAGAAACGAGUAGCUCUUACUACAUUCGUAAAAGAGGAUAGAAAGGGCAUUUUUACUCUCAAGAGCAACCACAUUCAGAAGCAUAAGAAUUUUUAUGUUUUGAUGAAUUUUAACUUUUUGAAUCCAAAAUUGACACAAGUCAAAUGUAUUAAUUUUUUUGACUUUAAAAUGUUAAAGUCUUCGCUUUGAUGGAUAUCACAGAUGUGAUUACUCAAAAUCUUCACCUUUGUCUUAGUCUAUACAAUGCAUAUUGUUCCUUCCUUUUUAUAUAUUGACCCUAUUAUUUCAUGUGCAAGAAAAUUGGAGCUCCAAUAGUUGCUAGAAUUCCUCUUUCCAACAAAACAAACAAAAACAAGAUUCACUGCAAAAAACUUGCACAGAGUUGGAACAUAUUGUCUCCACUUACCACAUUAUAUAUAAAAAAAUCUCAAAAAUGUCUUUAUAAAUAUCGUAAAAGAUUAAUGUUUGCAUACACAAUUCAUCCUUAAUCGAUUUUAGGCUAGUAAUUCAAUUUCAGAAAAUUUACAUUAUAAAACAAAAUGUGAGAAUUCAAAUCAAACCGGGUAGUAGUUGAAACAUUUGUCAACAUAAUUAAGGAAAGUGUUAAGGUAAAAAUGGAAAUGUAUAAUUUAAAAAAUUUCAUAAUCCCUCUAGUUCUGCAUUAUUCAAUAAUAUAAGUUUGGAAAUUAACUUGUUCUUAGCAUGAUUUCGUGAUCCCAUCUACCACAAACCAACCAACCAUUCCCUCACUGAAUAAGAAACAAUUAAUACUCUACAAAAUAUCUUCCUCCAAACUUCUUCAAACCUACCCUAAAUACGUUCAUUUUUCCACAAAAUGAUGCCAUUCUGCGACUCAUAUCGCAUCCAAGUCAAAAUAAUUAAUCCCCAAUUUUAAUUGGUCAGUAAUGAGUUUCAGACUUAUCAAAAGGGUUCAGAUCCAAAUUCGAGAAACAGUAGACAAAUAUUCGUAUCUCUCUCUACAUAAAAAUUAACUAGAUGGUACUGGUAUUGGUACUGGUACUGGUACAAGUAUAAUGAUUCCAAAUAAACAGUAUAAUUAGAAAUAAGAGGUGCUGGAAAGUACUAAGAAAUAUGCAAUAUAAUACAAAAUAGGUUUUGAUUAUUAUUAUCCUAAUAGAUUAGGCAACGAAAGUACAUUUAUCAAACUUUAUGAUGAUGCAGAAGAUAAAAUAACAUUUUUUUAUUCUUAAUACGGUUUUUCACUAUCUCUUCUCCCUUAUAGUUAUUGGUUUUAUGAGAAUUAAUCAUGUCUUUUUACUUACCGUACAAAAAGUUUCUUGUUCUUGAAAAACCGUGAAAUUUAAGUUUGUUUAUUUAUUUCAUAUUUAAUUAAUACACACACACACAUAUAUAUAUACUGGAAGAGUUGGAAUGAGGAGGAGUAGAAGUGAAAUUCAUUGAUGAUAUGUAAAGAGAUCUAAUAAGCCAAUAAAGAGCAAUACCUGGUGCUAGCAUACUCAAAUAGCUUCCCAGUAGCAGAAAAACUGAUAAGAGCAACCUCAGCAUCGCAAAGAACAGAAAGCUCCUCAGCUUUUUUGAAAAGCCCUCGUCUUCUUUUCGAAAAGGUCACUUGCCUUGCUGUAAUGUUAUCAAUCUUCUUGAUCUUGAUCUUCUCUCUAGCCAUUUUCUUGAUCUUUUUAUUUCUUUCUUUCUUUAGAAAGCAAAACAAAAAGAAUCAACAACCACAUAUACUUUCAUUCGAAUUUGUUUGUCCGUACAACCAAGAAUAGGAAUUAUUAUCAUGAAAUGGCAAAGAAAGGAAGGGAGCUGACAGAUCUUUCUUUUCCAUUUUCAAAACCCAAAAAAAAGAAUCAAGAUUACCAGAUAUGGUUGAACUUUACAUUUGUCCGUACAACCAAGAAGAGAAAUUAACACAAAAAAUGGCAACAAAAGAGAGCUCAAAAAGGUAGGGUUAUGCUAAUUCAAGACAAGAUUUUAGCAAACCCUAGCUUUGAGGGAAAAAAAAAACACCUAAUAAAGUUCAGAUCCAAGCAAAAGAAAACCAAAUCUUGAAUUCAUAAACAUGCAAAGAAAUACAGUAAGUACCUAACUAAGGUACUUACUCAGUUUCAGCAGCUUUGUCUUGAAUUAGUCCGAUCAGAGAAAGCGAAAGCUACCAAUUAGAGAAAGAAAUGAAUAAAACCUCUACCUAAACGCUAAACAGAAAGAGUAAAAAGGAAGAGAAAGAGUUUGGUUUUUGUGUUCAAGAAAGGAAAGGUUGCAUUCCUUUUAUGGCUAAACUCUUUUCCCGACAUUUUUCUUUUCCUUGGAGAGUUUUUCUUUAAAAAAAAAAAAAAAAAGAAAGAAAAUUAGAAAACAGUCAAAAAAGAGAUUUCCAUUGGAUAAAAAAUGGUAUUUUCAACUUCGAUAUUUUAUUUGUCAGAAAAUAUUUCUUUUUAUUUUUUAUUUAGAACAAUUAAACAGUACAUUAUUUUAUGUGGAUCAAUGCUUUCCGUACAACCAAACCUCUUGGUUUGUAUCGUACCCUAUUUCUGCUUAUGAGUUAUGAGCUUAUCAACGCCAAUUUUAAUAUUAUCGUUCUUCUUUCUUUCUCUCUAUGGAAAUUUCCAAAGAUGGAUUCAAUGUAUAACGUCCCCAUUUAUCAACUAAUAAUUACUAAUUUGACAUAUUAUUUACUUUUUUUUAUCAGCAAAAUUAUUUUUUAUUUUUAAUUAUAUAUAUAUGCUGCAAAAAUUAAAGGAAAUUUUUUUUUUCAAAUUCUAGGGAUAUAAUAGUAUAUUUACCUGAUAGUUUUCAAUUUUGAGAUAUUAUUCUCUUCAAUUAUUUUUUAAUGAAAUUUUUUCUUUUCGAAAAAAGGUAAAAUAUUAGGAUAUAAAUAAUAAUAGUGAUUAACCUAAAAAUAUCACGGUAAGUAAUAUAUAUUAUACAAUUUAAUUAUAAUGAUUAAUAAUUGCAUCGGACAACCACACAAGUAAUAUCUUUAACUUGGAUGUUGAACAAUGCACGUGCCAGGCAACAUUAACAAAGGUUGAAGUUCGUUAAUUAAUUAAUUAAUUAAUUAAUACUGUAAUUAGUAUAUGUUUAAGGGAAGACAAUGAAAUGAAGAUUCUUUCUAUAUCUGUCAAUGUGGUCCAAAAGGCUGUGUUGUCUAUUUCAGCUUUGAACACAAUUUGGUUCUCCAUAAUAAAUAUAUAACUGAGGAAUCUAAUCUGUGUGUUUGUUUGAAGUCCGGAGAAAGUGUUGUGUUCAGGCAAGUUGCAUCAAAACCCACUUACCAAAUUCCUCUUUAAGAUUCAAGAGAAUGGAGCCCGCCUGUUGCUUUCUUUAUAUAUUGAAAAAAAUAUCGAUAAUUACAGACAAAAAAGAUAAAAUAGAUUUUAUAAUUUCUGUUCUGAACUUCCGAGAACAAGAAUAUGGAUUCAUUCAUGGAAGUGGGUAUUUAUACAAUAAAGGAGAAAAGAAAAGAAAAGACACAAGACACAAGGAAGCUCGUGGAAUGUGUAAUUGAUACACCAAAUCUUAACCCAUCUCUUAGCAAUUAAUUCAGGUGGAAACCAACUUUAAUUAAUUAAUUAAUUAAUUAAUUAAUUAAUUAGUGCAAUUAUCUAUAGAUGUGUUUAUGUGAUGAAAUUAUUAAAAAAAGGACAAAAAAAACUGAUGGAGAGAACAAGUGGUCUCUUAGAUUCCAUUCGCAUUCCUUGGAAGCCAUUUGUCAGCAUUCCACGUGCAUGCUUCCUUUUAAAUUUUUUCUUUCCAAGACGAAUGUUUUACAAUUCCAUUACUUCUACUCCUCGAUGGAGUCGGGAAUUAAAUUUAGGGGUUAAAAAAAUUCAUGACUUAAGGGGUGAAAUUAAAAAAUUUUACCAUUUUAGUGGAUAAAAAUAAAAAUUAAAUUAAAAAAAAAAAUUUGUUUGGGAGAGCGGGGCCUAUCAUUAGAUCUCUAGCUCCGUCACUGCUUCUACUUUCAUUCAAUGAUAACGAUACUUAUAUAAAAAAUAAAAAUUAUCAAGUUCAAAUUAUAUUAACUACAAAUGUUUUAAUAAAAAAUAUGAUAAAAAAUCCUAUUAAUCUCACCGGUUUGUUCAGUAGCCUGUCACUUCAAUGAAUAGAUCCAUCGUCGAUAUGACUUCUCCUCCACAUGUAUUUGGCAAAAAGCCUUCAAUAAUAGGUAUCAAAAGGUGUACAUAAAAAUAGUCAAAUCAACCAAGUCGAACCAAUUUUGAUUUUUAAUCUAAUAAAGAUAAAAAAAUUUUAAAAUUUUUGUUCAGUUUAAUUUUUAAAACUGGGUUUGAUAUAUAAUUUGAAAUCUAUUUGAUUUUUUAACAGAAAAUAGUUUAUUCGAGUUAAAGUUUUAAACCGAUUUGAUUCAAUUUGAAUCAAACCUAUUGAAUACCAGAUCGCAGUAAAUAGAAUGGAUUUUGAAAAUGUCCAGGUUGCUGUGGUCCCACCCGUUUUAGCCGAUGUACAAUUAUGAAUGUGGAGUAUGGACGUCUGAUCUGCAACUCCGGGCCCAUUGGAUAAGGUUGGGCCCACACUGCUAAGUGCUGUAAAAGUAACCCACUUCACCUGGUGUUGGAGCCAACUCAAGUUGGUUCCUCAUUGUUCUCCCCCAAUCCUUAAAUGUGUGUCCAAUCGUAGGGUCCAGUUUUGGUUCAAAUUGGUAUCCUUUCAUAAGCUAACAUCCUGCAGAAUUUUUCAAUAAUAUAUAUCUUAAAUAUAAUGUGAAUGGCAGAACUAUCCCUUAACUUAGCUAUUUUAUUACCACCCAAGGUGGUUGCAUUGUGCCGAAGGUGUUAAUUAUCUGCCUGCGAUCCAGGUUGGAUCCUUCACGAUAGUAUUUUAUUACGCAUUGUGCCUAAAUAUUGACUCUACUUUUAUAAUAGCCCACUUGCGGGCUGCCCGACGUGGAUUGAAGACCGUAAUGCCCUGAUCCUAUAGACGGUGUAGUCAACACUUGACCGGUAGCUAUUUUGUGACCAUCACAUCUAGUAAUUCAUUUUAAAUCAAUACAAUAUACAGCAAGGAUAGCCCCGCUAAUAUUUAGACUCGAGACCUUUUAUUUUUCAAUUUUUCUCUCAAAUAUUUUUUAUAUAUAAAAUGAUCAAUUAUAUCACACUUAAUUAGUUUUAUAUAUACUUUUUUCCUGAAUUGUCAGAAAUAUGCUCAUCAUAGAUAAAAACUUGCUUUUAAUUAGUUUGGGUGCAGAGAUAGCCCAUCCAUCGAGAAUGGGUAAGUCCUUCCAUGCAUAUAUAUCCACUCAUCUCCAGAAAGGCAACCUGCAAACAGUUGAAAGAAACCAAAUGAAUAAGAACAGAACAAUAUAUAUAAUUGCUUGAUAUACUAUAUAUAUCUGGUAUUAAUUAGGAUCACUUACAAUUAUAGAUUCUUUUUCUUUUAUUUUUCCUUUCUUCGCUUAUUUUCUUUUUUAUUUUUGCCACUUGCAGGAGGAGAAGAAUAGGGUUUUAUAUAUACAAGGAGAAAGUUAUAGAUACAAGCUUACCCUAGUUUGAGGGAAGUAUCAGAGCUAUCAUCUUCAAGAGGAGGACCACUGGUGCAGCUGCAGACAUUGGUAACAGAUUCUGAUGAUAAACCUUCUUCUUGAAGACGGAUAUCUGACUCCACAACUCUUUUUCCCUUGCACAGAUUCAUCAUCUGCAUUAUCAAACCACCAUUAACAACUCUCAUUUAAUUAUAUCUCUCACUGUAUUAAUUCAUCAAUCUAUCUCUACCUUCUGCUUUAGCUGUUUAUUCUCUUCCAGCAAUUGCUCUCCCUGCAAACGAAACAAACGAACAAACAAACAUCAUUUAUAUUUUGAUUCUGCUACUAAUGCAUAUUUAGCCUAUUGAAGAAUAAUAAAAGCAACAUUUGUGAAGAUGAAAACGCCGAGCCAUGGGCGUCUGUCCCUCUCUCUGAGUAAAAUGUAGUUAUCCAUGUAAAGUUGUAUUGGAAAUGUCAUUUUCCUAUAUCUAUUUCCGCAUUUUUCCUGUCGCAAAAAAAGAUUAAAAAAAAAAAAACAGUGGUUGGUAUUGUAACCUAACCUUCUUUUCAAGUGCAGAGAUCUCAUUCAUAAUCCGCUCUCCCUGGAAAAGAAAAAGGAAAAAUAUUAAGCAAUAAAUGGAGAAAUCAUAUAAGCUUUUAUAUAUAUAUAUAUAUAUAUAUAGUGCGUGCAAGUAAACCUUAGUUUCAAGCACACGGGUAAGUCCUGAUUCAAGCAUUUUUUCCAAUUGCUGUAAUUCCUCCACAUUUAGGCCUCGCAGAUCCUCUCCCCUCAUCUGCCUGUUAUACAAAAUUAACGAUCCUUUCAAUUAGUUCUAUAUAACUUAAAAUCUGACAUUAAUAACGAAAACUAUAUAUAUAUCAUACCUGAGUUGAUGAGUCUUUUCAGCCACCUCCUUGCUCAACCGAGCGUGAUUGCUAUUUUCAAGCUAUAACAACAAUAAAUGGAAUUGGUUUCUGUAAGAUGAGUAGCCAUACUAAUAUAAUCUGCAGAACUUGGUAGUCACAGAGAAAAUGAAACAAAGAAUGUAGAAACAAAUAGCAAAAUUUUGUUUGAUAUUUAAAUGAUUGAUAUUGAUUAAUAGAAAACUGAUAAAGCUAAAAGGGUUUACAUACUUGCAAUUCAAGAGAUGGUCGGCCAAGUUUGUCGAUAUUAUUUGAAUGCAGAUUAUACCUUGCGAUUAUGUCCUUCAUACUUCAAGAAAAUAGCAAUAUACACUGUUAGUAUUACAAUUUUGAGGAGAAUGAAGGGGAAAGAGUCAGUCAAGUUUGAACUUAUUUGGACUUUACCAUUCUCAAGUUGAAGAAUUUCACAACACACACAUGUAAAUCUUCUCCAACUGGGUAGGUUCAAAAUCACAAGUUUCUAUAAGAUUAAUUACUCGUUUGUUUUAGCUGUUUGUAAUAACUGGUAGCUGUAGCUAGUAAUCGAUAAUUGUUUAGCAAUUGGUCGAUGAAUGCUGAUUGUUUAGUAAAAUUUUAAUAAUAGUCACUAUUAAAUGUAAAAAUAUCCAUUACAAAUUAGUUACAUUAAUUUUUUUAUAUAUAAUAAUGUCUAAUAAUUAUUUAUUUUAAAAUAAUUAAAAAUAAAAUGAUCACCUGAAAAUAUAUUAACUUAACAAAAUAAUUUUAUUAAUAACUACUUUUAUAAAGUUAAUAUAAUUCAAAUAUAAUUUACAGACAAAUGAGCAAGCAAUGAUUAGAAAAAACUUUAAAGUACAAUUGAUUGAAUGAGCAGCUCCUAUCUGUUAUUAGAUGCUAAUUAAAAUCUUUACCAAACACAUGUGGUCUAGCUGUUAAGUGCAAAUUACCCAUUCGAUAUAUGAAAAAGUUAAAUCAAAUUUCUCUUAAUUGUGCAUUUGAUAGUAAUUGUUUCAUAUAGUCUAUAGUUGAUAGUUAAUUUAUAGCCGAACCAAAUCUAACUGAUAACUGAUAUAAGUUUCAAUCAACUGCUAUAACUACGUUAAAUAGCUCAAAUCAAAUUCAUGCGAAAUAAAAAAUAACACUUUUAAUCACCUUUAUUUAUUAAUUAGAAUAAAACAUUAUAAUCAAAAAAUAACCUUUUUUUUGUUUGACAUGAAAAGAAAAGAGUAUAAUAUUAUUUAUUUAAAGAAUUACACAAAUAGUUAUCUUGAUUACAAUUUGAUUUGAUUUUAAAAAAAAGAACAAACUAUAUGAGUUAAACUCCUUUCCUUUGAUAUAGUCACUUAAUAAAACUAUAUAUACAUAAAUAAAAACUGAAAUUGACUCUAUUAUUUCAUGAGCAAGAACGUGUUAUUUAUAUAUCAAGAACGUAGAGAUGUUCUUAAGACAAUCAUAAACCAAACUGUAAUCAAGAACCCAAAUCGCAUAAUAUAAGUGAAAUUAGGAGGGAAAAAGUGUAAAUAUACAAUUUAAAAUAUUGAAGAAACUAUCUUCUUGAAAAUUUCUUAAUAGGGAUUAUCACAAGAAAAUUGAUUAAACCCCAAUUUUAUUUAGUCACUAAUGGCUUAUCACAAGAAGAAGUAAACAGUGAUUAAUAUAUAUUUAUCUCUCUCUAAUAUAUAUUAAAAAGAAUUAACUAGAUGGCACUGUUACUAGUACAAGUAUAAAUAAAGAUUCCACAUAAACAGUAAUAGUAAUCAAAGGGUCAAGCAAAGUACCAAAAAUAUGCAAUGUAAUACAAAAUGGGUUUUGAUUAUCAUUUUCCUAAUGGAUUAGACAACAAAAGUACAUUUCUCGAACUCUAUGAAGAAGAUUGUGUUUAAUGCAGAAGACAAACUAACAUUAUAAACAUGUCCAAGUUGUCCUUAAUUUUCUUUUUCUUAAUAGGGAUUAAUGGUUUAUGAGAAUUAAGCAUGUCUUUUUAUUUAUAGACAGAAGUUUGCGAGACACGAAGCUUCUUGUUCUAAAAAAAACUAUGAAAUUAGAGUUUAUUUAUUUCCCGUUUAAUAAAAAAAAUGGAAGAGUUGGAAUAAAGAACAGAUGUGCAUACAUUUUUUUAUAUAUAUAAAUAGAUCUAAGCCAUCGAAGAGCAAUACCUGGAGCUAGAAUACUCAAAUAGCUUCCCAGUAGCAGAAAAAACGAUAAGAGCAACCUCAGCAUCGCAAAGAACAGAAAGCUCCUCAGCUUUCUUGAAAAGCCCUCGUCUUCUCUUCGAAAAGGUCACUUGCCUUGCUGUAAUAUUAUCAAUUUUCUUGAUCUUGAUCUUCUCCCUAGCCAUUUUUUUGAUCCUUUUCUUUCUUUCGCUCUUUCUUUUUAUUUCUUAAAAAAGAACAGGAAAAAAAAAAAAAAAAAAAAAAAAAAGAGAGAAUCAAGAACCAGAUAUAUGAUUUCAUCUACAUUUGCCCGUCCGUACAACCAAGAAUAGGGAUUAUUACUGCAUAAAAUGGCAAAGAAAGGAAGAGAGCUCAAAGAUCUUUCUUUCCUACUUUCAGAACCAAGAAAAAAAAUCAAGAAUACCAAAUAUAGUUAAUUUCUACAUUUGUCCGUACAAUCAAGAUGAGAAAUUUUAACGCAUAAAAUGGCAACAAGAGUGAACUCAAAAGGCUACGGUUAUACAAAUUGAAGACAAGAAUUUAGCAAAACCCUAGCUUUGAGGAAAAGAACACCUAAUAAAGUUCAGAUCCAAGCAAAAGAAAACCAAAUCUUGAACUCAUAAACAUGCAAAGAUACAACAUACGUACCUAACUAAACCACCUUUCCAGUUUUAGCAGCUUUGGCUUGAAUUAGGUCCGAUCAGAGAAACCCAAACCUACCAAUUAGAGAAAGAAAUGAAUAAAACCUCUAACUUAUUUUCAGCAUAUGGAAAUAGUGAAAAAGAAAGAGAAACAGUUUGGUUUUGGUGUUCAAGAAAGGAAAGGCUACAAUACCUUCCCUUUGUAGCUAAACAGGAGUCUUUUCCUAACUUUUUUUUUUUUUUUUCCUUAAAGAGUUAAUAUAUAUAUAUAUGCGAGAUUAUUAAAAACAGAAAAAAAGAGAUUUGUAUUGGAUAAAAAGGUUAAAAACAAAUAGCAUUCUUAAUUUUAGUAGUUAAAUUUUUUAUAUGUCAAAGAAUAUUUUUUAUUUUUUAAAAUUAUAAAAAUAAUACUGAUUUUUUUUUUUAUGCAUCCAAUCGCUUUCCGUACAAAGUUAGCCAUCCUGCAAUCACAUCAUGGGCUGAUUUUUAAUUGCCCCUUCAGCAGCUCCCACCGUGUAUCGUACCCUCUUUCUGGCUUUCUGCUUAUCCAAUCGUCAAUCACUAUUAUUAUUAUUAUUAAGAAAAUUUCUUUAAGUGAAACCUGUAAUGAACUAACUAUAAUAUAUACUAAUAUACCAUACCAUUAUUAAGUUACUUAUUAUAUAUUCUUAAUAUAUGUUUUUUGGAAAUUCUCAAUAUAAGUAAUUAGGAGAAAUGUUAUGGUUGUGAUAUGCUUCUAUUAAUUAAUUCUUAAAAAACAUAUAAUUAAGAAAACUUUCUCUCUUUGCAUCCAUACGUCUUAUUUAUUGUUUCUAUUUUCAAUCAAUUGGGAUAAAUUGGAUCUCAGUAACGCUAUAUGAAUCCUUGAAAUGUCUUAAAAAUAUUAGAAAGAUAAAGGAGAGGAGUCCUAAUGAAAUGAUUAUAAUUAUGUCAGAAACGUGAUAAAUCAAUACAGUUCUUAAAAUACUCAAAUCGAUGAGACAAGAUAAUAAUUCAAAAUCGACUUAUAUUUUAGGACAGAGAGAGUAAAAAAUUAUUUUAGUAAUAUAUAACUUCACAAUAUGUUGCACAAAGACAAUGCAUGUCACGUGCAAUGCAACAUUGACAAAGGUUGGAGUUGUUAAUAUUGUAAAAACAAAGAAGAUGCUUCAGUGUACACGUAUUUGUGUAUGUGGUCCAAAAAGUAGUGUCGUCCAUUUCAACUUUCAAUACAAUUCUGUAUUUUCAUGUAUAUAUUCCAACCUUUUUCUAAAAAAAAAAAAAGAAAAAGAAAAGAAAAGAAAUCUUUUACAGUUAUCUUCUUCUCCGUAACUGAGAAGUGUUGAGGGCGUGCUUGUUUGAACUUGGAGAAAGUGUUUUUCAGCCAAGAUAGAGUUUGGCAGAUUGCCUCAUUCACUUCAAAUCUCACAUGCCAAAUUCAAGAAUUUUGCUUUCACUCCCAAUCCUCCCCUAACCAAUUUUUAGAUAAUGUUGCACGUGUUCAUAAGACUUUAUUCUUGGUUUAAAAACUUGGCUAAAACAUAAUAAAUGUUACCAGACAACUAUUUAUAUACAGUAUAUCUGUUCCCGUUAAUUGUUAUAGCUAUUAGGUUUAGUUGUCCGUAGUUAGAUAAUCUUUAUCUCAAAAUCAAUAGUUACUUGUGGAAGUAUUUAUUAUAUAAGGGUAAUAUCGAAAAAACAUCAUUUAUUAUUUCUCAAAAUACUUAAAACGAUUUAUAUUUUGGGACAAAAUAAUCACUAAAAAACUUUGGGACAGAGGGAGUAGCUUUUAUACAGCACUUUAAAUUAGAAGUGUUUGGUAAAAAUAAUUAUUUAAUUAGUUAUUCAAUUUAUGGUAAAAAAAGAAAUUAGUUAUUUAAUUAACUAAAUUCGAAAAAAAAAAAAUGGAUAUGAUUGUAAAAAAAAAAAUUAAAACUAAACACCGCUAAAACGUUAUAGUGUUUAAAUCUCUGAAAAUUGUUAUAAAAGCUAUAUUAUCGAAAUUAUAAUAAAUAGAGAGAGUUUUAACUUAUCAUCUUUACGAGAUUUGAAUCGUUUAUCACUUCAAUCAAUGCUUUAUUAACGAGACUUCAAUCAAUGUCUUAUUAACGAGAUGUUGAAGUAUUUAACGUGUAAAAAUAAAAAAAUAAAGUGCUAUUUUUAGAUAAAUAAAUCUGUAGAAAGUUAAGAGUGAAAAGACGAUUAAAGGUCUCAAGUGAAGGAGGAAGAACAAAAUAAAAAAAAAAAAGAGAAAAGAAAGUGCAGAAAGGGUGUGGAAUGUCUCAAAUAUGACGAGACAUUUAUCUUUUUUCAUAAGAUUUUCUUUUUUUUUUUUAAUCAAUUGUUGCAUUCACACACAAAAAAAAACAAAAACAAAAAAAAAAAAGAAUAUAUUGAAGAAUAUAAUAAAAAUAUCAUGUCAAGACUCUAUCAAAAAGGGAAAAAAAUAUUUUUCUUUUAUUAAAAAUAAUUUUCUUAGUAAAAAUUAUUCUUUCUUUUGCGCAAAAAAAAAAAAAAAAGGGAUGCAGAGGAAUCAUUGACCACACACGUCUUCUUCUCAUAAGAGUAGUGAAGCUGCCUACAUGGAAAAGGGAGGCAAUCGCAGUUUCUAGGAUUGAAUCUAAUUAUAUGUACAGAGAUUUCUAACUUUGCUUUUAAGUUUUAAGAUUCUACCUUUCAUCAAUCCGAAUGUAUUUUUACAAUAUUUUUUAAAUGAUUUAUUAGUUAUUAAAAGGAAAAUUACUAUUUAGUUACAAUUUACAACUUUGUGGUCAAAUAACUACGACAUUCGUAAGGUUUAAAAUCCCAUUGAUCUCAUCAUCCUAUCGGCAAUAGAAAGAAUUAUCAUUAUGGACAAUUUGGGCAGCAAGAGCCUAAUAAUUACUUAUUUAAUAUUAUUAGUGUUCUGAAAAUCGGAUUGGUCAAUGAACUGAAUGAUUCAACCAAAUUCAAUACAAUUCAACCGGAUUUUUAUAUAUAAUAUUUUUAAAUAUAUUUAUUAAAUACAAUUCAAAGUAGAGGAUAAAAGAAAUUUUGAUAUCAAAUAAAAAAACAUUCUCCAAUUUGGCUUUUAUAAAUAAAUAUAAAAAUUAGUAAAUAAUUUUAGACAAAAAAAUAAGAUAUUACUAAAUUUAAUACUAAAAAAACUCAAUUAAGUAUAAUAAAAUAUAAUAUUAUUUUCCCACUUAUAUUUAAAGUUGAGAAAUUUAAUUGUUUUAAUUCAUAUAAUAGGACCUUGGAUUUAGAAAUAAAGAGGUCCAAAACGAAUAAAAUUAUUGGGCCAACUCUUAAGAGGCCCAAAUUAGAGACAAAAACUCAAAACUUAAAACGAACCAAUUUUUAACUUGUCUGGUUCAACGGUUGUUGGCAAUUUUCAUCCAGUUUUUAGUGAUUUGUGUCGAUUUUUUAAACUUUCGGUUUCUUUAUGUAACUCGGACUGGACCACUGUUCGAUUUUCGAUUAAACCUGUCGAAUAGGCCGGUUCGGUUCGGUUCGGUUUUCAGAACCAUGAGUAUUAUUAUUACUUCAUCUCAAAAUAUAAAUCUUUUAAAAUUUUUACAUAAGGAUUAAGGAAGCAAUUAAUUUUUCUAAAUUAUAAUAAAUUCACCAAAUUAUCCUUUAUUUCAAAACCAACGGUUGCUUGCGAAGUAUUUAUUGUAUUUGGUGUAAAUAAGGAUAACUUGAAAAAAUAUCAUUUAUUAUUUUUUAAAAUAUAUAAAACGAUUUAUAUUUUAGGACAAAAUAAUAAAUAAAAAACAAUUUAUAUUUUGGAAGAAAUGCAGUAUUAUUAUUAGCUUUUGGACCAAAGCCUAUUGGGUCAGUUUAGGGCCCAAACUGCCAAUUGCUGUACAAUAACCCAACAGCUUCAAACCUCCACUUGGUGUUGGAGCCGACUGGCUCCCUCGUUGUUUCCGAAUCCUUAAUGUGUCCCACCGCAGGGUCCCAUUUCGGUUCAAAAUAGGAUGUGGUUGGAUUUUGUAAUUCAACGUAAUAUGUUUUGGGCAUUGUUGUCUAUUCGUAAGCUAUUAAAAUUAUGUGUUUGAUUAUCAUAAACUUCGAUGUUUAUCCACAAUUAAUUUUUAAAAUUAUUACAGUUGUUUUAAACAUUAUUUUCCAUUCAUAAAUUGAAACCAUGUUUUAUUAAAAUAUAAUGUGUAUUUUUUUUUUUUACAUUAAGAAUAUUAGACUAUUUAUAUAAUUAAUUUCUUAACGAAAUAGGAAAAUAAGUUUAGUUUUAAAUGCAAAAAUAAGGAAUUUAUAAAUAUUACACCCUUCCUUAAGGCGGUAAAGAAAAUUUUGUGACAAGAGCUUUGCAAAUCAUAGAUGUUUACCAUUAUAUGAAUCAAUUGUCUUAUUUUGCUAAAAGAUUAGAGAAAAUUUACAUUUUAUUUAGAAAGGAGAGGGAAAAACAAUAGCGAAGAAAAUAACAGGAGAAAAUAAUGAAGUACUCCCUCUAUCUAUAAAUAUAAGCCAUUUAAGAUAGUUGCAUGUUAAAUAAGAAAUUAAUUAAUUCUCUUAAAUAAAUUUUAAAAAUUACAAAGCUAAUUAUUGUAUUUAAUAUAAAUAAGUGUAAAAUUAAAAACACACUAUUAAUUACUCAUUUAUAACCAACCAUGUAUGGUUUAAUUGAUUUUCCUAUCUUUUCAAGCUAUCUCCACCACAAGAGUUACCACCAAUUUGGUAAAUAUUAUGCAAAGAAUUUAUAACGUUAUUCCGACCCCAAUCUCUUACUCUUAUAGCUAUGAAUUUAUUUAGAAAAUUAAAAAUAUCAAAUUUGAUUUUUUAAGCUAAUUUUAAUCUUUUUAACUUAUUUAAAUUGAUUUAAAAUAUCAUAUUUGGCCAUUUCCGCUUAUAAAAUAAGUAAUAUUAAAAUUUUUAUACAUAUUAGUCUCAGAAUUAUGAGGAUCUCUUAAUAAUGAAUGAUACUUGAUUGUAAAUUGAUAUUAAUCUUUUUCUAGGAGGAAGGCUCCUCCUUAUACACUUGAUGUGAGAGCGCUAGCUGGCUUAUGCAAAUAAUGGGGAGGGGUAUUUAGAAAUUAUCUCCUAAUAUAAAGCGCAUAUCAUUUAUGUUAUUUUGAUUUGUUAUAUGGUCUUCAAAUCUCGAUAAAAUCGGUAUUUAUCACUUAUAAUUAAAUUCUAUCUCAUAUAUGGAAAAUUCUUAUUUACUUGAAUUUGAAUUUUGAUGUAUCAAAAAUUGGAAUCGUAUCUCAAUUUCAGUUGUUCUAGUAAUUCUACUAAAAUUGAUUUUAAAUUGAACCAAAAUCAUCGCAACCCUAAUUAUGGUAUGCUUAUAAAUUUCACCAAGCCAAAUGAUAUAUUGACAUAUAAAAAAUAAAAAAAAAACAAAAAAAGAGAAAAUCUUUAAUCGUAUUUGUACGUAUCAAUAUAUAAUUUACUUGAUAUAUAUCAGAACUCAUACACUAGAAGUAGGGCAGUUUGUGGAUCGGUUUGGAAACAAUAAUUAAACCAAAUCUAAAAUAGUGGUUUGAAUAAAAAUUGAAACCAAAGUUAAAUCAUGAAAAAUUUCAUAUCGAAUAAACUUUUAAUUGCAGUUUGAUUUAAUUUGGUUCAACUUAGCGAUUUGAAUGGUUUGAAAGAAGAGAAUUAAAUUUCCUUAUCCGUCUAGUUAACAAUAAAAAAAGAGAAUAAAUUAUACUAAAUAUAAAAAAUUAACUAAUAUAAACUAUAACGUAAAAUAUUUAUGAUAUGAUUUUAAAUAGUUGUUGAAGUUUAAAUUAAUUUUUAUACGUUUAUUUUAAGUAUUACAUAUUUAAUAAAAUAUUAAUUCAGCAGUUUAUAAAUAUAAAAUUUUAAUUUUAAUUUGCUUUUACAUAUAUUAGUAAAAAUUUAUAAAAAUUUAUAGUUUUGUCACGUAUAAUUUGGAUAUAUUAUAUAGUAAUCUAUUUUCCAAGAGUUUUUAACAUUUGUACUUUUUUAUAAAAUAAUCAUAUAAUUUAUCUAAUUAAUAUAAAAUUAUUACUUAAUUACUAUCCAAUAUAAACUAAUUCCAUAAUUUGUUAUCGAAUAUAAAUUAAUUAAUGCAAAGAAAAUUUGCAUUGAAAAUAUUGAAUUAGAUUAUGAUUAUUUAAAAGUUGAUAUAUAUAUUAUAUAAUGGUUUGAUUCGAUUUAAGCGAUUUUGAUUACAGAACUGUAAACCAAAUUAAAAAUUCGGUUUUUAAAUAACAGUUUGGAUCGAUUUCAUCCAUUUGAGCGGUUUGAUCAACAGAAGUAUUUCUCUUACUUAAUAGCAUCCCCUGAUUUGAAAUUUAGAAUUAUAUGACGAAAUGACCAAAGGCCCUCGAUCGAUCCUGCCCACCACCUAUUACUCAUAAAAAAAUAUGAUCAAAAACAGAGCCCGAUUUAGUCAACCUACAAAAUAUGGCGUGCAGCCACUGAGCAUCCAGCCAAAGCGCACCCAUCGUUUUCUUGCUUUGCCAUUUUUUUCUCAUUUCUCAACCCAAACCCACCAAAAAAAAAAAAAAAAAAUGAACGAAAAUUCCAACUCCACCAACAGAGGCGAAGCUGAGCGCCUGCUCGGAGUCGCCGAGAAACUCCUCCAAUCCCGUGAUUUCAGCGGUACAAGAGACUUCGCCGUCUUGGCCCAAGAAACAGAGCCUCUCCUUGAAGGCCCAGAUCAGAUCUUGGCCGUCGCCGACGUCCUUUUGUCCGCCGAGAAGCGCAUUAAUAACCACCACGAUUGGUAUGCGAUCUUGCAAAUUGACCGCCGGUCCGAUGACCAGGAUCUAUUAAAGAAGCAGUACCGUCGGUUUGCAUUACUUCUCCAUCCAGACAAGAACAAGUUCCCUUUCGCAGAUCAAGCUUUUAAGCUUGUCGCAGACGCUUGGGCUGUCUUAUCGGAUUCAGCUAAGAAAUCACUAUACGAUAACGAAUUGAGCUUGUUUUCUAGGGUUGAUUUAACAAAUUCAGGAAAAUUACCGGUCAGAAGGAGCCAGCGACCAGCAUCGAAGAAACACACAGGCGAGAGCGUUAAAACUUCUGUUAGUAGUAGUAAUAGCUCAGCGGAUCGGAGUCAAAGGAUGAAGCUAUCGUCUUUUUGGACUGCUUGUCCAUAUUGUUUUAUUUUAUAUGAGUACCCUCGGAUUUACCAGGACUGUUGUUUAAGAUGCCAGAAUUGCCAGAGGGCGUUUCACGCGGCGUUGAUACCGUCGUUACCGCCGUUAGUGCCCGGGAAGGACGCCUAUUACUGCUGCUGGGGUUUUUUCCCUUUGGGCUUUAUGUUUGGGAAUCCAGAAAGUGGUGCGAAAACCUCCGGGUCUGGGGCUGCGUCUGUUUUUCCAAACUGGAUGCCUCCAAUUUUUGGCCCGGGGCAGCAAAGUAGUGAUAAAAAUGAUGGCAGCACCUCUACACCGCCAGCCUUUACCUCUGGGAACCAAGUGGGUGAUAGAAAUGGUACUGUGAGAGCAACUUCAGUACCAACACCAACAGCAGCAGCAGCAGCAGCACCAGCUCCAACACCGGUAAGGUCAGGGGCGGGGAGAGGCGGGGGGGGGGGGGGGGUGGGGGGGGGGGGGGGGUAGAGGCGGUGGAGUAGUUGGGAGUUCGGAUGGGAGUGGCACUGGGUUUGCCGCAAAGAAAAGGGGAAGGCCAAGAAAAUAUCCCCUACAAAAUGUUUGAUAUAAAUUACAAGAGAAGGAAUGAGAGAAGAUGGAGGAAGUUUUUAUGGCCUGAAUUGGUAAGAGGUAUAGAAGUCUCAAGCAAGAGGGCUUUAUAGCUGGCACACUAUGGGGAAGUCCAUAGGUAUUGUUUUUAACUUCUUGUAGUGGUAUCUGUUGCUUCUUUUUUUUUUCUUCUUGUUUGUAGAGUUUAGAUGUUUUUACCCACCGUGACUAACUUGUUAAUUUAAGGUUAUGAAAUGUAGCAAUGUCAUUUUAGCAAGUUCUCACUAUGAAUUGGAGAAUUGUGCCCUAAUUGGUCAUGUAUAUCUUGAAAGGGCAUAAUUUUGUUCUUUGUGUAGCCAAGUAUAUGCAUUUUGUACUUUUGUGUUCAUAAGCUUUGAAUAUGUAAGAUCACUAAAUAGGCAUAGAGCAGUUUAUUUCAGUGCAAUAACCAAAUUUCAAUUUAUUCAUAAUAUAAUUAUCACUACUUGAGUUCUGUAAUCUCAUCCUAAAAAGGUGAAUUUUGAUCUGUAAUGAAGGAAAUUGAGUUCUCUGUUUUAGUUGUCCUCUUCUUUUUUAUUCCUGGUAUAAGAUGACCAUGAGGAACUAGUGAUAAUGCCUUUUUGUUCCCUCACCUUAUCAUUGAUCAUCAUAGGGCAAGGGCAUAUUUUCUGUUAUCUCCGAACAUGAUCAGAGACUAGUAUAAUUGGUAACAGACCAAAAAUGUGGUCUCUUAUCUUCCAACUGAAGUGGAAGAUUUGAGCCUUGGCUAGAUUAGAGUCAGUUUGUAUUUUGUCAGAAGCUGUCUUUUCUAACACCAUUUGUCAUAUAUGACAAUAAAGAACUCUCUUAUGAUCUUAUUUGCAGGCCAAAAUUUGAAUGCUUUUAACGUUUGUUUCAUGCUCUGCACCUUGGUAGUUGGUGGAUGAUUAGAGAUGUCUAAGUUAUGAAUGAAAUCGCGGUAGCCAUGUCCUAUAAGGUCAUUUGGGGAUGAACAAAACCACCUGUUUGGUGGUUUUGCCUCCCUGCUAUGAGCUAUGGAGCAUCCUUGCUUUGUAUAUUUUAAUUAUACCGUGAUUUGUAUUUUUGUAUUUCUAACUUGCAUACUCAUGAAUCCUGGAUGGAUAGACAACAGAUAAGGCGAGACUUUCAUCUAUCACAUGGGUUUCGAACAAGGUUUGUAUGUAUUGGUAAAAGAAAUGAAUUCCCAUCUAUUGGUAAAAACUUUAUAUUAAUACAUCAUUUCUUAAUCUUCCUAUCUAAUUAUUACACCAUUUUAGGUCUCUUUUGAUAAAUUACUUUACUUCUGAGAAUCUAUUAACCAAAUGUUAGGUUGUUUUAUAAAACAUUAUAUAUUUUAAACUGAUUUAUAAGUUAAAAGUAGCUAAUUCAAACACACUUUUCCGUAUUAUAUUAGAUUCUAGUGUGGCUAAAUAGACAUAUUCAUUAAAUUUGUUUGACAAACGAAAAGUUUUUUAUCAAAUUUAUUUGCAAAUCUAAUUUUUCAUGUUUGGUAAAAAUAAAAUUUCAUACUUUAAAUUUUAUGAAGUUGGCUAUGCUUAAAUCAAAGUCUAUCAAUAUUGAUAGGGUUCUACAAGUGAACUCUAAAAAUUAAAAGGGUAUAAGCAAUGAAAACUAAAGAAGCAAUUUCAAGUAUAAUUAGGUUUUAAACAAAGAUUUUCAACAAUAAAAUUUAAGAUGCUUUUAACAUCCAGCCUCAAACCAAAGGAUCCAAGAAAUGAAAAAGAGUUACAUUGAACUCUCAAGAAUUAAGAGAGGAGGAAUUGGAAAGUCCAAGGCAUUCGCUUUGACACCUUCUUAAGCAAACAUCAUUCCAAUUAGGCACUUGAUGUUGAUUAACACAGACAGUUCUUGCACAAGCAUCAGCGCAAGCAUCAAUUUCAGAAACCCCACAGACAGUAACACAAGUAUCUAUAAUUGGGUCCUUAGAAAAUGCACCAACCUUCUUCAACAUUCUCUUUGAUGUACAUACUUUCUCGCAAACAAAUAUUUCAUCAGAGUUUUUUUCGCGCCCUCUUGCACUCUUGAGCCUUUCCUCUUCUGCUCUCUUUUUCUUCUUCCUGAUCGCUUGCCCUGUAAUUACUGCUGGUAUUGCUGCACCUAACACUAUCCACCAUGGAUCCACCAUACCUACCCAAACAAAAGGUCAGAGAAAAAUAGGGCAGAAAUCAAAUAAUGCGAUUAUAUGUUUUAAAUCAGUUCUCCAUCGAAUGGAAUCGCAAAAUUUAGCGAUGAUGCGAAAGAAGAAAGAAAUAGAAAGAAAGAGUUAACCUGGAAAGUUUUUUGCAACGGACGAGGCGGAGGAGACUAAUGGGUACUGUGGAAUCCGCUACAAGUGAACUUUGAGGUAAGCAAAGUGUGACAUUAGAUCCAAACUAACUGGGUCCCCGUCAUGCGCUUGUAGAAAUACACUAUUCUUUUUUUUUUUUUUUCUCCGAACCUGAUAACCUGUGUCUGCAAGUCUAAUGGGUUGGAACUAUGUUCACCUCGUCCGAGGAUUAUCUCAACGUGACAAUUUUAAAAUAUUUAAUUAAUGAGAAGAAAUUUCAACUAGACGGUUUGAUUCUGAAUUUUAUAUUUUUAAUAUCCGAUCCAAACCAUUCUAGAAUAAAAAUGAAACUGCAUUUUAAGGUUCCGUUUAUGCAAUAUCUUUUUUUUUUUUUUUUUCUCUUCUUAAAUUCUUAAUAUUUGGCAAAAUCUGAAAAUAUAGGUUAAAUUUAAAUUAUAAUUAUUGCAAAACAAUAUUGCAUUUAAUAUUUAGUUCGGUAACUAAAAGUUUUUACUAAAAUUGAACCAAACCGAAAAAUUAAACUUUCUUCAAGUUAAUUAAAAACUGUAUUUGAAUCAAAGAUUGAAAAACCGAAAUACAUCGGUUUAGUGCAGUUUUUCAAAUUUUGUAAUGUUUGCUGACUCCACUCUAUUUCAACCGACGUUAGUUAGUAAAAUAUAUUCUUUAAUAAAAUUUACUCUCAGAAAUCAAGAUUCGAAAUCUAAAGUUAAUUGUUUUUAUAUUAAAAAAGGUAAAUAAAUUAAAUACCAACCAUAAAAAUUGUGUAACAUACAUUUCGAACCAAGUAAUUUUCUUUGUCCAAAUCAUACUCUGCUGGGAAAAAUAUGAAAAUAUGGACGAGCUAAUUACAAAUGGUUAGGUUUUGUCGGCAAACUAUGAGUGAGAACGUAUUCUAUGGAUACUUUAGUUAGAAUUGUGAGAUUAUGAAUUUAAAAUUUAGCAGUGAAUAAUUAAUUAAAAAAAUAUAGAAAAAAUGACACGAUCUAAUUAAUUUUCGUACCUCUUGUAAAAAAUAUUGAGAGGUCUCCUAUUCAAGUUUUCUCCACCAUAAAGGUUGUUGUAAAUUUAGACAUCUUAUAUAUAUAUAUGACAUUUUUAAAUUAUAAAAUAAUAAUUAUUGUCGUUAAAAUACAAUAAUUUAACUUUUCUGUAAUAUUUUUUGAAAUUCUAUUUUUUUCAAAAAAGUAAUUUUCUAUAUAAAACUUUGAAUUUUAGUAACCAGGACCUGAAAUAAUGUUGUAUUUUUAGUAUUAUUGGAGCUAAAUGUGCUUAUUUACACACACGAACAUCUAUGACUCUAUCUAAUCUAACAGAGUGAACUCUUUAUUGCAAAUAUAAAUCGGUUAGCAAUUGUUAAAAAUAAAAAAAAUCUCAGAAAUAGAGCUUUUGGAAUUUAUAGCUUUGAAAUUUUUGAAUCAACUACUAAUUGAUAUUUUUAUGAGCUUCUGAAUAAAAUUAUUGUCAAAGGUGUUUGGUUUGACUUUUUUUUUUUUUUUUCACUUUUCAUCUAAAAAGUAAUUUUUAAUAUACAAUAAAUUUUUAAAAUAAAUAUAGUGAAAUUUCUGGUAUAAUUAUAUAAAAUAAUUUUACUUUUAAGUAGCUUAAGUACUUGGUUAAUAAAUACUAUUUAAAAGUAUGUGAAAAAAAAUUUACAUUAAUUAAGUGAAAAUUUUAAGUUUUUUUUUUUUUUUUUGAAAGGCAAUUGAAGAAUUUGUUAAAACUAGAAUAAUAUAGGUAUUUUAAGAAAACAUUAUAUAUAUAUAUAUAUAUAUGAGUGUCAAUGAGGAGGAAUAAUGGGAUUAUCUAUAAUAACUUUAGUGAAAGUUUAGAAAUCUUAAAAUAUUCUUAGUCAUUAGAUAAUUGAUAAUAGUUUGAAUUUUUAAUUGUUGAUAAAUUAUAAUUUUUAAUACUUUUUUUAUUAAUUGAUUAACAAAAGUAUAUUAUUGUAUUAUUUUAAUAAUAAUAUUUUUUUGAAAGGUAGUAUUGUUAUUUUAAUAUAUUAUUCUAAUUGAACUUUGAAGCAUUCGUUGUUUACAAUAUCAAUUGUUUGAAAAAACAGAUCAUUAUUUUAAUUUUAAAAUAAAAUUCAAAAUGUCAAAAUAAAAAAUAAAAAUAUCUAUAAAAAAAUAUUGUUUCACACUUUAUAUAUAUAUAACUUUUAAAAUUUUGAUUUUUUUUAUUUAUAUCUAUUUAUCUAUGUCUAAGUUCUUCACGAACUCAAGUGAUUUUAUCUUAUAAUUAAUAAUAUUUUUUCAUUUUAUUGUCUAUAAAUAUUUUAUUAAAUAUAAUUGACUUUUAAAGAUGUUAUAUCAUAUUAAAAUUAGUUUAAGAAAAAUACUAUUCGAUUAUAAUAUGAAUAUUAUUAAUCAUAUCUUAACAUUAUAUAAAUAUCUAAAAAAUAUAAGAGAAAAAAUAUAAUCAUAUUUAAUACUAUACAAGAAUAAAUUAAUGAGUAUAAACAAUGAGUAAUAUCGAAUACUAAUAACGUGCAAUGAAUUAAAUGAGUAUUUCUGAUUGUUCAAUAAUAAAAAAAAAUGACAACUUAAAAAAAAAAAAGAAACCUCGGUUGAUUACAAGACACUAGAAGCAUAAUACACUGAAUAAGGAUAAUACAUUAAUAUAUACAAUUCACCUAGUACGCAAAAUACAAGUUGUGUGGCAGCCUAGGGCCAAACCAAUUCAGGCCAACACGACUUUGUUCUUGCACUAGAAGCAACUCAAUAGCCUAAAAGGCCUGUUGCUAAUCUAAGGGUUGCCCAUUGUUAUGUACUUAUUUACACAAUUGUGUUUAACCGAUGUGUGAUUUGUUUAGAGUGUUACGAGUUGACAUACGGAUUAGACGAGUAAUUCGUUUAUUUAUAGGUAGAUAUAACCACUCCAACUAAAAUCUUAUUUAAAUUUUAAUGUUUUAUUAAUUUUUUUUUAUUUUAGUUGUGAAUUUUGAAGAAUUUAUGCAUUUUAUAUAUACAAAUUUAUUUUUAAAUAUAAUUUGAGUUAUAUAGGUUAAAACUUAAAACAUUCUAAAAAAUUUAAAGUGAAUCAUAUAUAGAUCAAUAUGAUCCAGUUAAUCUGUUUAUGAUAUUAGUCGGGUUACUAGACAAAUUAUAUGGGUCAUAUAUAGGUCAACAUGACUUAUUUAACAUGUUUAUGAUAUUAAGUGGGUUAUACAUGCCGUAUUCGUAUUACUUAUUGUGUUCAUAUUGAUAAAUUUAAUAUAAUUAUUCAAUGGGUCGUAAUCGUAUCACAGGUUAAGCAAAUCUGUUCGAACUUAAUACGCGAAUCUAUUUUAUCUAAUAAUUUUAUUUUUUAAUAUAACGUCGAACAUUGCGCGGUUAUAACAUCAGUAUUUUUUAAGGAGAUAAUCAUAUGCAAACGUUGCUUAAUCUGGCAUCAUUGUAUGAGACAAGUACACUAAUACCCAUACAGUAAUUAAUUUGUUGAUGCACUCAUACGACACUAACUAACUACGACACUCAAAACCGACGCGAUUUCCUCUUAAUAGCGCGUGUAUUCAUCUCUCCCGUUGACGUCAUAAAAAAGAUACUGAUCAUCUCAUCCGAUUAAACAGUGCUGUGCACUCACAUGCCUCACGCGUAAUCCAUCUACUCCAACAAAUUUUUCCAAUUUUAUUUUUUUCUCAAGUAUAAACGUUGUCCUUCUUUCCUCCAAUUGCCCCAUUGCGCGUGUACAAAAAUUAGCAUCCUUUCUCCCUCUUUCGAUCAUCAUUGAAAUUUAUUAAACCCAUACAGGUCAACUCAGUGAGUCUCUUGAGAUAUUUUCCUUGUCUCGCCGAGUCUAAGUAUCUGACUCGAUUUAUUUGAGUUUCGGAUCUCUCGGCGAUGAAGAACGGCCUCGAAGUUUUCGAUUUCAAGGAAGAAGACGAGCUUGCUGAAUUCGCAGCUGGUAAAAUCGUUGGCAAAUUUAAAAACCCUAGCCUUGACAAUCCCGACUUUUUGAAGUGCGAAUCCCUCGAACGCGGUACCGUUUCUUUAAGCUUGCCUUUUCUCUGUUUUGGCCUUCGAUUUUUAUUUUUGCUUUGCUGGUUGUUUCAAGGGUUUCCUUUUAUAGAAGGUAAUUGUGAAAACGGCCUCCAAUUGUGGCUGAAUAAGUUUUAUCGUUUCAGUUCGGUAUUGCAAAUUGGGAAUUGGAUUACGAAAUCAAUACAUUUCAUUAGUUUGAUUCGGUUACUAUGGUAACUUCAAGUUGUAAGACUCCCUCAACUCCCAAUCAUGAUUUUAUUGGCGACAUUUUCUCUGGGAGCUGGUUAGGGACUUUCUUUAAGGAAAUAAUACACUUUUAUCAUGUCAAGAUUAUGCAGAAGAAGUUUCUAGAGCACAAUAUAGUGUAUGUGCUUCUAAUAAUUCAAUGCAAUAGGUUAUUUGUUCAUUUAUUGUUAUUUUUUUUGUUUGAUAUGCUAAAAUGAACUAUUUCCUCAACCAUUCUAUCAUGAACAGCUGUUGAAACUUGAUCCGUGCUUUAGCUUUUCCAUUGUUGUCAAGCGUUUUUUUUAUUUAUUUUUCAUUUACAAAGAGCUAUGUACUUCGUUUGUUUCUGCAUAAUUUGGGUUCAGUAGUAAUGAGGUUUGUGCAAUUAUGGUUCAAGGCUGCAUUGAUCGUGUCAGAAACUCAGAAUUGUUGAUAGAUUGGAAGGGGAUUAAAGUCAAGUUACAAAGCCUGUAUUUCUUGAGGUUGGUUAGAAAUUUGCAGAGGGAUUCUAAAGCAUCUUGUGGGAAGACUUCUACCUUAAAAUUUCUUAUCCCCCACUCUUGUUGUUUCAAAUUUAGUUUUUUUUUUUUUCUGUCAUUUGGUGUUAUAGAGCAGUUUGUGGAUUGUGGCAAUUCUGUCAUUAUGAGUUUAUUAUGCAAUAAGAAAUUUAAAUGUCACGUUGCUCAUAGAAUCAUGGCAAGUCUGAAACCCUUCUGCUAUUCUUAUAAAUGUCCAUCUGUUUUAUGUUUGAUGUCACUGUUUUGAUCUCAUGUAUUUAUGCUUGUCGAUUUGAUAUUUUACUAGUAAAUUAAAAAAUUUAUUGAUGAUGUAAUCAUGGUAAACACCUUUCAUUUUAUAAAUAAUUUUGUCAGCUGUGUCUUCAGUUACCCAGGAGUCUGAUGUUAGAAAAAAGGAAAUUGGGAGUAUAACUUGUGUCGAUGCCAAUGAAAUUGAACGCGAUAAUAGUGCUAAUAAUGCUACUACAUGUGCUCCUUUGGGAAUGGCUGGAGAGGACUUUGGUUCCAGAGAAGACAAUUCUAUCCUAGAUGCUGCAUUCCAAUCAGAAUCUCUGAGUCGUAAGAAAGACCCUUGUUCUACAAUGGAUAAAUAUGAACCCAAAAGUUCUUCUACUGAGCAGGAGGCAGGGGUUUCAUGCCAUGACGCACAGUCACCUGGGAAAAGACAAUCAAAUGGUGUCCUUGCAGACUCUCUAUGCAAUGUACUAGGGCUUUUCACAUGUUUAGUAAAUUACAAUUUGAAUCCUGGGAUCAUUUUUUUUUCCCUUACUGUUCUAUACAAAAUUCAUGCGUACUUUGUCCAAAAACUGCAGGGUGGACCAGUUGGUUUGAAAUCAGAUGCUGAUGGAAGCAUGAACGAGAGUUCUCCAUCAAGUCCUGCUUCUGGAAUUGCAGAGGAUGGUGGUAUUUCCUCCUGAUGUUUAUUUACUGAGUGGUGUGUUGUCCAUGGGCAUUCAAAUCAUGUAUUUUGAUAUCUUACUGUACUUUGCUGCAUGAUUUCAGCUACUUUAAACGGUCAUUCAUCAGAUAAUUGUUUCAGCACAUCAGAAAUGGUAUAGUAUUUUAUCUUUCAUGAAUGAAAGUAAGAGUACUAAAUUGAAAAUUAGUUGACAUCUCUGUUUGAAAGAUCCAACCUUUUCGAAUCUUUAGAUUAUUCACUUGAUAAUUUGUUGGUUUUCUCAUUUUAGUUUGCUCUCACAUAGCCUUGUACGUGUAGCAUUUUUCUAUAACACCAUGGAAUUAAUUAAUAUAUCCUCUGUCACGUAAAUUCUUGAAUUUUUAUCUGUGCCAUUGGGUGUAAUUAGUUGCCCAAGUAUUAGAAGCAUUUUGGGCUGUUAUAUUCAGAUGCUAUUGGGGGACAAAAUGCUCUUUGUUCAUAUUUCUUGUUUAAUGUAAAACACACUUUAUGUUUUAUUUUAUUAUACCUCCUUUUUGGUUAGUAAGUGAUGUUUAUGGCAUUCUGUAGAAUUGUCUUUGCUUAUACUAUUUUCCAGAUACUUGCAUUACGUGUCACUGUCAGUCUAUAUUGUGUUGUUGCUUGCUUGUAGAAGGAAGGAUCUACUUUGGUUCAAAGUGAUAUUCUGCGUUUAGUUAAGAUUCAGGCUACUGUCUGAUUUUGUUUAGUGGUCAAAAGCUUCAAGAUUGCUGACUAAACCUUUUCGUGAAACUUGCAGGAUAUCGUAAAUAUUGGAGUUGAUUAUGUUUUUUAUCGGGAUAAUUACUGUACUGGAUGCCUGGUAACUUUUUCUAGUGAUGGCAUUAAAAUCAGUGGUAUGCUUUCACAUGGAGAUGAGGAAAUCUUUAGAUUUGAGAGGGGAAUUGAUGAUAUUCUUCAUAUUGAGUCGCAACAACUUCAAAGGGUGAGCUCUAGUUAACAUUAGAGGGGUAUCUUGUGAAUUGGAUUAUCCUUAGUUUGUGAAAGCUUUAGUUUCUUAUGUGUGUUAUUUGCAGUAUGGAGCUGUCAUCGUUAAGCUUGACAUACUGUCAAAGGAUGCUGUUCAAGCCACUAAUGCCUAUGGUAUGGGCUGGUAGCCUUAAAGAGAUUUAGUGCUUCAUGUGUUUUGUUUAUUUUCAUAUAUUAUGUAAUUCAUACUAACUUCAGUAACAUUUUUCUCCUGAAAUUAUUGAUGUUUCUCCUUAUUUUUUGAGCGUGUGCUGACCGCUCUAUUCAUUUUUUCUUGCUUUGAUAUUCUCAUGAUACAUAUUAGACAUUAACACUUUAAUUCCGGAUAUAAAGAAAACCAAACUAUAUACAUACAAUUGGCUUCAGUUUGUGGUAAUCUAGUUGCUAUCUAGAAUGUAGCUUUUAUUAGUUUAUCCUCAUUCAAAAUUUUCAAUAUCACGUAUGAUUUCACUGUUCUACAGUUCUUUGAAACUUCAAAUUCCUGUUUUAUUGAUUUUGUUUUCCAUUUAAAAUCUAUUAGGGGUUGAGCAGCUAGAGUUUGCAGUUGUUGAGCCCAACUGGUCUGGGAAACUGGAAGAGAUUGUAUCGGUCAAUGUUAAAUAUUUGGCUUUAUCUACCAUCGUGGGAGAGUAAGUUUUUCAAAUUUUGCUGGUAUAAUAGUGGUGGUUUUAGAACAUUGUUCCCUCAUAGAUUAAUGUAAUUGAAUAGAUUUUUCUUCUUUGUAUGAAGAUUGAUUGGCUAAUGUUGAAUUUCUUCCACGGGAUCAAGUUGAUAAUGGUGGAUGUGAUUAUCUAUUGUAAUUUAUCAAUAUUUUUCUUUCUUAUCUUAUAUAAUGUUAUUUUUUUCAAAUUUAAUAUUUUGCUCUUAUUAAUAAAAAUAAUUUUAUUCAAUACUCUUAACUUUUUCCAUAAGGUUAAAACAUAUAGUCAGUAAAUUUAUCAUGUAUGUAAUCUAUUAAAAAUCACUUUAAUAUUAUUAUCACAGAAAUAAUUAGUGAUUUUUUAAAAAUUUUGACUAUUUAUUUUAUUUAAAAUAUUAUAAUAUAGUGUUUAUUUUCAAUUAUUUGCUAAAAAUGUUCAAAAACGGGAAAAAGCGUAGCUCAAAAACCCGCGUUAGCUCGUUUUGGUACUAUUACAGUGAAAUUUAAUUAUUAUUAAAUAUUAUUAUAUAAAAUGAAUGCAAAUUAUUUUAUGAUGGGUUGCAAUAUAAGGAUGCAAAAUGUCUUACUGCCUUAUUUAUUUGUUGAUAAUUUCAUUGCUGUGUGGUUUUUCCUUAUUUAUUUUUCUUGAGCAUUUCAUCGGUUUUCUUGUAGUAUGGAAGGCAGAAUAGAUGGCAGGGACUUACAUCGACAGAGGUCUUAUUUUCCAACGUGAGUGACGGCUAUCUUUUUCCUCUUCUCUAAUUUUCAUAUGACGUUACUUUUGGGGCAUUGGUGGUAUCUUUGUGCUACUUUGUCCACCUGUUGUCUCUCAUCUGCUGUUCAUGUUCAUCAGUGUUUCUAUUUCUACUUAUGUAUAAAACUGUACUUUGUACUUUUGUACCUUGCUGCAAUAAAUUUUGGUUUUAAAAUAAUUUGUACUCAGUAUUAUGGAAUGCUUGUAUGUGAUUAAAAAUAUAAAUGGAUCACAUGUCGUCUCAAGGGAAUGGCAAGGUGAAUGAAGUGUUUUGUUUUGAACUGUACCAAUUGAAAAGAAUAAAAGAAAAGGAGAAUUUUAUUUGCUUCAAAUUCUGCCAAUAAUAAGAAACAUAAAAGAGAGAUCUUUUGUGGUGGCUUCCUGUAACAGAGUGCCCAAAUAUCAUGUAAACUACUUUUGAUGGUCUUUGUCAUAGUUCACAUAUAUCAGAGUCAGAGCUUAUGUGAUUAUGUUUGAGCAAACUCAUUUCUAAUAGUUACUGUCCUUUCUUACCCUCUUUUGAAAAUGUAAAAAUGUAAAUCUGUUCAAGAGCAUUUGAAAAUUUUUGAUUAAUGGAGGAACAAUUUCACCAUUUCUGCUCAAUUAGACACGCAAGCACUUCCAAGGUGCUGCCUGAAUAAGGCAAUCUUAAAAUUAUCUUCAAAUGGCAAUGCUUUAGGAAAUGUUAAAUGGAGUUUCCAGGGGAGUUCAUUGCCUAGCCACAAUGUCUCCUCAUGAAGAUUCUGCAACCCUUGUGUUUCAAAGCCACUUUUAUCAAAUAGGCCUGUGAUGUGAUGUGCUUUUGUGCAUUGAUUUUAUCCUUAUCAUAGUUUGCCUCUGAAACAACGUGUAUGCUACUGUAUUGCCUGUGGUACGAGUAUUAUGUAGCACUGAAAUGGAGAAUAAAAUGUAUAUGCAUUUGUUUUGAAAAACUAUAACAUGUUGCUAAAUACUCUUGGGAAAUUACAGUUUUGGAGAGGCUGUUGAAGAUGUUGUCUAUCCAAAAGGGGAUUCAGAUGCAGUUUCCAUUAGUAAGAGAGAUUUUGAUCUACUUCAACCUGAGACAUUUAUCAAUGACACGAUUAUUGACUUCUAUAUCAAGUAAGUCCUUUUUCAUGCAUCAUAUGCCUUCUUUCAAAUACCUGUGGGUUUCCAAUUCUUGGAAUUAGUUUUAGAAAAUAGGUGAGGCCUUUUUUUUUGGGGACCUGUUCCAUUUUUAUUAUUUAUUUUGUUUAAGUAGUAGACAUGAUCAUUAUAUAUUCAAGUAAUCAUAUAGUUAGCCUUCAUUGGUGUAGCAAUAUGACAGAAGUACAGCUCAACUCCUACAUUAUUUGCAACUUCUGUUACUUGUUUUCGCUAUCUAUGAUUGUUUAUACACUUAAAACGUCUUUUGUUUUCCAAUUAUUUGGUUGCCAGGUAUUUAAAGAAUCAGAUUCCACCUGAAGAAAAGCUUAGGUUCCAUUUUUUUAAUAGCUUUUUCUUUCGUAAGCUUGCUGAUCUAGACAAAGAUCCAUCCAGUGCUUCAGAUGGUAGGGCUGCUUUUUUACGUGUUCAUAAGUGGACAAGGAAAGUGGAUAUAUUUGGAAAAGACUAUGUUUUCAUCCCUGUGAAUUUCAAGUAAGAAAGUGGAUUUAAAAGAACCUUGUGCAUUCUCUGAGAUGUGGUUUUAUUGGUAUUAAACUGAUGCAAUAUGUGAUUUUUGAUGUUAGUCUUCACUGGAGUUUAUUAGUAAUAUGCCAUCCUGGUGAAGUGGCUGGUUACAACGGUGAGUUCUUGAGAGGUCUUCUGUGAUGUCUGUUUGGAAAGCUGCCUUUUAUUCAUAUAAAUUGUACUGUAUUUCAGAUAAAGACCUGGGGAACUCCCUUAGGGUGCCAUGCAUAUUGCAUAUGGAUUCUAUCAAAGGAACUCAUGCGGGUCUCAAAAACCUUGUGCAAAGGUAUCCCCGAGUUGUUAAAAUUCUCGUCUUUUCAAGCUUCUCUGAUUAUUGAUCUGAAUUGGAAAAUACACUCUUAUCAAUUUUCUUUCUACCAUAAUGAUAUUCGUUUCUUAUGAUUUUAUCUAUUUAAGUGGAGUUAAACUAGAGGGCGAGUGAAAAGGCAUUUUGCACCUAAUAGUCCAGUCAAGUCAUCUAGUGUUUCUUUCAGCCGAAAUGUUAACUUAGUGUAAGGGUGUUGAGAUUCUAACGAUUUCUUUGUUAAGUGCUUUGAUGGAAAUAUGAAAAUAUCAUUUUCUAUCUAGGACUGAACUGGUAUAUUAAAAAAAUAUGAAACUUGUGUUGAUGCCCCUCUGGAAUUCAUUCAGCUAAAAUCUCACAUAUAAUGUUGAUUUUCACCAGGAUUUUGGUACAGAUGCAUUUAUAACAAACUUCUCCACUUCAUUCUGUAUUGUCUUUUCUUUGCUAGCCUUACGUUGGAACAAAGACACUUUCCUGGAAGCUGCAUGCUGUCACUUACUUAUUUGUUGCUUUUUUUCCUGAAAUUCACAGUUAUCUAUGGGAAGAAUGGAAAGCAAGACAAAAGGAGACAUCAGAAGAUUUAUCUUCAAAAUUUUUGAAUUUGCGGUUUGUCCCACUUGAGGUAUUACGCCACUAACUGUGAUAUUUAGCUACUUCAGUUCAUAGUGUAGUCAGCAGUGUUAACAAAAUCAAUUGGCAUUAAAGUUACUUCUAGCCGCUGAGGUACCAUAAUAAGGAAUAGUGUCUAAGGGUUGGUUUCACAUGGUAAUCUUUGGUUCAGGCUUGCAAAAUAACUUUAUACCAAAAUUCAGGCCUUUGGAAAAGUUGUGUUCUCUCCAAAUUGGAAAGUAUUGCAAAUUGUAACAGCAUUAUGAUAAUUUUGAAAUGUUUUUCCUAUAUUAAUUAGCUUUGCAUUGAUAGUAAUUUGAUUAGAGCAGAUAUUUGAAACAAAGUGUUCAUAUAGCCGACCUCAAUUAGUUUGGACUAAGCUUGGUUGUUGGUAUUGUUGUUGCUGUUAAGGCAGAUGAGGCUAAAGCAAAAAAUUAAGUUUCUAUAACAGCUUAAGCAAUUUGCUUUUGAGUAGUAAGGAAAAAGAAAUCUAUAGAUUAAUCAUAGAUGAUGAUCUCAUCGCGACGAGCAUCGUCUAGUUACAGCCGAGUAGGGAAAGAAUUUCUUGCUAUUCAUUUUCAUAAGUUAGCCCAAACUCAUUUAAUUUGUUGACAAAAUUUAGUUAUUUCUACUCGUAUUUGAUGCUGAAGAGUUCAAGAAAAGUUAUUUUUGAUUUGUUGCAUAAUGUAUUAAAUCCCUUUUUGUGUUAAUUUAAAACAUUAUUGCGCUAUGCUUUAGCCUCUUUAUGUGAAUGCAUGCAAAAGAAUUGGCUUUAUGUGCAUACUGUGUUGUUCUGACAUUUAAUGCAUGUUCAUUUCAGUUGCCACAGCAGGAAAAUUCAUUUGAUUGUGGCCUGUUUCUGCUCCACUACCUGGAGCUAUUUUUGGCCGAGGCUCCUCUGAACUUCAGUCCAUUCAAAAUAAAUGAGCUUUCCAAGUUCGUAAGUGGAUUUCACUCUGUCGCAAGUUCCUCAACAAUAUUAUCCUUUAGGGAGGGCUAUCUUUUAGAUUGCAUUAGAUAGUCAUAUCAAUCUUGGCAAUUGAGUAUGGAUAACAUACUGAUUCUAUAAUUGUACAAAUCAUAAAAAAAUUUUGAGAAUAAGAAGAUGAAAUAUAUAACCUUUAUUAUCUCUGUAUUCAGUGAUGAAGGUACUCUGAACUUCUAUUGUAGUAAACAUGGUCUACGAUGAGCCUGCUGCUUGGCUAUCCAUUUGAUUGAUCUUCUGCAUAUGCUUAUUUGCUUACCAUUUAUGUUUGAUUUUCUUUUCCUUGACAGCUUAAUGUGGAUUGGUUUCCCCCUGCUGAGGCUUCUCUGAAGCGUACUCUAAUCCAGAGGCUAAUUUCUGGGCUCCUUGACAAUUGUUCUAGGGAGCUCUCUUCUGGUAAUUGCAGUGAUGAACCAGAGUCUAGUUUUCCAGAAAAUAAUGUGAAAGGGAAUAGAGUCGAGUUUGCUUCAGAGAGAUGCACUCCAACUGUAGCUUGUCAUGGAAAUCUAUCAAGUUCGGACACCAGCCAAGGGAUCGAAAUCACUCUAUUGGAAGCAUCUUCUAUGAGGAAUUCUGAUUGUGUUAAUGAUCCAGGCCUGGUUCUCAGGGAAUUUUUUGAGCCAGGAGUUGCUGCAGGUUCAUUACUUGCACACUGUUCAUCCUUUGACCAGUCAUCUUAUUACCGUCUUAAUGGUGCUAUGUCGCAACAGAUAGAGGUAUCAAUAUUUUUUCACUAUUGUAGCAGAAUAAUUUAUCCUAUGCAAUUUUAGAUUAUCUGCUAUUACAUAUGUAUGUGCGUGUUAGAUCUUAUUUUUGUUUGAUAAAUUUACUGAUGUUUGUACCUUUCACCACAGGAUGAUGCAGAAGAUGGGGAGCAGUUCAUGUAUUACCCUUCUGGAGAUCCAAUUUUUCAACAAAUUCCUUGUAUGACACCUCAAGCGGGUUCUAUUCCAUAUUCACUCAGAGGUUUUGGGGCCGAGCCUUCUUGGAAUCGAGGAAUUUCUAUGCAAGGAGAGGAUGAUGACUCAUCUCCAGAAACAUCAGAAUGUGCCUCUGAUGAUUCUGACAUAGGGAUUAUCGAAAAUCGCCCAGUUGAGAAAGAUGUAGAUCUUUGUCGAGAAGAGAAAAUUGAUAAAGUAUCUCAGUCAAUGGAAAACAUAAAGUGUUCGACACAGACACUUGCUUCUGGCUCUGUCGAGACCCUGGUGACUUCUGCCAUUCAAGGUACUGAAGACUCUGAAAGAAUACACAAUGGUGAUGAAAAUGGUGAUCUUGCCUUCAGUCAAGAAGAUCCAACUACAUUGCAUGAAGAUGCCAACACAGUAGAAAAUGGAUUGCAUCAACACUUUGACGAGAAGGCAGAGAUCACCGGCAAUGAUAAUAUUCAAACUAUGGGUGAUAAUGUGAUGGCAAAAUCAGGUGAGAAAGAACCAAUCAAUGAUAGUGUGAUGACAGAAUUACCUGAGAAAGAACCAAUCAAUGAUAGUGUGAUGGCAGAAUCAGAUGAAGAACAAGCUGCAAAAAGGCGAAGGGUUACUCCUCCCCAUGAAGAAGGGGAGGAAAUUCUAGGCGGAAGCCUGUCAAAGGAUCUACACUUGUAAUUAGGCUGCAGGUGGAAAUCUCGGUCUUGAUUUUUGUUUAACAUAAUUGUGAACAUGGAUCUCACUAGACGACAUGCCAUUCUGUGAAUAGUAUAAUGGCUAUAUUUUUAACUACGAUUAUGAUUAGCAAUUACCAUGUGGGUUGCUCUUGUAGGAGAAGUGCUCGGUUCUUGUGUUAAUAUCUAUUAUUCAAGUCAUGAAAUUAGGACUGCAAAUGUAUAAUGUUUUCCUUGGAAGCUGCAUGAAGAAGAUGAUACAGAGUCAUUGGUUUAUUCUCUUCUUCUGGCCAAACAGAACCUGCGAGUCUCGCAACCCAUUGUUAUGUUCUUUAUCCUUUUUUUUUUUUUUUUUUUUUUUUUAAUUAAAAUUUUAAACAAGAGUUAAAAAUACAACCUCUAACAAUAUAAAAUGAGAAUAUUAUAUCAUUAAAAUUUAUUAAAUCUUUUUAUUUUUAAAUUUUUAUUACUAUUAUUAAUAGAAUAAGUGUACUUAUUAGUCAAGGUGGCUAGAGAUUUAUGAUGUGAUUUUUAUGAUUUUUCAGUUUCAAUUAUAUGUAUUCUCAAUUCAACAUUCUAGUGGAAACAAAAUAUAUGAAUUUAAACAUGAGAGUUACAUUUUAUUGGACAAUCAAAUUAGAUAAUUUACUAAAUAGUUGAAAAUUUUUUUUUACCUAUUACUGAAUUUUUUUAAGCUCAAUUAAAAGUAUAUUUAUAUAUAUAAUUUUUUUUUGAAAAAAACAGAGUUCCGUAUUAAUCAAAAAAAAAAAAAAAAAAAAGGGAGAAAAAAAAAAUAAAAUAAAGGUGUAAAUCCAAACCGGUGAGGGCGCCAACACCAUAGCCCAUCCUCUUUCCUGCAAACUGAAGAAAAAAAAAAAAAAAAAAAAUUACAGACGUCUGUGAUCUCUUCUUCUCGACAGAGAAGCGAAACCUCCACUGUGUCUUCAUCACUUCCAAAAGAUACGAAAUUUGCUUUGAUUUUCUCACUGUUUGAUCAAAUUUGGUAAAGAGAAAAUCUAGGAUUAGGGUUUCUACUUCGAAUCAGGGAAAAAUGAAGCAGCUAUUGUACAGUCACCAUAACCAGUCUCAAAGAAAGGCAUUUGCGGGUCUUUUCGUCCUUCUGCUUCCCAUUUUCCUCCCUCAUCUUUUCAGCCCAUUGGGCCGAGCCUGGCCUUCCCUGUUCUCUGUAGUCCUUUUAUCCAAGAUUCCCUUCCUCUGUCUCUCUGUGUGUUGCUUCUAUAAGGAUUGAUUGUGUUUUGAAUUGCAUUGCAGGAAUGGAAUGCUCCAAAACCUAGGCAUUUGCCUCUUCUAAAAGCUGCCUUAAAUCGCCCAAUUGUAAGUAGGUGUCCCUUUAUUUUAUUUGGGGGCUGAUUUGUGUUUUUUUUUUUUUUUUUUUUUUUUUUUUUUUAUAUUCCUGAAUCAGUGAAAAUAUUUACUUUUUAGCUCAGUAGGCAACAGUCUGAGCUUUGGUCUCCUUUGCCUGAUCAAGGAUGGAAACCUUGCAUUGAACCCGUAACUAUUCCUUGUAAGUGUUUAAAUAGUGUGUAUGUGAUGUUUGCAUAAUAUGCAUGUGAUUGUUCAAUUUCUAAUGAACUUGCAUUACAUUUUGAAGCAUUGCCCCAAACAUCUCGAGGUUAUAUCCAGGUAUUUCUUGAUGGAGGGUUGAAUCAGCAAAGAAUGGGAGUAAGUAACUACCAAGGAACAUUUCUGUAGUAUUAUGUGUCGAUUAUUGUUGUAAUUACCAAUUUUAUUUCCACUUAAGUAAUUGUGGUUGGGGUCUUUUUUUUUUUUUAAUAUUUUUUACUUACUUUCUUUCUCUUAUUUUGAAGAUAUGCGAUGCAGUGGCAGUUGCUAAAAUACUAAAUGCAACGCUUGUGAUCCCACACCUUGAAGUGAAUCCUGUCUGGCAAGAUUCAAGGUAAUUUAUGGGAGUGAGUUGCCUUAGAAACAUUUCUCACAUUGUGAAUUCCUGUCUAAAAUUGAGAGCUUAAAAUGGAAAUAAUAUCUGUUUCUGCAGUUCAUUUGUGGAUAUAUUUGAUGUGGAUCACUUCAUUGAUGUCCUACAUGAUGAAAUUUUUAUUGUUAAAGAGCUCCCCAAUGAGUACUCUUGGAGUACACGUGAGUAUUAUGCUACAGGUAUACGAGCUACUAGAAUCAAGACAGCGCCUGUCCAUGCUUCAGCUGACUGGUAUCUGGAAAAUGUUUUGCCUGUAUUGCAAAGGUUGGUAGAUUAUGUAAAGCCGAUUUUGUUGAGAUUUAUUGCAACUUGUGGAGUUUCUUACUCAGAAAAAGUAUUCUAUUCCAUGUGAUUUGUUAAGUUGAUUGUUUGGUUUUUUCUCUCAAAUUUAUGUAUCCGUACGAAGUUCACUUCUUUCCUUUUUGCCCUUUUGCAUAUCCUGCUAGUUGCUAAUAUAGUAAUACAAUCUCUUUUUGGCAUUUUGUUGUAAAUUUAUUGUCAUUUCUUUUCCUAGUUAAUUCAUUAAUGAAUGGCUGAAGACAUAAAUCUUCCUGCAACAUUCUUAUUGAAUACUUCAUAUGUAGGAAAAAUUGAAAGAGGGAGAUGUCAGUUUGGUUGUGAUAUUCCUUUGUUUAGUUUUGGGAGAUUCUAAAAUGCUUACAUGAUAUCAUACAGUUUGAUGUCAUAUUUUGUAGGUUGAUCUCCUUACUGAGCUAUCACUGUCAUACCUUAUCACAUUUUCCAAAUUUCUAGACUUCAUUGGCUUGGCCCUUGAUUUUACCUGAACUCAAGCUGAAACCAUUUUCCUUUUUCUGAUAACCUUUAUAAAACCAUCUGCUUGGUGAUGUACGAUGUGGGAUCUAAAUGUUUAACAUGUAUUCAUGUACCAACCACUUUUAAAAAAUUAUUAGUGGUGUCUAAUUGAAUUGCAUGUCAUUUGAUGGUAUUUUCUUCUUGCAGUUAUGGAGUCGCUGCUGUUGCCCCAUUCUCCCACCGUUUAGCUUUUGACAAAUUACCAACUAACAUCCAACGCCUGCGUUGUAAAGUCAAUUUUGAAGCUUUAGUUUUUGUUCCUCAUGUAAAAUCUUUGGGAGAGACACUUGUUAAUCGUCUCCGCAAUCCUUCUGGCAGCUCAAGGACUGAGUUCCUAAGGGAGAGAAUAGAUGAUACUGAAAAUCUGGGAUCCAGAAAGUUUGUGGUGUUGCAUCUUCGCUUUGAUAAAGUAUGACCCUGAACUCAUCUAAACAGUCAGAAAGUUUUGUUUUUGGACUUAUUUAACACUCGUGAAGAUUUUAGACCAUGUUAGAUGAUAUAUUCAGAUGUCUUUACCUUUGAAAGAAUGAAAUCUUUUCUCUUCAGUUUUCAAAAAUUUACAAGCCCUGGAAUGCCCUUAGUAAAUAUGAAGGUCCAUGGUGAAAACAGACCUUUUGGCAUUUCCAAGUUUAGAAACUUACAGUAUAUUGUUGAAGACUGCAGUACCUCCUUGAUGAGUAAUUUACUUUUUUUACUAGUGGUGUAUUAAUCACUUGAUUUUUUUCUUUUUUUUAAUUUUUGAAAUGUCUUAAUCACUCAAGAAUUACUCUUUAGCAUUAUUAUUAUUAUUAUUAUUAUUAUUAUUUUUUUUUGUCCUCUUGCCUUAAUCUGAACCCUUACAGGAUAUGGCUGCUCAUUCUGCCUGUGAUUUUGGUGGGGGUAAAGCAGAAAAACUUGCUCUGGCCAAAUAUCGCCAAGUGCUUUGGCAAGGAAGGGUAUUAAAUUCACAGUUUACAGAUGAAGAGUUGAGAAGUCAGGGCCGUUGCCCAUUGACUCCUGAAGAGAUUGGAUUACUGCUAGCUGCUUUAGGUUUCAGCAAUAGCACUCGUCUCUAUCUUGCUUCACACAAGGUCAGUCAUUCAUUCCGCGCUCCCCCCCCCCCCCCCCCCCCCCCACCCAACACAAAACACAAAAAAAACAAAAAAACNNNNNNNNNNAGUGCCCUAUAUCCCCCCCCCCCCCCCCCCCCCCCCCCAACAACAACAAAAGAAAAAAAGAAAACAGAACAAAGAAGCACCAAAGUUCUACAGAAUCUUAGGGCACUCACAAUUAGACUUUCAUGAUAAGUCUAAUGAUAUAUGCUUUGAUGAAAAUUUUAUUUUCCUUUCCUAUGAGUUGAAGCUUAAAGAAAUUUUCUUCAGGUAUAUGGUGGAGAAGCAAGAAUUUCUACCUUGAAGCAAUUAUUUCCCUUCAUGGAAGACAAGAAAAGCCUGGCUUCUGAAGAGGAAUUGGCUGAAGUCGAAGGCAAGGCUUCAUUAUUGGCUGCAGUCGACUAUUAUGUGAGCUUGCAGAGUGAUAUCUUUAUAUCUGCUUCUCCAGGAAACAUGCAUAAUGCUUUGGUAAAAAAUCUGUUAAUUUCUUUUAAAAGAUGUGUUUCUUGAAUAUUGUAGGGCGAAUUUUUUUUACUUUUGGUUGAAUCCACUGGAAACAGAUUUCUGGUGGGCUAUCGCUUACAGUAGGUUAUAAGUUGUUUAUUUGCAACUGUGGAAUUUAAGAUGAAAUGUUACUUGUAAUGGCAGUUGGGACAUAGAGCUUACCUGAACCUGAAGACUAUAAGACCAAACAUGUUGCUGCUUGGCCCGCUUUUCCUGAACAAGAGCUUGGAGUGGUCAGCAUUUCAGGUUGCAGUUGUCAAUGGGCAUAAAAAUAGACAAGGGCAGGUUAGAUCGAGAAAGGAGAAGCAAUCAAUAUAUACAUACCCUAUUCCUGAUUGUAUGUGUCAAUUAUAAUUGGGUGGAUGCAGAAAUUUUAGAUCUGCAAUUUUGGGCAUAUUUAUUUGCAUGUGCUACUGUCUUUUUUUUGUCCACUUGUAUAUAUCUGGUAUUCUGAACAUUUUUGGCUUUGUAUUUUGUUCGAAGUUGUGGCAACUGGUAAUAGAUAUGCAGAUUGAUUUUACUCUUCUCCAAUCACCACUACACAAACUUGGUGGAUUGUACAAUUGAAACAAUGAUGCUUACAAGAGUUUUGAUUGAUCGAUUUAUGAAUGAGUUUGGCCGUCUCUCCAUCUUUUACACAUUCUUGUCUGAUCUCUUCUUUCUUCUCCAUUUUCUUCUAAUUAAUCAACUUCCAUUCAUCUAUUCGGGGUUUGCAUUUCCUUAGAGAAAAGUAUUGGCAAAUUUAUUUUUCUAGCAAUGAAAAUAUUUUCGCUUUUCGCUUCUUUAGUAUUAACCACAUGUAUCCUCAAUCCAUUCAACUGUAAUUAAAUCCUGCUUGCACUACGUUGACAAACUAAGCGGUGAGUUGACCACCAUUAAGGGGUUAAGUGCCUUCCGGAAGCAUUUGCUCCUUCUGGGGCUUUUUUAUUAUUUGCUUCAUCAACGGGAAUUAAAUCCGUAUCCUUUUAAGUUGCAAUCAUUCAAUGUUCUGCAGUUUUUACAUUUUCACUAGUUUUUUCAAGUAAUAACCUCAAGUAUUUGUAGCAGUCAAUAGUUAAGUGACAAAUUAAAAUGCAGCUCUACACAGAAAUAUUUGUGGGACAAAGAUCAUUUAUCUACAACCGUUAGUAACUGAGCUCCAGAGGCACCGAAUGAUCUUAAUAGAUGAUAAACCAGCAGUUAAACAAAGAUAAUGUAACAACAUUUUUUAACAAAUGAAAGACAUACUGCAGCUAAUAAGCGCAUUGGCUUUUCAAGGCCUUUAUUUUUCCUUUUUUUUUCGGCUCUAAUUUUAUGAAUUAUUUACAAACAGCAUAACGACAGCUUAAAAAACACAGCUGUCGCAUUCCUGCACAAUUUGAGUGGUGAAGACUCAAAGUUGCAUAGACAACACCAAGAAUUUGACCAUUUAUCUUCAUCCAGCUAAUCAAUCUGACUUAGGAACUAUUGGCAUUCAUCUUUCUUAUCCUUUCCAACAGAUGGGGGCCCACCUCCAUUCCGGCUUGCAGCCAAUUCCUUGGACUCUGAGGGGAAAGGAGAUGGAGCAACUUCUUCCUCUAUUGGAAGUGUUCGUUUUGAGCCCUCCAGAGCAACCCCAAGAACAAUGUUCUCCUCCAAUGGAGGCCUGGCUACUGAUGCUGAUGCAGCAGACCUUUCAACGUCCUGUUUAGCCUGGGAAAUAGUUGAGGGAAUCUCACUUCUUUUAGAUUCAGAAUAUUCUUCAGGUGCUGCCCUUCCCAGAGUUAUGUCUUCGGAAUUUAGCCCCAUGUUCUCCUUCCAUGUGUCUUCGAUGCUUUCACUAGUUUUCUUUGUUUCAGGAUUGUUUGGCACUGAAUUAUCAUGAACCAUUUUUGACUGCCAGCGAUCAGAUGCUGGGGUUGCCAAACCCUUAGAUUCAGGGGUGUUUGUUGUUGAUCCUGCAUUAGCAUCUGCUUUGGACUCAGAUGUUGAGGCUGCUUCAGCCUUCGCAUCUUUUUCCCCAUUGGUACAUACUGAACGGCUUGAAGCUUUAGUUUUAUCAUCACCAUUGAUUUUAUAAGAGGGUUCAAUCAGCAAUAGUGGGCGGUUAGCAACUGCUCCUGAACGAGUAAGAAUAGUGUCAGCAGAACGUACAUUAGCUAAAUCAGCCUCAUUGUAUAUCUUCUGAACAGUACGGAUCGGUGUGGCAAGCCGAGCCCGGUGAUGGCUUAUAACUCUAAGAAGAUCCAAGAUUAUUGCUUCCUGUCACAUUGCAUUUGUUAAUACCGAGUCAGCUAAAUCUCGAGUAGAAAACAGCAGAUCAAGAGUCAGAACAUGCAGAAAAUAGAAUUGAGGAAUUAAUCCAUGAAACAUAACAGACUUUUUAUUCAGUCGUAAUGACCAUUAUGCACAUAACAUCACCCAGACAAAGAUUUGAUAAAUAGAUAAACAAUAACCAACAUUAACCACGGAAUCUCUGGCUCUAUGUUACAAUAGCAAUGGAUUUUUAAUUCUUCUAUAAAUAUCACAUGCAAUAACUAUACAAUAAAACUACUCUUACCUUUACACACAGGUAUUCUUCAAAAUGAGAGGUUUUCACGAAGCAUGACACAAAAACCUGCAACAUAAGCCAACCAAUAGAUAGUAAGGCAUUAAAGAACAUGCAAACAUCAUGUAUCAAAUGAAAACACAAGCCAACCACAGGUGAGAAAAACCUUUUAAUAAGGGAAAUACAACCUAAUGAAGUCCAAAAAACAAGUUUAAUGCAUUUCAUGUCUUCAACACCAAAACAGUAUAUUCUCUCCAAAUGUCUACAUCUCUUUGUUCUUCACAAACAAAAAGAACAGAGAGAAGGGAAUAAGUUUGCAAGAAAUUUCUUUUCAGGAACACAACUUUAUCUUCAGACAGUGAUUACUUCACUGUAAGUCUUCAUGGGAAGAUAUAUCUUAAUUUCAAGAAUAAAGAAGGAAACUUAAGCCUCACCAUAAGAGCCUGAUUCUCUGGGUUAAUAUUAUCCAAGAAGACUCUUCUGUGCAGCUUUUGCUGCUCUACUUGAGGGUUUUUAGCCAAAACCUUCCGCAUAUCAGCAACUAUGUUCUGCACAUAGAAUAUGCACAAUCAAAAUCCUUGUCUUGAUUGAAUAGAGAGAGGAAAAAGAAAUCCUACUGACUGUAUGUGAAAGUGCUCAAGAAUUGGGCAAACUGAGAUUGAACCUCACAUUAAUUUUGUUGACAUCCAAGUGACUGAUGGCAAGGUGGGUCUUAAUUCGCCAAUGAGUCUUCUGGCUAAGAUUUCUCACAACAUUCAUAGUGAAUUUAUGGUUGGGAAUGUGAACUGCUUCACGAUCAUCGCCUCUUAUAAUUGUUGGUGACCACCAACCCACAUGCUGGAACAAGAUAAAACAUUGAUUAGAAAAAAAAAAAAAAAAAAAAAAAAAAAAAAAAAAAAAAAAAAAAAAAAAAAAAAAAAAAUAAAAAAAAAAAAAAAAAAAAAAAAAAAAAAAAAAAAAAAAAAAAAAAAAAAAAAAUUAUAAAA